rnacentral:lncRNA from 1 species
GAGCUUUGUCUACUAUGUUCGGCCUUGCUGAAUUUAUGGCCGGCGUGACGGUUACCGUCUCGAGCCGUGGGGCGCCCACGCAAUCCGUAGAUCGAUCUUGUUUGCCUUGUCUUGUCCUCCAACAUAUCACGUAAGUCUGGCGCAUAUUCCCGUGCUUGGUACGGGGUGCGGCUUGAGUGGAGGGCCGAGAGGCCUCUCUGUCGCGGCCACGAGGUGGCCGGUCGGCCGCAUCGAGUGCUUCCUCCUCUAAUCGGGGUAGCAACAUGCGCUUUGGGUAGCUCUUGGAGGGGCGUUCGAGUUUAUGCUCUUCGGCCGCAAGGACUUCAGUCCAUCUAUCGACUAGCAAAUCUUGAUCAGCUCUAAGCUGUUGCUGUUUUUUCUUGAGGCUUCUUGCCGUGGCCAUAAGCCUGCGUUGAAAACGCUCUUGCUCGACGGGAUCCUCUGGCACGACGAAUUCGUCGUCGUCGAGGCUUGCCUCGUCUUUAGAGGGAGGCAUAUAAUUAUCGUCCUCGACCUCUCUGUCUGCCGCUCUCUCAUGAGGGCUGGUUUCUCCAUCCUCCCAUGCUAAAUCUUGCUGGAGGGGGUUUUCUUCGGCACUUUCCGAAGUAUUAUAUCUCCCGUGCAGGAAGCUCCGCAUUUGUUUUGGUGGGAUUUUGAGCGGCGCCGCUGACGCCGGCGCUUAGGUUGUUUCUUGGAGGGGUCAUCCUCCGCUGUUCCAUCGCCAUCUCCUUCUUUUGGGGUGUCCACCAUGUAUAUGUCAUAUGACGAGGUGGCUUUCCAGGGCCUGAUAGGCGCUGGUUCUUCAUCGUCUCCUUCAUCGGCGUCCAUAUCGUCGAUGUCUUCGGAGUCGAAGUCGAGUAUGUCGGUUAGGUCAUCGACAGUGGCUACAAAGUGGGUGGUGGGUGGGCUUUGAAUUUCUUCAUCGUCUGAAUCCCAACCUUGCUGACCGUUGUCCGGCCAGGGCUCUCCUGAUAAAGAGAGAAACUUCAGUGUCUUCAGAAUAUCACCGAAAGGCGAGUGCUGAAAGAUGUCCGCGGUAGUAAACUCCAGAAUCGGCGCCGAAUCGGAUUCGAUCGGCAAGGGCGCGGAGGGUUCGGAGUCCGGAGAGGAGUCCGGCUCCUUGGAGUCACGAGUCUCGCAGAGUGCGAGGCUGGUGUUCGGCUCGAUCGCCGUUGGGAUCGCAGCCCCCGAGGCGGCGUCCAACCACCUAUCCUCGAUCGGCGCGGUUGGCUCCGAAUUAAGGGUCGAAGCCGAUGCGGGUGUGGCCUCCAGGGCACUGUUCGGCGGCAGAGCUAGAUCAUGCUCAUCGGGACAAUGCGGCGCGCUCGGCAGUGGCUCGAAUUCGUCGAAGAUCAAGUCCCCGCGGAUGUCAGCCGUGUAGUUUAAACUUCCAAAUCUGACCUGACGGCCAGGGCCGAAGCUUUCGAUCUGCUCCAGAUGGCCAAGUGAAUUGGCCCGCAGUGCGAAGCCGCCAAAGACGAAGAUCUGUCCGGGGAGGAAGGUCUCACCCUGGACUGCAUCGCCAUUGAUGAUCGUAGGAGCCAUCAAGCCUGACGGUGACGCACAGAGGAACUCUCAAUGAAAGCACCAAUGUCGGUGUCAAAACCGGCGGAUCUCGGGUAGGGGGUCCCGAACUGUGCGUCUAGGCCGGAUGGUAACAGGAGGCAAGGGACACGAAGUUUUACCCAGGUUCGGGCCCUCUCGAUGGAGGUAAAACCCUACGUCAUGCUUGAUUAAUAUUGAUGAUAUGGGUAGUACAAGAGUAGAUCUACCACGAGAUCAGAUAGGCUAAACCCUAGAAGCUAGCCUAUGGUAUGAUUGUUGUUGUCUAUGUUGUCCUACGGACUAAAACCCUCUGGUUUAUAUAGACAUCGGAGAGGGUUAGGGUUACACAAAGUCGGUUACAAUGGUAGGAGAUCUGCAUAUCCGUAUCGCCAAGCUUGCCUUCCACGCCAAGGAAAGUCCCUUCCGGACACGGGACGAAGUCUUCAAUCUUGUAUCUUCAUAGUCCAGGAGUCUGGCUGAAAGAAUAGUCCGGCUAUCCGGACACCCCCUAAUCCAGGACUCCCUCAGCGAGCUUUGCUGUUAUAGUUGGAUUUUAUGUUUCUCCUCCCCCUCUACUCUCUUGUAAUGGAUUGAGUUUCCCCUUUGAAGUUAUCUUAUCGGAUUGAGUCUUUAAAGAUUUGAGAACACUUGAUCUAUGUCUUGCCGUGCGUAUCUGUGGUGACAAUGGGAUAUCACGUGAUUCACUUGAUGUAUGUUUUGGUGAUCAACUUGCGGGUUCCGCCCAUGAACCUAUGCAUAGGGGUUGGCACACGUUUUCGUCGUGAUUCUCCGUAAGAAACUUUGGAGUACUCUUUGAGGUCCUUUGUGUUGGUUUGAAUAGAUGAAUCUGAGAUUGUGUGAUGCAUAUCGUAUAAUCAUACCCACGGAUACUUCAGGUGACAUUGGAGUAUCUAGGUGACAUUAGGGUUUUGGUUGAUUUGUGUCUUAAGGUGUUAUUCUAGUACAAACUCUAGGGCUGUUUGUGACACUUAUAGGAAUAGCCUAACGGAUUGAUUGGAAAGAAUAACUUUUAGGUGGUUUUGUACCCUACCAUAAUCUCUUCGUUUGUUCUCCGCAAUUAGUGACUUUGGACUGACUCUUUGUUGCAUGUUGAGGGAUAGUUAUGUGAUCCAAUUAUGUUAGUAUUGUUGAGGGAACUUGCACUAGUGAAAGUAUGAACCCUAGGCCUUAUUUCCUAGCAUUGAAAUACUGUUUACACUCACUUUUAUCAUUAGUUACCUUGUUGUUUUUAUAAUUUCAGAUUACAAAUACAUUUGUCUACUAUCCAUAUACCACUUGUAUCACCAUCUCUUCGCCGAACUAGUGCACCUAUACAAUUUACCAUUGUAUUGGGUGUGCUGGGGACACAAGAGACUCUUUGUUAUUUGGUUGCAGGGUUGCUUGAGAGAGACCAUCGUCAUCCUACGCCUCCUACGGAUUGAUAAACCUUAGGUCAUCCACUUGAGGGAAAUUUGCUACUUUCCUACAAACCUCUGCACUUGGAGGCCCAACAAAGUCUACAGGAAGAAGGUUGUGUAGUAGACAUCAUUACCUUCGAUCCUCAGACGCACAGUUCGGGACCCCCUACCCGAGAUCGGUCGGUUUUGACACCGACAUUGGUGCUUUCAUUGAGAGUUCCUUUGUGUUGUCCAUAGAAGGAUCGAUGGCUUGCCUUGUAAUCAAUGACGAUGUCACUUCUGGAGGGGCCCUGACUCCUGGACAGGUCCUCCAGCUCAGCGGUUUACACUUAGGCGCUCGCUCGGCCGUCCAGCCUAUAGCGGCCCCCGUAACUGCCAAACAUCAUCUUCGUAUCGGCCUUGAACACUUCAAAAAGAUGGAUCUAAUAGAUGACUCGUCCUUAAACGAGCUGCUAGACUACAUCGCCGUCCUAGGGGUCGCAACAGACUACGAUCAUAUUGGGAUUAAACCCAACCAAAGGGAAAUCAAGUCCCCACCGGUCACCCAUCUGGUAGCGGUCGUUGAGGAACAGGCCGAGAGUGACUCCUCCCCUAAGUUAAAAACUAGCUAUGUUUGGAUUUCCGAGCCCCGCGAGUCGGAUACCCAUCCUCGGGAAGAGACCUCAGGUCCUUCGAACACGGGAUCGGGCAUUAUGUCCGAAAGUCUUAAGGACCUUACUAAGCCUGAACUGGUGACCUCGGAGAUUCUUCAAACUCUGGAUCCAGUAGUGGGUCAGGGUUUGGAUUUCAGCCUGCCCACCCACCACAAGCAAUAUUCACCAAGCAAUUCAGGUCCUCCGGACAUAUGUGACCUCAUGUAUGUAUGACAGCAACCUCAAGAAAUGGUCCAUCACUUCUGGGCCAGGUUCCUCCUUGUUAAAAACAAGAUUGAAGAUUGCUGCGAUGACGACGCGGUUUCAGUUUUUUGCUGCAACUAUACGGACAAGGGAAUACUCAAUGCCCUCUACCGUCGCCGCAUACUGCACUUUGCAGAUUUGGCACACAUAGUACAAAAGUAUUGCGCAAUGGAAAGCGCUUGGAAAGUCCAGACAGCCCGGUGGGAACCUCCUGCUUUAAGCAGCCCUCUGGACGAGAAAAAAGGAUGCACCCUUACGGGGCACCUGAUCAUCAGCCAAUUGAUAGGAAAAUCAAGCCCUUCAUGGGACAUAGAACUGUCCUCGACGAAUUGCUCAACAAGCCCUGCUAGAUACACACAACGUCAAAUACCGAACCAACACAUAGCCUUCGGGCAUGUUGGGUACUCCGGAAGGUGGCUAAGCGGUGAAGCCAUCCUCGCCAAAACUACUCCAAAGAAGCACUCUUCGGAGGACGACGAUCUCAAUGUCUUUACAGUCUUUGAGACCUUUUCUUCAAAUAAUCGGCACAAAAGGGCACUACACGACUUCGCCAAAGUUAACCAAGUAGCCGCAAUAAAUCCUUGGAACGAUACGGUGAUAACUUUUACCACUGACGACGAACCAAGGGCCCGGACAGUCCGAGCACCAGUCGCCUUGGUCUUAAACCCAAUUGUGGAUGGCUUUCGACUUACCAAAGUACUCAUCGACGGCGGUAGCGGACUCAACCUCAUCUACAAAGACACGCUCAAUAAAAUGCAAAUGGACAAGAAUCGCAUCCAGCAAAGCAGUACCACCUUUCGAGGCAUUAUCCCCAGUCGAGAAGCAUGAUGCUUGGGGAAAAUUCAGCUCGAUGUAGUAUUCGGCACGCCGGAGAACUACAGGUCUGAAGAGUUGCUCUCCCACGUGGCACAUUUCAAUAGCGGAUAUCGCGCCCUGUUGGGGCGAGACGCCUUCACACGCUUUCAAGCCAUACCCCAUUACGGGUACAUGAAGCUCAAAAUGCAUCCAGAUAUCACUAUCACCAGUGAUCCAGAUAUAGCACUCCGCGCCGAAAAUAAAACCGCAUCCUUGGCCCUCAAGGCACUAUCCGAGGCCCUCGCGGCCAAAGAGCUAACCACUUCGUGUUCCACAGUGGACAAGGAUGAUGUAAUCCUCGACAAGAGGCCCAAGUCCACUUCUUUCAAACCAGUAGAUGAAAUAGUCAAAUUUCAAGUUCACCCGACGAAUACUAACAAGACAACCUCCAUUGGAGCACUGCUGGACCCGACGGUCAACGUCGCCUUACGAGCAUUCCUGCGCGAAAAUUGGGACAUCUUUGCCUGGCACCCUUCGGAUAUGCCAUGAAUCCCAUACAGAUUGGCCGAGCACAGCCUCAACAUAAUAAAGGGGUUCAAACCAGUCAAGCAAACAUUGUGGUGAUUUUCUGAACCGAAACGACAAGGUAUGGGGGAGGAGCUAGCCAAACUACUGGAAGCCGGGUUCAUCAAAGAGAUUAAACAUCCGGACUGGCUAGCAAACCUGGUCAUGGUACCGAAGAAGGAUAAAUCCUAGCGCCUUUGUGUCGAUUUCAAGGAUCUCAAUAAGGCUUGCCCUAAAAGACCCCUUCCCACUGCCCCGCAUUGAGCAAAUCAUUGAUGCAACCGCAGGACACGACUCACUGUGUUUCCUCGACGCAUAUUCCGGAUACCAAAUUAAGAUGAAAGAGUCCAACCAGGCCGCAACGACAUUCAUUACCCCAUAUGGGCCUUUCUGCUUCAACACUAUGCCUUUCGGACUCAAAAAUGCCGGCACCACUUACCAAUGCAUGAUUCAAACAUGUCUGGAAAAGCAAAUUGGCAAGACAGUGGAGGCAUACGUAGAUGAUGUAGUCAUCAAGACUAAACACGUUGAAUCAUUGGUGGACGAUCUAUGCCUCACAUUCGACGACCUCCGAACAUAUGACAUACGACUCAAUCCGGAAAAAUGUGUUUUCGGCAUUCCAGCCGGAAAACUGCUCGGGCUCAUUAUUUCCAAUAGAGGAAUCGAAGCGAACCCAGCCAAAAUCCGAGCCUUGUUAGAAUUGGCAAUGCCAACAGACCUAAAGCAGGCCCAAAAACUAGCUGGUCGCGUGGCGGCCUUAAGGCGCUUCAUCUCCAGAUUAGGAGAAAAGGCGCUACCACUUUACCGACUACUCCGGCGCACCGACUACUUUCAAUGGACAGAUGCGGCUAUAGCCAGACUGGAAGAAAUAAAAACCUUAUUAGCAGGCAACCCAAUCCUAGCUGCACCGGGGGUCGGCGAACCUAUGUUGCUCUACAUAUCUGCAACUCACCAGGUAGUAAGCGAUGUACUCGUUGUUGAAUGAGAAGAGGAGGGACAUAAAUGCCCCAUCCAGAAACCGGUGUACUACGUAUCGGUGGUCCUUACACCGUGCAAAUCUUGGUACUCGCACUAUCAGAAGAUAGCGUAUGCGGUCUUCAUGGCAUCUCGGAAGCUGCGACACUAUUUUCAAGAGUGUUCGAUAACGGUGGCGUCUGAAGUACCACUCAAUGACAUCAUAAAUAAAUAGGAGCCACUAGCCGCAUAGCCAAAUGGGCCAUCGAACUAUUACCAUAUAACAUACAAACCAUGUCGAACUAUUAAAUCUCAGGUGUUGGCCGACUUUGUCGCCGAGUGGACGGAAGCCGAACUCCCUAAAGAGUACAAUACAUACUCCAACUGGAUUAUGUACUUCGACGGCUCCAAAAUGUUAGUCGGAUUGGGGGCUGGUGUCAUCUUGACAUCUCCUACAGGGGAUACAGUCCGCUACGUACUACAAAUCAUGUAUACGGACUCCAACGACGCGGUCGAAUAUGAGGCACUACUGCACAACCUCCGAAUGGUUGUUUCUAUGGGCAUUCAACGCCUAGAGGUGUGUGGGGAUUCGAAUCUUGUGAUAUCCCAAAUAAAUGGAGAAUUCGACGCAAAAGAUCCAAAGAUGGCGGCAUAUCGAAAUGUCGUACUCAAAAUAUCAGCUCGGUUUGAGGGGCUCGAGUUCCAUCACGUUGCUCGAGACAGUAAUCAGGCAGCGGACAUCCUUGCUCGAAUGGGCGCUAAACGCGACCCUGUCCCAUCUAACACCUUUGUGGAAAGGCUCUUCAAGCCAUCCGUUGUCUGGCAGGACGAGAGAGGAAAUACUAGUCCGGAGCCGUUCAUACCCCCAAAUGCCGAACACAAUUCUGAUAUCAUCGGCGGCUCGGGCACCGAAAUGACACCUUCCGCCCAAGUAAUCAUGGUUAUCAUUGCUCCAUGGACCGAACCUUUCCUGGCCUACCUUAAUAGGUAGGAGCUCCCUGACGAUCAGAAUGAGGCCCGUCGCAUAGCCAGACACUCUAAAGCCUACAAAGUUCAUGAAGGAGAACUCUACAAGAAAAGUACUAUGGGAGUUCUUCAAAGAUGUAUCUCCGAAGAGGAGGGAUGGCAGCUCUUGGUGGAAAUACAUGCUGGUCUUGGUGGCCAUCAUGCCGCUGCUCAGGCCCUCGUAAGCAAGGCCUUCCAUACAGGUUUCUUUUGGCUAACGGCCCGAGCAGAUGCACAGGCCCUGGUACAGCGUUGUGUGGGAUGUCAGCUUUUCGCCAAUCAAAGUCAUAUGCCGCUCGUCCUAAGAACAAUCACCAUUCCAUGGCCCUUUGCGGUCUAGGGGCUAGAUAUGGUCAGACCCCUUAAAGGGGGAAGCCACAAGAAGAAAUAUUUGGUGGUUAUGGUGGAUAAUUCACUAAGUGGAUAGAGGCCAAACCUGUAAAAAUGACAGAAGUUGGGCCUGUGAUCGAAUUUAUAUACGGCUUUGUACACCAUUAUGGUGUCCCGCACAGUAUUAUUAUUGACAAUGGCUCUAACUUCAUAGCCGAUGAGGUCAAAAAUUGGUGUGCUAACCUGGGCAUUAAGCUCGAUUACGCCACUGUAUAUCACCCUCAAACAAACGGUCAGGUCGAACGGGCUAAUGGCCUGAUAAUGAGUGGCAUCAAACCCAGACUAGUGUGAUCCCUACGGGAGUCGGAUAAACACUGGGUCGAGGAACUUGAUUCCAUACUCUGGGGACUACGGACCACGCCCAAUCGCAUGACCGGAUACACACCCUUUUUCAUGGUGUAUGGCGUAGAGGCUAUCCUGCCCUACGGCAUUAUUCAUGUCUCACCUCGAGUGCGCAUGUAUGAAGAGAGAGAAGCCGAGCUCGAUCGGCAGAACGACCUAGACGGCCUGGAGGAGGAGCGCGAUAUUGCAAAAGCCCGUUCCGCAUUUGAUGACCCACAAGUGUAGGGGAUCUAUCGUAGCCUUUUUGAUAAGUAAGACUGUCGAACCCAACGAGGAGCAGAAGGAAAUGAUAAGUAGUUUUCAGCAUGGUAUUCUCUGCAAGCACUGAAAUUAUCGGUAACAGAUAGUUUUGUGAUAAGGUAAUUUGUAACGAGUAGCAAGUAAUAAAAGUAAAUAAGGUGCAGCAAGAUGGCCCAAUCCUUUUUGUAGCAAAGGAUAAGCCUGGACAAACUCUUAUAUGAAGUAAAGCGCUCUCGAGGACACAUGGGAAUUAUCGUCAAGCUAGUUUUCAUUACGAUCAUAUGAUUCGUGUUCGGUACUUUGAUAAGUUGAUAUGAGGGUGGACCGGUGCUUGGAUGUUGUCCUUACUUGGACAAGCAUCCCACUUAUGAUUAACCCCCAUUGCAAGCAUCCGCAACUACAACAGAAGUAUUAAGGUAAACCUAACCAUAGCAUGAAACAUAUGGAUCCAAAUCAACCCCUUACGAAGCAACGCAUAAACUAGGGUUUAAGCUUCUGUCAGUCUAGCAACCCAUCAUCUACUUAUUACUUCCCAAUGCCUCCCUAUAGGCCCAAAGAAUGGUGAAGUGUCAUGUAGUCGACGUUCACAUGACACCACCAGAGGGAUGACAACAUACAUCUCAUCAAAAUAUCAAACGAAUACCAAAUUCACAUGACUACUAAUAGCAAGACUUCUCCCAUGUCCUCAGGAACAAACGUAACUACUCACAAAGCAUAUUCAUGUUCAUAAUCAAAGGAGUAUUAAUAUGCAUAAUGGAUCUGAACAUAUGAUCUUCCACCAAGUAAACCAACUAGCAUCCACUACAAGGAGUAAUCAAGACUACUAGCAACCCACAUGUACCAAUCUGAGGUUUGGAUACAAAGAUUGGAUACAAGAGAUGAACUAGGGUUUGAGAUGAGAUGGUGCUGGUGAAGAUGUUGAUGGAGAUUGACCCCCUCCUGAUGAGAGGAUUGUUGGUGAUGACGAUGGUGAUGAUUUCCCCCUCCCAGAGGGAAGUUUCCCCGGCAGAACAGCUCCGCCGGAGCCCUAGAUUGGUUCCGCCAAGGUUCCGCCUCGUGGCGGCGGAGUCUCAUCCUGAAAGCUUGCUUAUGAUUUUUUUUCUAAGAUGAAAGACCUCAUUUAAAACUAUACAAAGGCUGGGCAACUCGCUCCCAGGGCACUCCCUCGAUGGCAAGCUUCGUCGGCCGUUCAAUUUUAGUCAACCCGGUCUUUUUUUUUGUUCUUGUCCGUUCGAUGGUCGCUACGUUUUGACUUGUGCGUUUUCACCGGUGGUAGAUCUUGGCCAGCGGAUGACCUAUGGGCUCGGGCCGAAUUUCAUUGGUUGGGUGCCAGCUUAUCGGGUGCGUGGGGCAGCUGUCGGAUUUCGGGUUCCGGCAGACCCUUGAGGUUCGAACACUGGGGUGCGCGUGGAGAUUUCGCCUCCUACCUACCUGCACCCCUCCGCCUUGCUAGGAUCUAAACUAAGGAAAGAUCAACACAAGAGACACAGGGUUUAUACUGGUUCGGGCCACCGUUGCGGUGUAAUACCCUACUCCAGUGUGUGGUGUGGUGGAUUGCCUCUUGGGCUGAUGAUGGUGAACAAUACAAGGAAGAACAGCCUCGCGAGGGUCUGUUCUUGGCUGGGGCGAUGAACUGCUGGGAGGAGCUCAGUCACCCUUCUCUCUCUCUCUAUCUGAUCUAAACCCCUCUCUCAAGAGACUCCUUCUCCGAACCCCUCAGCUCUCUCUCUCUUGCGGGUGGCUGAUCCUAUUUAUAGAGGCCCUGGUCCUCUUCCCAAAUAUCGAGCGGGAAGGGAGCCAACAACGGCGGGCUAAUUUGAAGGGGGACAGCUAGUAUCAGCUAUCCUGACAAAAGUAGUCUUCGCCUGCGCAAAGCUCUGGUGAUGACGCCGUCUUGGGCUCCACGGUGACCUUCAUCUCGUAGUCCUCAUGGUCUUGGUCUCGUUGCACCGAAAUGGCAACCUUUGCCUGAUGCCUCGGUACUCCGCGGUUGCGCUUGCCCCCUUUGCACCAAAGAGGAAAGGAGGACACUACGCGGGCUGGCACCCGCCUGGCGCCCUUGGUCGUCAUGGCUUGCGUCAUGGGCACCUCGUGAGGUACCCCGCCUUGAUCUCUCCGCCUCCUCGUGAGCCAGCCUGACGAGGCCGUUCCUGAGGAAGCUCCGCGUCGUCCGCCCCGCGAGGCUUGGCCCCCCGCGAGGGUCUUGGGUUUGUGUUGGUGAAGAUGGGCCGCGCUGGGCCCCCUUUUGAGCCACGCCGCAGGCCGCAGGCAGGCAAGUCUGGGGACCCCCGUUCCCAGAAUGCCGACAGUAGCCCCCGGGCCCAAGGCGCGCUCGGACUUGGCCGUGCAGGGAGGCGGAAGGGCAAGAGAAAAGCGCCGCGGGCCCUAACAGCCUGCGGCCUUGGGCGCCGCGUGGCAGCUGAUUGGACGUGGGCGGCACUGUUCCCCCACGCCCUCCUUAUUUUGCGCCAUGCUAGGCGGACCCGUAGUUGUACACAGCCGUUCCCCUUUUUGGUUGCUCGAGCACCCUCUGUCCUUCCUUCGCUCGAACUCUGGUUUCUGUUCUCAACUCAAUCUUGAACCUUCCCCCCCCCCAUCUUCCCAUCGCCAUGGCUCCGACAAAGAAGGGAAGAGGGAAGAAACCCUUGUCUCCGCCUUGCCCGCCGCCGUUGGCGGCCCCCGCCGAGGGUUUGAGCAAGGUCAGCUUGGCCCUGGCCACCAUCUUCAAUGAAUGCGGGAGGACGACGGCCUGGCCCGCGUCCCACUUCUCCAUCGAAAGGAUAGCCACUGAGGUCCCGUAUUUUGCCGACGCCCUAUGGACGGGUCUGGUUCCUCCCUUUUCUGAUUUCUUCAAUGCUGUGCUUUCCCACUAUCAGAUCCACAUGAUGCAUCUGGGUCCUGAAUCCAUCACUCUCCUUUCGGUCUUCGCCUUUGUUUGCGAGGCAUGAUGGGCAUCCUUCCUUCGGUCGCCUUGCUGCGCUACUUCUUCUCGCUGCGCCUUAUUGACCCUACCCAAUGCUGGGCGUGUGUGAGCUUCGUUGCCGCGCCUGAGACGGCGGCCUCUGGGAUUGACUUCAAGCUCCCUCCGCCCGCGGCUGGGUUCCGCGAGCGGUGGCUGUAUGUGGAUGCUGGGGUGCCCAGCCCCCUGUUGUCGGAGCCAACUUCGCCUGCUAUCCCCAAUUCGGGCUGGGGCCAGGAGACGCUUGAGAGCCCCCGGCUCGUCUUCGUCUGGCACCGCUUCGCGUUCUUGAGGUCGCUUGGCACGAUAGCACCCAAGGUGGUGAAGGAGUUCCUGCUACGCCGCGUUGCUCCUCUCCAGCGCCACUCCCGCCGGAUGUGGGCCUUCAGCGGGCGCGAUGAUCGUAUGAGGCUUCAGGAAGAGGACCUGACGCCUGAAGUGUUGAGGACGGCGCUCUUGACCCUAACGGGGGACCCCAACCCUGGCAGUAUCCAGCAGGGAGGGGCCUUGCUGUACCUCUGCCAGAGCGGGGGCGAUUUUGUGAGGCAGAUGCCUAUCUUCGAUGAGUGGGGGCCGCGCCCUGCUGGCCUUCAGGGGCCUUGCGAGAACCCAGUGGUGGUGACUGCCCUUCCAGUCGGCCAAGGCGACUCUUCCUCAAGUGGAGGAGCAGGGAGGCACGAGGCGCCAGAGGCCGAGGGGGCUCCCGGCGGGGUGACAGCGCCGGGCGAGGCUCAUGAGGAAGCAGUUAUCGGGGCCCGUGCCGCUGAGGCUGAGGGUGACAAGCAGCUGCCCUUUGCGCCUACGACCGAGGCCGCUGAGGCUCCGGCGGCUUCUCUUGGCGAGGUGACUAGCAGCGCACGUCAGGCAGGCACCCCUGACGCACAUUGCCUUGACACUCCAUCUUCGUCGCAGGUUGAUCCCUGCGCCCGACUCUUAGGCCGCUUCCGUGUGGACUUUGAGGCCCUCUAGAAGAGAAGGGAGGCCCUGGGCGACAAUUACCCUUGUCACCUGCUGAAGCGUAGGAAGUACUUCGCCACUGACGAGUAAGCCUUCUCCUUUCCCAGCUCCCGAUCCUUCUGUUGCAAUUACCGACCCUUGCUCUGCAGGCCCCUUCCAGCCGAGCUUGCGGAGACAGCUAAGGAGUCAUCCCCCUUGGCUUCGCCCCCUUCAUCGUCUUCAAGCGCUCCAAGUGGUGGAGCCCUUGUGGUGAGGGCGAUCAAUGAGGCGAACCAUCCCGAGGCAUAUCGUGGCCCCGCGCACCUCGCGAUCUUUCGCGGGCCUUCUCGUGGCAUAGCCAGCCUACCGUGGGCUUCUCGCCUGGUCGUGGACUGCGAUUGGCUAAGGCGCUUCCUGUGCUCUUCACCUGGGGACGGGCUGGCCCCCGGCCGGGCUUCUGGCGCGGCGUGCCCGGCCGUCGCGAGGGUGCCAGCCCCCAGCCCCCAGCCCGGAGGGGGAGUGCUGACUUGCGGCCCCCGGCGCUUGCUUGGGGCAGAUGAUGGUGUGGAAGACGUGCUCGAGCAUGCUCGGGAGCGUCGCGCUCUCUGCCAAGGAUUCCUUCGAAGGGCGGCUGACACGGUAAGCCUGCCUGGAGAGCAGCUUGCCGAUGAAGACGCGCGCCUUGAGGCCGAGGGCCUGCGCUUGGCUGCAGAGAGGCGCGAGCUGGAGGGCGCCAUCGCCCUCGCACGCCGUCAGCGCGAUCUUGACGAUGCAGAGGCCAAGGCGUCGCUAGUGGCCUCUCGAGAGGCCCGAUCUUGGGCCGCUGAGGAGGCUCAGGAAGCUGACCGGCGGCGAACGGCGGCCGAGGAGCGGGCUCGGGAGCUCCUGGCCUGGUGCCACUCACUGGAGGAGCAGGUGGAGUUGCAUGAGGCAGCCCUCGCGUCGAUGAAGGUGGCCUCCGGCGACUCAGCGGAGCUCCAGAAGCGUGAGGAGGCGCUGACGCUGGAAGCCGCCGAACGUACCCGAGAGUACGAGCGUCUGGAGAUGAGGGAGCGCUUGGUGACGCAGGCGGAGGAUGAUGUUGUUGCACAGGAAGCCCGCGUCCUGGAGGAGGUCGGACGCCGAGUGGCGAUGGCGCAUUUGAACCUCGAGCACGAGUUCAAAGAGAAGCUGGGGUUGAUCCGGGCCGAAGCUGAAGGCAGGACUGCUGCCUUGAGGGCCAAGCUGGAGAAGGCGACGCGGCGGGCCGACGCCUUCCGGGCCGCUCUUGAGGUGGCGCAAGGUGAGUUAACCGCCUCCUAGGCCGAGGUGCUCCUUCUCCGCAAGCGGGUGGAGGAGGCUGAGGUCGUCGCGGGCCAGAACGCGGACGAGAUCCGUCAGUGGCGGAUCCUGGAGCACGAGCACGGCCCCAUGCUUGCCACGCUCCGGGAGAGAGCCAACGCAGCCUUGGGCAACAUCUGCGAGGCGGCUAUUGGCGAGCCGCAUGCAGUUAACUAUGCUGGCAAUCUUCAGUUCUUUACUAACGUGGUGACGCAGCUGGAGGCGCGGUCGGUCAGGGCUGACAGGUUGGUGGAGGAGAGGAGUCGCGCCCUGCUCGGGCACGUCUUUUCUCGCGUCUUCAGCCACCUCCGGAACAUGGAUCCCCACUUCGAUUUUGACGCCGCCAUCGCCCCAGUCCCCCAGGCCGUCCGAGGCGACUUGGCGCACUGGGUGGAAGACAAUGAGGAUGCUCUUAUCAGGGCCUUCGCUUCAGACAAUGACGACGUGAUCGUGGCGGCCGAAGAGGGCGGCGUGGUGAACGGCCCUGACACCGCUGGCGGCGACGCGGACAGCGAUGGCGAGUUUAGCGACGCCAGCAACAGCUCGGGUGGUGCUCCUGAGAAUGCAUUGGGGGAUUCAUCUGACUGAUUGUGCAUCGCUCCUACUUCAUUGCCCUGUAUGAAUAGAACUCAGGUUUUGGCCUGAUUGCAGUGAGAGCAUUUUGGAGGGGGAUCCCCUUAUGUAAAACUUGUGUUCAUCGUAUUAGUAGACGCUACAUUGCCCAUGCGCCCGUGCCAAGUGGUUGGCCCAAGUGACGCGCUCGUCGGGUAGUUUACCUUUGUCCCGCACUGGCCCUGAGGCAGCCCGCGGGGGGUCGUGGUGCCUCGAGUGUUCCCUGAUUGGGUUCAUAGGAUCUGCAGUAAAACACCCUCCUGAGAGGUCACGUCGGCGGCAGUCUGGGCUGCGUGCAAGCUAGGCCUGACCCGGCUCGCGAGGGGCUCGCGAGGGGAGGCAGCUGAGGCGAAGUGGUAACCAAAACGCGAGAAAUUGCUCGAACGAGACUAAGCACCCCUUUCCCGAACACACGCAAAUCUCAAAUUUGAAUCCAACUUGAAUCCAGCGGGGGAAAGCGACAACCAAAGGGAAGAGCAACGAAAGCAAACAAAAGGCCGCGUCCGGCACCUAGUCUAGUCUUGGACGUCUUCUCACCAGCGCGGAGCUAAGUGCUGCCACUGGGCGUGGGAGGGAGCCCCAGGGCCUAAGGCCGGCACCCCUGAGACUCCGGGGCGUGUACAGCCCCACUCAUUAUUACGUGAGAGUGUCACGGCGCGGCGAGCUUCACAGGCACUGGGCCUUCUUCACAGGUACUGGCCUUGCUUCAUAUCGCCGGAUGAGGGCCCCGCCUUGCGCCACACUCUAGUGCCAUCAACGACGACCAGAAACCAGGACGCCACCGAUGGGGUAGAGCGGUCGACAGCGGUUCCCCCGAUGACCACGGGUCCUCCGCCGGGGGUAGGCCCUGAGCCACCUCCCCAGCGGAGGGCCUACCUCCUGAGAACACCUUGCUCCGAACGCCGCGGUGGUGAUGUCGGAUCCCGGCCCCUCUCCUGCAGCCCCCUGCGCCCUACUCCCAAGGGGCAGGAGACUGUGGGAGCGGGGCAGCUGCUUGCUGUGGCGACCUACACCUCCUGUGAUCCAUGGUUAGCGUAUGCCUGCUCCUGAAGAUUUAGCGGUACCCGAUAAUCGUUGCCCCCUGUGUGGCCAGUGGGACCAUCCCGGGGCUCCCGGAAAGGCUCAGCUUCUGGCGCCUCGUCCCCCCAGCUUGGGCUGAGGAGCGAGCCUUGUUCGCUCUCGUGUGGGUGUCCUUGGUCCAUCAUGAGGGGCACGUAUUCCUCUGGCAUCGUCAUCCCGAAUGCCGCGUCGUAAUGCCCCGCAUGCCACGCGGUCCUGCCUGACGCGCCCACCGUGGGGUGGCAGCGCGGCUGUCCACUGGGUCUGCGGGUCGCGUCGAGUCCUUCUUCUUCGCGGACCGGGAGCGGCGGCAGCGCCGCCGCCGGUCCGGCGCUGACAGCUUCGCUGGCGUUGGAGUAUCCUUGGAGCCUGCGGGCGCGCGCGGAGCCCCCGCACGGGCCGCCCUGGGCUUGAGAUGGGAGCUGGGUGGAGAAGGGGUGAGCCCCCGAGGCGGUGAAGCCUAGGAGCUCUGCCACUCGCUCCAACAGCAUGUUGUGGCCGCCCUCCAGCAGCCUGCACUGCAGCAGCUCUCGGGCCACUGUGAGCGCGGCCCUCGAGUUCGCCUGCUCCCUGCGGGUGUACGGCAUCGUGGUCGCGGUGUAAUUGGAGGCCCUUGCUGCCGACCACGCCUGCCGCGGUGUGAGAGCUGUCGAAGCCUGUCCACGUCGCCCGCGGACCGCGAGCUGCCUGGGGCACGGGGUCGCCCAAGGCAAGCGGCUCUGUGCAGGCGGGCCACGCCGCCCACGGUUCUGGGUUGCCCGCCUGGUCGCCGGACAUGGUGAUGACGACACGACGGGGCGCGAAGCGAUAGAAGGGAUUCCGGCGCACCCCUACCUGGCGCGCCAAAUGUCGGAUUUCGGGUUCCAACAGACCCUUGAGGUUCGAGCACUGGGGUGCGCGCGGAGAUUUCGCCUCCUACCUACCUGCACCCCUCCGCCUUGCUAGGAUCUGAACUAAGGAAAGAUCAACACAAGAGACACAGGGUUUAUACUGGUUCGGGCCACCGUUGUGGUGUAAUACCCUACUCCAGUGUGUGGUGUGGUGGAUUGCCUCUUGGGCUGAUGAUGGUGAACAAUACAAGGAAGAACAGCCUCGCAAGGGUCUGUUCUUGGCUGGGGCGAUGAACUGCUGGGGGGAGCUCAGUCACCCUUCUCUCUCUCUCUCUCUCUCUCUCUCUCUAUCUGAUCUAAACCCCUCUCUCAAGAGCCUCCUUCUCCGAACCCCUCAGCUCUCUCUCUCUCUCUCUCUCUCUCUCUCUCUCUCUCUUGCGGGUGGCUGAUCCUAUUUAUAGAGGCCCUGGUCCUCUUCCCAAAUAUCGAGCGGGAAGGGAGCCAACAAUGGCAGGCUAAUUUGAAGGGGGACAGCUAGUAUCAGCUAUCCUGACAAAAGUAGUCUUCGCCUGCACAAAGCUCUGGUGAUGACACCGUCUUGGGCUCCACGGUGACCUCCAUCUCGUAGUCCUUCUGGUCUUGGUCUCGUUGCACCGAAAUGGCAACCUUUGCCUGAUGCCUCGGUACUCUGCGGCUGUGCUUGCCCCCUUUGCACCAAAGAGGAAAGGAGGACACUGCGUGGGCUGGCACCCGCCUGGCGCCCUUGGUCGUCAUGGCUUGUGUCCCGGGCACCUCGUGAGGUACCCCACCUUGAUCUCUCCGCCUCCUCGUGAGCCAGCCUGACGAGGCCGUGCCUGAGGAAGCUCUGCAUCGUCCGCCCCGCGAGGCUUGGCCCCUCGCGAAGGUCUUGGGUUUGUGUUGGUGAAGAUGGGCCGCGCUGGGCCUCCUUUUGAGCCACGCCACAGGCCGCAGGCAGGCAAGUCUGGGGACCCCCAUUCCCAGAACGCCGACAGCAGCCUGUCCUGACGCGCCGCAUGCAUGCGAGGAAGCUCGGGUCGCGGGCGCUGUGCGCUGCUCCUCGCAUUUUGCGCCUGCGCUUGUGCUGUCCUCAUGACGGGUGGCCAGUGCUGGCCGCGGUCCCGUUCAUCAGCUGCGGUGACUACAUGUCUCGUGUAUAGGAUAUUUCCUCGUUACCUCGGUCAACUACUCCUGGCGCGGCACUCCUCACGCGUUGCCCGCGUCAUGUGUCGUGGGGAGUUUACUGCCUCCUGCGUCAGCUACAGAGGGGUGGGUCGAUGCAUGUGCACCCAGAUUGUGCACACGCGUUUGUACUAGUGCGAUGACGUGUGGGCCGCCGCUGCUCUAGUCCCGCUCGUCGGCUGCUACUACUGUGUCUAGUGCGCAUGUACGCCUUUCCUGUGCGCGGUGUUGCGUCUCGUCUGCUUUGGACUUUGGAGAGAGAGGAUGGACUGCAGCUGCCCGAUGCAUGUGCUUGUGGGGCCUGGCUGACCGAUGCAUCGUGCGUGCCUCACCUCCAUCUGAAGUUGGAGAGAGAGAUGGAUUGGUGCCUACGACGCGCUGGUCAACACGGCGGCCGCUGCAGUCCGCGAGCCCAGGUGCACGGUGGCGCUCACGGACCUCCACCACAGCCUCGAUGCCUUCAGCGAGUCCAACGACCGAGCCGAGGGCCUCAUCCAGGCGGCCACCGCUGGCCUCGGCCCCGCCGCCACCCGCCACGACGAGCUGUGUCGCGUCGUGCGCGCGGUCGACAAGGAUCUCCGGGCCACCGAGGAGAACAAGGUGGAAGAGGAGAAGCAUCGCCCUCUGACCACACCGCUGGCAGCCGAGGACAAAUAGCCCAAUCGAUCUACCUCUUCUCUUGUUGAGGUGAUGUUCAUCGUUCUUGUUUUUUCCAUGUGAUGUUCAUCGUUCCUUUUAUUUUCUUGCUUGAUGUGCUAAUCAUGUUAGUCAUCUAGAAGAUGAAUGAAACUGUGACGGGAAAGGACAGAUGGACUGGGAUAUAUUGCCUCGUCGUGCCGCAUGGUGGCCGAGAUGCGGCAGCCCCAUGCUCUGUUCCGAUGGGCCUCCUCUGCUCGAUGUUGCCGCUGGUUAAGGUUCAUCCUUCUUUGGUUCGCAUGUUCUUCGCUACUGCUUUCGAUUUGUCGUGCUAAUUUUGCAUGUUUGCCUUCGUUUCCUUCAUGGGCAGUUUCGUACGGUUUCCUGUUGUCGCUUUGCGUCGAGCCUUGGGUCCGUCUCUCCUUAUCAUUGAGGUUAGUACACUCCUCUUGUGCUUGCCUAUAGAAUGUUCGAUGAAAUGCGUGUGUGCUGACGCUUGUUCUACGGUUCAGCCUACUUCUCAUGUCGUUGGCGCUUCUUAUUCUCGUCGGUUCUCCUGCUUACCCAACCUUUUGCUUGCUGCCUCGGGUAAAUAGGCCAUUCUGUUGCUUCUAUGACCAACGAGUGUUCAUUGCAUGCCUGUGUGUUGUUGUGCUCUGAUCGGUUGUUUUUUGUGUAUUUUGCAGGUUGCAUGAUCUUUGUUGUAGCUGCGUCGUUCGACUCAUCAAGGUUUUCUUCUUUCCUUUCUACUACAUGUGUGCGUGUUUUACUUUCAGUAUCUUCUAUGUCAUGCUGUCUGCCUUGGUGAUCUUUUAAAUAUCUGUAUGUCGUGUUGAUCGUGUAAAUGUUCUGGAUAUGGUUGCGGCUUCUUUAUUUAUGUUGGACUGUUCUGUCAAUUGCCACCAUGACACUUGUUGAAAAUAGUGUUGUCGGGCGAUAAUCAUUCUUGGCAGUGAUUCUUGUUGUGGAUGGGAUAUUGAUGCAGAUAUACCACGAACGGAAGAUCUGCCUCACUGUGCACUUCAGGCGCGCGCACACUAGCGAUGGUACAGGAUUGGCUUCCUGGUGGAAUCAGGUGCGCGUCGUCCAUGGUGGCCUGUCGUGGGUGUUGGUGGGCGGCUGGAGGCGGCUGUAGCAGGUCGAUUUAUCUGACUAUUGAAAAUGAGCUUCAGAAUAUCUGUAGAACGUAGCCCACUUCCAGCUCUCCACGCGUGGAAGUCCAAAGAGUUCACCUUGGACAGACUCCUUUAUCUUUGAACAACUCAAUCAGUGGCUUGGUGUGCUAGGAUAUACAUAUGGAAUGAAGAUGAUCAGUCUAACAGACCACAAAAUUCUUUGCAUGUGCAUGACUGACUUGGGAUGAUUCCAAAGGAGGUAAAACAAGCCUUCUCAAAUUCAUGGCGGCAACUUGCAUCAAGUGCACAUGAAUUAGAGGGACUCACUUCUUUUGUCCAAACAUAUGCUUCACGAACGAGUCAUGAAGAUAAUGCUUACAUAAGUUUCCAACACUAGCUUAAUGUUCAACAAAAUCAUGGAGGAGAUAAGGAUGUUGUCAAUGGGCUCAACAACAAUUCAUCCAGGUUUCCAUAUUAGUGGAAUUCCACAAUUAUGUGAACAAGGUGAUAGCAUUGGUCAGACCCGAAAGAUAUAAUGGUGUAUGCUCGAGGAACAACCACGAGUAAGACAACAUUACGAAUAUCAUUGGUUCUGAUUUGAUUUGACGAUAGCCCAUAUUCAAAUCAAAGGUUUGGGUAAGAUAAUAGAUCCAACAAUUGAUCAUGAGGAUCAACCAAUAAAGAUAUCAUCUUUCUUCAACACACACACACAAAAAAAAUAUCCCUUAAAAUGACUAAGCCAGACAAUCUUUUAUCUUCCAACUCUCCAAGUUGUUGUUUGGCUUAACCAACUAGCUCAGGAGUAUCCAACACAGAUUUUUGGAGAAGGGGGUGGUUUACAGGAAUAAACCAACUUGUUCAUGAACUGAACAUAGCGGUCAGGUGACGACCUGGUGAUACUUCCGAGAAGAUAUUCAGAAAAUCACGAGCCACCGGUAUGUUACUAAGCUUGAGAACAAUCUUGCUUUUUAGGGCAAGACGAUAUGAUCAACAGAGCAAGGUAUUGACACAAUCCUAACUCAUUGAUCAGAGGGUGCACCAGAAAUAAGGACUAGGUAGCACAAUCAAUCUUAGAAUGAUGACUCAAUAAUCAGCAUGCUAAGAAUGAGGUUGUUGUUCAUUUAACUACCAAGCAACGGAGUUGCUAGCAGUAUUGAUUUCACACAUCACGAUUCACUUGUCGACAUUCCGGUUGCAACAACACGGGAACUGAGAAAUGAAUAAUGAUGGAGAGAAGUAUCACUGUGUCAAGAGUUCAUAGGAUGGUGUGCAAUUCCCAUGACAUUCUUGAUAUAAAGAUGGUAAUACUCCAAGGUAGAACAGAGCAAAAGCAAGAUUAGCAAUUUGGUCUAUGGAGUACGACUGCUUUGACCCAAUCCUGGAAAUGGACAGGAUACUGGAGUUUGUUUCUCCUAGUCAUUCCGGAUAGAAUGGCUUGACGGACCACAAGAAUAAUAGGCAUCGAUGAAAGAAUGCAUGCAUACUCUUGACUAUCAAAUGAUAGACGAGGGUCAGAAGUCAACUAAGAGGGACAACUCAAAGAACAUAUAAUUUUCUGAGUUGUGGAUGCAUAGAUUAGUAUGUCGAACCAAGUUCAACAUGUUUCUUCCGGAUAAGCCAUGCAGAGAGGUAGGACUGGCAGAGUCACGAUUUAUGAAUGGAGAACUCCUCAAGAGUACUCUAAUUGUGAUCUAUUGAUCCAAUAAACAUCUGCCAUAAGCGGUUCAUAGUAUUUGGAAGAAGGAAAUACCACGGACCUCGAGGACUAUCGCAAAGUUACUAAUAUCCCAAAGGAGCUAGCAAUUGCUAACAACAUGAAAUAAGUAGGGUGAAUCUCGGGUUCAAGAACCCAGAAAUAGAAUGCCUACUAACUAAUAACAUCACGGGAUGCUUUCAAAAAUAAUGGCCAGAAUCAUCACACUGGGGAUACAAAAGCAUUGCUAAAUUGCUAGGUGACUUCCUAAACACCUAAGGUCAUAAUAAUAGCUCCAACAUCUACGCCGAGGCAACAAAGUACCUCAACCUACCGAUUAGUGUGCUUAUUCCGACCAAAAGGGACAUCGGAGAUGGAAGGAAAGGAUUUGCAAAUGCAUUAGACUGUUUAGAGACCUGGGAUGACUUGGACAGCAUAACGGCUGUAAAUGCUCAAAAAGAUUUGAGACAUGCUACAAAAAUGGUGGCAUAGCCACUCAGAAGCACAAUACCAAGGUUUCGAGAUCAACAGUUAACAUACAGAAGUAGUAGAAACUGAACAGAGGCUUAAGUCCAACAAUUCUAUAAGUCUACGGAUUAGUAACACGUGAUCCUGAUAGAAAGAAGAGAAAGCCUAGUUCCUUAACCCCGUAGGAAAGAUAAGAUGACUCAGAUCAGAAGGGCAUAAGGUAUAAGGAGUAAAAAGAGCCUUAUGUUCCAUCCCACAAUCAAUUCCCUUAUAUAACUAAAGCAUUUCUAGACUCAACUUCGACCAGUUUGGCUUGGUAAUCCUACAGGCAGUCAAGCUCUGAUACCAACGUUGUCAGGACCCUGACUCAAUGCCACAUCGAUCUAGCAUGUAACACCUCAUAUCACUUUGCGGCCUCACGCACGGUAUUCCCACGGGUGUCGCCUUACCUUUGCCCGGGACUGUUUGCGCCUUUUGGCACACGUAUAUGAUAGUGUCGCUAGCAUCCAUAUGAUAAGGAGCCCGGGCUGACAUGGCUAGUCGUAAACCCAAAGUGGCACAGACUUACAGGGACAGGCAUCCAUGACCCAGCACCGAACGUGUCGGUCAUCAGCAAGUGGGUCCGGGCUGUAGCUCUGGGCUAGCAGGACUCCGGUAAACCGGGCUGUAGCGGGCUAACAGGACUCCGGUACUCAAUGCGUGACAUUUCCCCGAAGGGACAGACACUGGAACGAAGAAGGACACAUGCCGGCCAGCCUAAGUAUUGCGGAGCAGUAGCAAGCUACCAUGGCUCAAUGGAAACACUAGGAGACAUUUCCCGGUAAGAGAGGCUACUAAAGAUAAACAACUAGAUAGUCAGAUCCCACACAUACCAAGCAUUUCAAUCAUACACACAAUAUGCUCGAUAUGUGCAAAUACAACAAGGCAUCACAACAUGACUCUACGACACAAGUAAGUAUUCAUUAGGCUCCGAGGAGCGGGAUAUUACAAACAUAGUCUCAUGACCCAACAUUCAGAGCAAACAAGUCAAGCACAAGCGGAAGCCUAACAUGUCUGAGUACAGACAUCUACAAAUGAAAAAGUCUAAGAAGCCUGAUUAUCUACCAGAUCCUGCCGAGGCACAAGAUCGUAGCUGAGGUAACAAGCUAAACGUCGAAGUCCACGCGGUACUACUAGCGAGACUGACGUCUCUCUGCAAAAACAUAAAUUAAGCAACGUGAGUACAAAUGUACCCAGCAAGACUUACAUCAGAACUAACUACAUAUGCAUCAUUAUCAACAAGGGGAUGGUGGGGAUUAACUGCAGCAAGCCAGCUUUGACUCGGUGGCUAUCCUGAACUACGACUGCAAGUAACUCUUUUGAGGUGGCGCACACGAGUCCACAUAUUCACCAUAUCAAUACACCACUAUGGAUCCUCUCCCGUCUCCCUACGAGAACGCCAUCCAUAGCACUCACGCUUAUCUUGCGUAUUUUAAAGUAUCCACUUUCACUUGUCUAUGAACUAUGCAAGGGGUCCAAGUUUCCAUAUCCGAGGAAUCCGGCUAUUCGAAUAGAUAGUGAUAACCUUGCAGGGGUGUACUUCUUCACACACUUAGCUCACACACAGUAGGACAUGUUCACAUGCCUCUGAUUCAUUCCCGAUGAAUCAGACCUGACUCAACUCUAAGCAGUAGCAGGCAUGACAAACAAACAUGAAUGAGUAGGCACAAUAGGGCUCAAACAACUCCUACUCAUGCUAGUGGGUUUCAUCUAUUUACUGUGGCAAUGACAGGUCAUGCAGAGGAUAAAGGGGUUCAGCUACCGCAGCAAGUAACAAAUGACUCGUUGUUGUCCUAAUGCAGUAAAAGAGAGCAGGGCGAGAGAGUAGGAUUGUAUCGGAAUGAACAAGGGGGUUUUGCUUGCCUAGCACUUCUGAAGAUAGUAUAGCUCUUCAUCGGUGUCAUCGAACUCAUCGUCGAACCACGUCUAUCGAGAGGGGACAAACACCGGCAACAGAGAAAGAACACAAUCAAUGCAAUGCAACAAUAUGAUGCAUGAGUGUGACAUGGCAAUAUGCUGUGGUUUGAGCUAAUGCAGCUAGCAACAAAGUUAAAUGAAGUUGGUUUGAACCCUAAGUUCAAAACCAAACUCCAUAUGUGAAAUUCAAAUGUCAUUUAUAUGAUUUGUGCUAAACAGCAGCUAUAAGUUGUUCUAACAUGCAUGAAAAUAGUACAGAUGGAUAGAUUGGAUUUUUCUGAUCAUUUUUCAUAUAUAAUUUAUUUGAUUUGGAGUUACGGUUGAUUUUAUAUGAUUUUUAGAAGUUUGGGGUAUUUUCUGAAAUUUAUAAAUCAUUUCCUGAUUUAUUUUAAUUCCAGAAAUACUUUACUGCAUCAGCAUGACGCCUGUGUGACGUCAGCAAGUCAACAGGGUUGACCAGAGUCAAACCUGUGGCACGGGACCCACGGGUCAGAGUCAUUAGACUAACUAAUCUUAGUUAGUCCUAAUCCUAGGUUUAAUUAGCAGGGCGGGCCCACACGUCAGUGACCCAGGGGGGUCAAAUCCCUGGUCAACCGGGGCUAAUCCACUGGCGUCUAGCCGCCGGCAACGACUAGACGCGGCGGAGGCUCGGGAAUCGCCCACAGGGCACAAUUCGAGCUGCGGCUAGGCGCGUCGGAGUGCCCUCGCCGGCGCGCGUCGUUAGGUGGUGCUAGCCGGGCCUGUGGUGGCCGGAGGCGACGGCUACGAGCUCGGCAGCGGCGGCCAGAGCUCGGCUAAGUGCGGGCGCGGUGCUGCAACUCGUAGGUGAGUGAACGGAGGUGCUAGGCAGCACCUAAAGGGCAGCAGGAGCAUGUCGGAGCUACUAUGCGAGGCAGAGGUGCUCGGGGGCACGGAGCUCGCCGGCCAUGGCGGACGGCGGCUUCGGGUGCUCGCGGGGCGGCGGCUACAGGGCGCGCACGAGAGAGAGAGAGGUGAGGGGAAACGACAGCAAGCUCACAGGGAGGCAGCAGGGUGGCUCAGUGGGCUCGGGGACGACCUCCAGCGCGCGAACGACGGCGACGGCCGGCGAGUAGAUGCGGCAAUGGCGAGCUCGAAGACGAUGGUGUGGCGAUCCUUGGCUUGCGUGGCUCGGCGAAGAGGGAGAUGGAGUCGCGCCGGACCUUCCAAACACGGGGGAGGUGCGAGGAGGUGGCUGUGGCCGCGGUGGUGGCGAGCGGCGGCGACGGGCGUGUUCGGUGGCGUCGUGGGGAGAGAGAGCAGAGGAGGGAGAAAGGUCCAGGGAGAGGGGGGAGGAAUCAGGGGGAGUGUCGUGGCGUCUCCACGCGUGGACAGGCUCGAAGGGGAGGCCUCCAGCGCGAAGCAGGAGGUGGCCAGCGUCGACGCGUGUGCGUCCAGCACGCAGCUGCUUCGGGGCGAGGGGGAGGAAGAUGACUGGCAGCUGGGCUGCACAGUAACGGGCCGCGCAGGAGCUGGGCUGGUUGGUGGCUCCAGGUAGGUAAGGGUCCAGGUGAGUCUCUGUUCUUUCUAUUUUUUUUGUUUCUGUUUUCUAAUUUUGCAGUUUUGUUUUAAUUUGGUUUCUUAACCAAAUUAUUUUUGCAGCUCUCUUGGAAUUAUUGUGGAUGCAUUAAGGUUUAUCCUAGAGCUCCACAAAAUAUUCCAGGAUUAUUGGAGCAAUAAAAAUAUUUAUAGAAUUUAUUUGCUCCAACUCAAAUACAAUUAUGAAUUAAUUCAAAAACCAUAAAUGCAUUGGAAAAAUGUGCAUGACCUCUGAUUAAGGUUUUAACCUUUUCCCAGAAAUAAUGAACAUUUUUGGAGGGCAUUUUGGGUCCAAUGAAAAUAUUUGAAUUGAACCUAGUUAAAAUUACUAUCUGCUAGGGUUUGAACAUCCCCACUUCAAAAUUUCAUUUGAAUUUAGACAUGAUGCAUGGAUGCUUACGCAGAGUCAGGCAAGGGCUUAGCUAGGGCUGUGACAGCAGAUUCCAAAUGGAGAUGCAUUUUCAUGCAUUGGGGGAAGAAGUAGAAUAAAUAGUAAAUCUUGAUCUUAUGGAGUGAUGAUUUACAUUCUUUGUGUGAUGAGAUAAUACACAACCUAGGUGUUAUUUAGCUUGCUAUCGUAGAACAACUGACUAUCAUGAUGUGUAGUUUCUGAAUAUUGAGUCCUCGAGUUUUGUGGAAUGGUGCGCUCUAAUUUGGAAGUGGUAUUUCCUAAUGUAUUUGCAUAGUUAGAUAUCAUAUUAUUUUUUUUCUCUUACUUGAAAUUUCUGCCAUGUAAAGCUAGGUUGUCUUUGAUUUGUUGUUGUGUUAGGUAUUGAACAGACUGGCUUGUUUGGCUAACCUUCCUUUCCUUUUAUUUUGCAGGCUCUAGAAUCGCUAAGGUUGCUCCUUCUCUGUUCCUUUGGUUAAGGUUUGUCCUUGUCAUUCUUUUCUAAGCACUGCACUUUUCUACCCUAUUUGUUUACUGCUUAUUGUCAUGUUAAUUCCUCUGUUCCUGAUUUUUCCAGGUGUCGUGUUUGUGUGUUUGUUUUUGUGGUGCUGCUUAUAUGUGUGACUACCGUAUGAUCGUAUAUAUAUGCUAAAAAGUAAAACUAUUUUUCCUUGGCACGAUACAUAAUUUGUAAUGAGAUGGUAGUACAUCAGUGUAUUUGGUGAAACUCGAGCUUCGACGAAUAUGAAGGUCUUUGUGUUGGCAUACACUCCUUUAUUCCAAAUGGUGCUGAUAUAGAAACACCAUCAGGGAUUCCAUGUGUACCAUGUAUGUCCAUAAAAACAGCAUCGAUAUAUCAGCAUACUAAUGUGCUGAUCUAAAAACAUUCUUUUCUAAGUGAUGGUUUCGAGUCGGCAAAAAUACAGUGUAUGUCCAUAAUGUGAUGGCAACUGAGUAGCCAUGUGUACAGGGAAGGCAUCAGUCUAUAUCGAAAAACACCAGCGAUUUUAUCCUAAUUGUUAAUGAAAUUGUUGUUUACUGCUUCAUAUUACCAAUUGCACCUGCUUACAGAUAUCCUUAAGUUUACUACCUCCUGUCCUUAGGAGCAUUAGUUUGUCCUUAUUUUUUGUAUGCUUUGUUUCAUCGAAAUUGCAUACAUCCAUUUCCAACAGAACUAGGGGAGUCCGUAUAAAUUAGAUAUGUUCCUUUUCUUCUCAACAUGUGUCUAUUAUGAGUACUGCAAUUUAGACAUGAUUAAGAAUGGUACUGGAGUUUGCUUAUCUAUCAUGAUUUUUUAGUUCUAAUUAGUUGAUGGCCUCACGUAAAGUGCCUCCAUGGAUGGAGCUUUCCGUGUCUGCCUUGUUGAAUGUUCUACCAUGGAUGGAGCUUUUGCUGAUACCCUUUCUGAAUAGCUAAUAUUUAUUGUACCUCAUCUUCGCUCCUGGUUGGCGGGGAACCCCUCCUGGUCGAGCCCCUAGCCCCCCACCUUGGCAGUUGCCUGGAGAGGAGGAUAGCUCGAGGACAACUCCCAAUGUGCCAAGGAGAUGGGAACAUGUGAGAUUCUUUGUUUCUUUCUUCCUUCUUUCCUCAUCUUCCCAACCUACAAUUUGUUUUCUAAUUUCUCUACAAGUUUUUCACGAGGUAUUUUAGGCUAUAGCUUGACUUGGCACUAUCAUGAAGUGGGGUAAUUUUCCAUAUUGAUAUGGUUGGUAUGCACAUCCCACUAAGAAGCAAGGCGCAAUAAAAGCUCAUUUUCCAUUUUGCAAAGGUUCCUUUUAGUAACCGAUGCGUCCAUGUUGAUGCAGCUACAACUAUGGUAAUGCAGGUUAUACUGCAGGGUCCAUGAUGCCUUUCUAAGUAAUUUUACCGCAGAUAUUGUAGGGUGUUAUGUCGCUUAGCAAACUUUACUCCAGUAUAUGCAACUUUCAGAGUUCUAAUUCGUCUGUGUUAUAACAGAUUUGGUUUGAUCAAUUCAAAUUUCUUAUUCAGGCAUGUAUACACAAAUUGCAGGGUGUAUUGCGCUUAGGAAACUUGCUUUUAGUAUGCAUUAUUUUCAAGCUUCAAGGGGUAUUAUUAUUCAUUUUAUGUUAGUUGUCUGUACUUGGCCUACAUUUUUGUUUUCAAAUAGUUCUGCCUCUCAAUUUGAUAUUUCUAUUUGCUUUUGCUUAGUAAUAUGAUGUAUUGUUUUCUUGCUCUAGGCCUACUUGUGUUCAAGGUUUAGUUGAUUGUGUUUCUUAAAGGUGUUUUGUUUAAUGGCAUCAACAUGUGCCAUUAAUUCCAUUCUGCAUUGUACUGUGAUUUUUCCAAGCAACACCAUUAUGGCAAUUUUUUGCUCCAUUUUAAGUUUCACUUGGAUCACUAGCCUACUUGUUCUCACCUCAUCAUCAUGGCCUUUCUUAAGGGUGUUCAGGCAUUUUUGUCCUUCUGUAAAUUAGUGGCAUUAAAUUAGUGGUCUUCUAUUCGUGUUGCGAACCCCAAUAUGGCAUCUCACCAUUCCCCACGAUCCACAUGUUAACUAUGGAUUUAUUUAAUGAUAAUAGGAUAUCAAUUGCCUUUUCUUCGGGAUAAGCCGACACCUAAUAAGGAUCAGGAGAACAACAAAUAUGCUAAGAGACAACCUUUUGGGGUUAAGGAUAUAAACAACAACAGGGCUUAUGAGGCCGAAGAGAGCUCGAGUGGUGUCUUUUGGUUCUUGAAGACCUGCACGUUCCUGGUGGAGUAGAGCAAAAUAAUUUGGAGGCUUUAAAGCUACUGCACUUCAUGUAUUUAGGAUCAAUUCUUUGUUUUAGUUUGAAAUAUUCCCCAUUUCCUCCUAUUUGACUGAUUCAUCUGAUGGACAUUUUGUCAGGCAAAUAAACAAAAGGCAUAUAUAUUGUUACGAGUGAAGCCAUCCAUACUCCCAUGUGGAAUUCAAGAAAUAGAGAAAUGUUAUUGUUCUUGUACUAAUUGUUUGCUUGGCCAAAUGUACUGUAAAUGAUUUAUUAUUGUUCAAGCUAUAGAGAAAUGUUGUUGUUCUUCAUUGUAGUGGAUGAUAUCUAUCCCAACUAUUGAGGUGAUGGAAGUACUACUGAGGAGUUUUGUCUUUGACUGAAUGAAGCUGUCAAGGAAGAAGGGAUAAAUAAAUCGCUUGAUUCAUGGGCCGAACUAGCUGCCAUACGACUGCUUGGAAAUAUACGUGUGUCUAAGAGACACAUGAAUACUUUUUUUUCAAACACACAAAAACAAAGUUGAUAGAAACACUACUCUUUUGAAAUGUGUUUUUAAUACAUAUUUCAUAAUGGGUGUAUCUACACCUAGGAGCACCAAAACCCUCUCUCCUUAACUGGUUUUAUACAUGGUGUUUAGUAUACAUAUAUUCUUAGGUUUUUCAUCUUUUUCCCUCUUUUUUGUAGGAAAAAUAUGCAUGGCCAGGUUUCUCAUCAUGAUAACCAUGUUUCCAGACUUGCCAAAAAAAUACAACCAUGCCAACUUUACUCUCUCGUCAUAGUGCCCAUAUUUUCAAACUAAACCUAUUCAUAUUAUGCAAAGUUUCCCUUUUCCCAGACUAUUAUUUAACAACAUAAUAAACAUGUUUAAAAAAUAGCAUGAUUUAGUUGAAGGUUCUUGCGUCAUGAAACUAUUUUCAUCGACGACAUGUCUUCAGCAGGUCUCUGCGCCAUUUGGCGCAAUGGGUCAACUAGUAUAGCAUAAGAUGGGCAUCGGAGGGCCACCAGGGAGCCCACGAGGCAGGGGGGUGCGCCUAGGGGGGUAGGGCGCGCUCCCUACCCUCGUGGCCACGGUGUGGCCCCCCUCUGGUACUUCUCGCGCCCAAUAUUUUUUAUAUAUUCUGAAAAGUGCUCCCGUGGAGUUUCAGGAUUUUUGGAGAUGUGCAGAAUAGGUCUCUCAUAUUUGUUCCUUUUCCAGCCCAGAAUUCCAGCUGCUGGCAUUCCCCCUCUUCAUGUAAACCUUGUAAAAUAAGAGAGAAUAGGCAUAAGUAUUAUGCCAUAAUGUGUAAUAACAACCCAUAAUGCAAUAAAUAUCGAUAUAGAUGCAAAAUGGACAUAUCAACUCCCCCAAGCUUAGACCUCGCUUGUCCUCAACCGAAAGCCAAAAUUAAAAAAUAUGUCCACAUGUUUAGAGAUAGACGUGUCGAUAAAAAUAAAAUACGGACAUGAGGGCAUCAUGAUCAUUCUUAGAACAGCAACAUAUAUAUAUAUAUAGGGUGGGUCUAUUAUAAUAACACCCUUAAGAGUAUUAUUAUGAUAACAGCGAAGCUUAUUCUGAUAACACCCCCAACCCACCUCCCGCACUACCACGACCCCAAUCCGACUCCACCUUCUUCCGCCGGCAGCACCCGCUACGCCCGUGGCCACAAAAAAGAUGCCCGACGACCCCUCCUCACCACCACUCAUUCCCUUUCCCUUAUCCUCUCCACCUCCUUCCUUCAGCCGGGGUCGCGCCCACCCCACACUGCCCGACGCCCCUCCUUAAGGCCAGGAGCGAGCAGCACCCCGGCCUCCCUCCCGCGGCGACGGGAAGCACCUAGACACCCCUCCCCCAGCGCCCUCACCUUCUGCCUUCGGGGGUCACCGGAUCCCGACGAGAUCUAGUCAAGCCCUGCUCGCCAAAAGACGGCGUCGGAGCGACGGCUGCACCCCGGCCCCCCUCCCCCAGCGGCUUUACCCCGGCCCCCCUCCCCCAGCGGCUGUACCCACUGCUGCCCCGACCAAAUCACAUCCCCGGCGGAGUACGCGCCGGAUCGGCCGAUGGGGAGGGCCGUCGCUACCAUGUCUCCCCUCCAGAUGGCCUUCUUGCGACGACCAGCUGCUGGCGAUUUGGCCGUGACGGUGAGCCCAACCUCGGAUCUGUCCAUGACGGUUAACCCCCGGAUCUGUCUCCAUCUUCCUCCCCCUCCAUUAGUUGCUGGCCGUGACGGUGAGCCCAACCUCGAAGAGGAAGGAGCAUGAGCUGCGGCAGAGUAAGCCCCCGCAGAUGUGGCUCUGCCGUGGUCGAUCCAAGGGCUCCCGUGCAGUCCACUACCUUGGUGCACGCAGCACGUCGGCACCCCCCCUCACGAGAUUCGGUGGGCUGUAGGUCGUCGCUUGCCACCGUGAGGUCGGCUUCCGAGCGGCAUGGCACAGUGCCACAAGUUCCCCUCCCCUCGUCACCUCCACCUCCAUGGCCGGUCCCCGGAUGUGCGUCUGCGAGCUACUACAACUAUUGAAGUUCAUUUGAUGUUUUAUUGAAGCUCACUAAAAUUUGUUUUGUAGUUCACUAUGGAAAAAAUGCGCCAAGUUUCCUGGAGUUGGCUCAAUUCCUCUCCCCCGACGAGGAGUCCGUGCUCCCCUACCCGAACCACGCAUCCAGGAGCUCCUCCCGGCCCACGGCGAUCUCCUGUGCGCGGCACCACCACUCUUCCUUCGAAUCAAGGCAUAAAGUUUGGAGCAUGUGAACAAGCAGUGCAAAUGGUGCAUUUUUUGUUUGAGCAUUUUGUGUAUAAAAAUUACAGGGACUCAUUUUGUGUUUGGGAUGAGACUAUUCAAAUAAUGUAGUUUGAAGUAUGUACACAUGCAGUGCAGUCCGGGCUUUUUGUGCUUGGGGAUUUUACGUAAAGCAUGAAAAUUGCAGUGACUCAUUUGAAUGCAGUUCCGGGGGAAACAUGGUGCUGUUGAGACUUUAGCAUGCAGUUUAGACCAUGUGGACAUGCAGUGCAAAAAUGGUGUGUUUAGAAACGUGUAUUUUUCGUAGUCUUUGUAAAGUUUUUGCCUAUUUGUGGACUCCCAUUUGAUUGCAGCCCAUGCACGCGACGCGUGCUGUCCUGUGGUGUGGACUUGUAGUUCGCCAGGAACUACGGAAGUAAAUAAAACAUUCUUAAAGUUUAAUUUGCUAUUAUAAAAAAGUGUGAGAAAAAAAUAAAAAUAUAUAAAAAUUGAUGCAGUCCAUUGGGGCACUGCGUACGGUUCUCAUGGCUUGUGUGUGAAGUUUUUUUUCCUCGGGUUCACACAACACGGUUCAAUAUCAGGUUGACUUUGGUCACCCCCAAAAACUAACCCUCUCGCUGCAGUACAGUUUGUGGUUGCACGAAAUUCUAUUUAAUUUUAUGUAGUGCACUUUUAAUCCUUGUGUAGAAAAAACACUGAAAAGAAAAUAAAUUGAUGCAGUCCGCUUGCCUUGUCACAACAUUACAUACUCGGUAACAAAGUUUUUGAAGUUCACUAGCAAAAAAUAAUGUGGUUCACUUUUUAGAGUGGUUCACUUAUACCGAAUGUGAAGUGCAAAAGGAAAAAGGAAAUUUUCAGAAAACGAUAAAAAAGUAAUGCGGUUCACUUUUGAUAGUGUUGCGGUUUCAAUUGCACUCGUCUCUGCGGUCCACUCGUUCAUAAAAAAUAUUGAAAAAAAACAAAAAAACUCGUUUGAGAAAAUUUACGUAUGACAAAAGAAUUCAUGAAGUUCAUUUGACUAUUUGAUGCAGUGCGGUUUUUAGUCUCAAGCAGUGCGGUUUUCUGUCUGAUACAGUACGCACGUCAAUUUUGGUGUCACGAAAAACAGAGUGUCCGCAUUUCGGUAAAUUCGAAAUUCCUCUUAAACCAUAAGGAAUUAGAAAGAGUGUUCAACAUGAAAACGUUGCGCCUCGUCGAUAUCUUUCCAACGGCGUAUCGUUUGAAUCAUUCCGACCAGCGCUCUGAGAAAGUUUCACGAAAAACGACCGCUGCCACUCAUCGUCAGCCACACGAUUUUCAAAAAUAACUAAAAUUCGUAAGGAAUCUCAAAAACAUGUCAAAAUAUGAAAGUUGUGCCUCGUUCGUAGCUUUUCAACAGUAUAUUACACGCCUUGUUUCGACAAACGGUUAGAAACCUGGAGCGAAAACAGUACCGAAAAUUUGAUUUUUUUUAAACAGAAUUCCGCGAUUUAGUAAAGUUGAAACUGCUCUUAAACUGUAACAAAAUAGAGAAAAUAAUAGCUAUGAAAAAUAUGCGCCUCGACGAUAUCUAUCCAACGGUGUAUCGUUUGCUUCAUUCCGACGAGCGGUUUAGAAAAAAACGCGAAAAAACACUCGCUGCCACUCGUCAUGGGCCGCACCAUUUUCAAAACUGCUCUAAAACUGUGAGGAAUCUCGAAAAGUGUUCAACAUGGAGAAGUUGCGCCUAAUCCAUAGCUUACCAACGGUAUAUCAUACGCCUUGUUCCAAUAAAUGGUUAAAAACCUAGAGCAAAAACAGUAACGGAAAAACACUGCGUACAGUUUUUUACGACACGAAGUUCACUAGUCUCUGUAAUGCAGUGCUCUUGCUAAAGAAAGUGCAGUGCCCUCGCGUUGAGCAUGCAGUGUGGAAGUGUUAUCAGAAUAGAUCGGCUAUAUAUAUAUAUAUAUAUAUAUAUAUAUAUAUAUAUUGUCAUAUGAUCUCUUAUGCUAAAGUAACAAUUCAAUCACAAUUUCAAGUAUGAAUCAUAAACUUCAUUGAGAACCAACAAACUCUAACCUCAAUCAUUGAGGCAAUUGCAAUUUAUCAUAACAUAGGAAAGAUUCAAUAUAAGAGCUUUUCAGCAAGUCCACAUACUCAACCAUCUUUUAGUGUUUCAUAAUUGCUAACACUCACACAAUAUUUAUGGGUAUGAAGUUUUAAUCGGACACAGAGAAAGAUAGGGGCUUAUAGUUUUGCCUCCCAACUUUUUACCUCAAGGGUAAUGUCAACAAUAAUAGUUCAUGAAGACUCACAUCCAAUUAGCUAUAUAUAUCAGAAUCUUUCCAACACAUUGUGCUUGCCAAAGGAUAAAAUGUAAAAAGUAAAGGUGAAGAUCAUCAUGACUCUUAUGUAAGGUAGAAGAUAAAAGUAAAAGAUAGGCCCUUCGCAGAGGGAAGCAGAGGUUGUCAUGUGCUUUUAUGGUUGGAUGCACAAAAUCCUAAUGCAAAAGAAUGUCACUUUAUAUUGCCACUUGUGAUAUGGACCUUUAUUAUGUAGUCCGUCGCUUUUAUUUCUUACACAUCACAAGAUCGUAUAAAGCUUAUUUUAUCCACAUUAAUAAGUCAUACAUAUUUAGAGAGCAAUUUUUAUUGCUUGCACCGAUGACAACUUACUUGAAGGAUCUUACUCAAUCCAUAGGUAGAUAUGGUGGACUCUCAUGGCAGAACUGGGUUUAGGGAUAUUUGGAAGCACAAGUAGUAUUUCUACUUGGUGCAGACAACUUGGCUAGCAUGAGAGGGAAAGGCAAGCUCAACAUGUUGGAUGAUCCAUGACAAUAUAAUUUAUCUCAGAUGUAAGAAAACAUAACCCAUUAUGUUGUCUUCCUUGUCCAAUGUCAACUCUUAGCAUGCCAUACUUUAAUGAGUGCUCACAAUCAUAAAAGAUGUCCAAGAUAGUAUAUUUAUAUGUGAACCUCUCUUUCUUUAUUACCUCCUAUUAAUUGCAACAAUGACCAAAACUAUGUUUGUCAACUCUCAACAACUUUUAUUCAUCAUACUCUUUAUAUGUGAGCUCAUUACUCUCCAUAAGAUCCAUAUGAUCUCUUUUUAUUUAUUUUUAUUUCUUCUCUUUUAUUUUAUUUAAUUCCCUCAAGAUCAUAGCAAAAUAAUCAAGCCCUUGACUCAACACUAAUCUUUAUUAUAUAUAGCUCACGGACUCGAUUACAUAGAAGGAUCAUAAAGCAAAACUCACAACUAGAUCAUACAAAAACUUUAUUCUACUAGAUCAAGAUAUUAUCAAAAAGGAUCGAACUAAGAAAACGGUAAAGAUAAAAGUGAUGGUGAUACGAUACCGGGGCACUCCCCCAAGCUUGGCAAUUGUCAAGGGGAGUGCCCAUACCAGAUACUCAGUUCUUCUUUGUUGGUGAAUAAGGUGGAGUUGUUGAUGAUGGAUAGUCGCACAUCGAGCGUAGGAGGUCCUCCAACUUGCGGAUGAUGCCCUUGAGUGCGAUGAUAUGCUCCUUCAACAAAAUAUUUUCAUGUGUGACAUACUUGUUUUGUAUACGAGCUAACUCAAUCAUCUUGAAAGCUUCGAUCUCAGUUGGGGUAAGAAGAUUAUGAUCAAGUUGAAGGAUGGCUUCUGCUGCCGGAACUUGGUCCUCCGUGGCCUUCUUGAUCCCUUCAUCCUUGUUGAUCUCCAUAGGUUCUUCCCUCCUCAGUUCUAUCUUUAUUAGCCAAGCAUCGUUGUCACCAUUGUUGGAGGAGGGGGACGACAUGAUGCCUGGCCUUGACAACCCUGACAGAAAAUAGCUCGAAACAAGAACAGAGGAUAUUUGCAUGGUACGGUGGUCAAAACCUUCGGGAGAUUAUAUAAUGAAUCUUUACCGACCAAAAGAAGUAUCUUGCAAGAAAACGGAGCCCGAAGAGCACACGAGGUGCCCACGAGGCAGGGGCGCGCGCCCAGGGGGUAGGGCGCGCCCUCGACCCUCGUGGAAGCCUCGUGUCCUUCCCGGACUGCUUCUUGUUUUCCUAUUUUCUUAAAUAUUCCAAAACAAAGAAAUAUUGCCAUUAGAACUGUUUUGGAGUCGGUUUACUUACCGUACCACGUACCUAUUCCUUUUCGGAGUCUGAAAUGUGACAGAAAGUGUCCCUUAUGUAUUCCUCCGGGGUUACGGUUUCAAUAAUAUUAGUUUCAAUAUUUAUGCGAUUACCUGAGAUAUAAUGUUUGAUUCUUUGACCGUUCACCACCUUCAGAUUUGUGCCUUCGAAGUUGUUGAUUUUUAUGGCACCAGAACGAUAGACCUCCUCGAUAACGUAAGGACCUUACCAUUAGAGAGAAGUUUUCCUAUAAAAAAUCUUAAACGAGAGUUGUAUAACAAUACAUAAUCACCUACAUUAAACUCAUGCCUUUGUAUCCUUUUGUCAUGCCAUCUUUUAACUUUUUCUUUAAACUGUUUGGCAUUUUCAUAAGCCUGGGUUCUCCAUUCAUCAAGUGAGCUAAUGUCAAAAAGCCUCUUCUCACCAGCAAGUUUGAAGUCAUAGUUGAGCUCUUUAAUAGCCCAAUAUGCAUUAUGUUCUAAUUCAAGAGGUAAGUGACAUGCUUUACCAUAAACCAUUUUAUACGAAGACAUACCCAUAGGAUUUUUAUAUGCAGUUCUAUAGGCCCAUAAUGCAUCAUCAAGUUUCUUGGACCAAUUCUUUCUAGAUCUAUUAACAGUCUUUUGCAAAAUUAAUUUGAGCUCUCUAUUACUCAAUUCUGCUUGACCACUAGACUGUGGGUGAUAAGGAGAUGCAAUUCUAUGAUUAACAUCAUACUUAGCAAGCAUUUUACGAAAGGCACCAUGAAUAAAGUGUGAACCACCAUCAGUCAUGAAAUAUCUAGGGACUCCAAACCUCGGAAAAAUAACUUCUUUAAGCAUCUUAAUAGAGGUGUUAUGAUCAGCACUACUAGUUGGAAUAGCUUCUACCCACUUAGUAACGUAAUCAACAGCGACUAAAAUAUGUGUAUACCCAUUAGAGGAAGGAAAGGUCCCAUAUAAUCAAAGCCCCAAACAUCAAAUGGUUCAAUAACAAGUGAAUAAUUCAUAGGCAUUUCUUGACGUCUACUAAUAUUACCAAUUGUUUGACAUUCAUCACAAGACAAGACAAACUUACGAGCAUCCUUGAAGAGAGUAGGCCAAUAAAAACCGGAUUGCAAUACCUUAUGUGCAGUUCUAUCUCCAGCAUGGUGUCCUCCAUAAGCCUCGGAGUGACACUUGCGUAGGAUCUGUUCCUGUUCAUGCUCAGGUACACAACGUCUAAUAAUACCAUCUACUCCUUCUUUAUAAAGAUGUGGGUCAUCCCAAAAGUAAUGUCUCAAAUCAUAGAAGAACUUUUUCUUUUGCUGGUAUGUGAAACUAGGUGGUAUAAAUUUAGCAACAAUAUAAUUAGCAUAGUCAGCAUACCAUGGACUAGUUCGAGAAGCAUUUAUGACAUUUAAUUGUUCAUCAGGAAAGCUAUCAUCAAUAGGUAGUGGAUCAUCAAGAACAUUUUCUAACCUAGACAAGUUGUCUGCAACGGGGUUCUCAGCUCCCUUUCUAUCAAUAAUAUGCAAAUCAAAUUCUUGUAGCAGGAGAACCCAUCUAAUAAGUCUAGGUUUAGCAUCUUUAUUUUCCAUAAGGUAUUUAAUAGCAGCAUGAUCAGUGUGAAUAGUUACUUUAGAAUCAACAAUAUAAGGUCUGAACUUAUCACAAGCAAAUACAACUGCUAAGAAUUCCUUUUCAGUAGUAGCAUAAUUUCUUUGGGCACCAUCUAGGGUUUUACUAGCAUAUUGGAUAACAUUUAACUUCUUAUCAACUCUUUGUCCUAGAACAACCCCUACAGCAUAAUCACUAGCAUCACACAUAAUUUCAAAGGGUAAAUUCCAAUCAGGUGGCUGAACAAUAGGUGCAGAAAUCAGGGCUUUCUUAAGUAUUUCAAAUGCUUCUACACAAUCAUCAUCAAAGACAACAGGAAUAUCUUUUUGUAAUAGAUUAGUCAGUGGCCGAGAAAUUUUUGAGAAGUCCUUAAUGAACCUCCUAUAAAAAACAGCGUGACCGAGGUGUCGGUGUUCUGGGAACGGGGGUCCCCAGACUUUUCUGCCUGCGGCCUGCAGUGUGGCUCAAAGAGGGGCCCAGCACGGCCCAUCUUCACCAACACAAACCCAAGACCCUCGCGAGGGGCCAAGCCUCGCGGGGUGGACGAUGCGGAGCUUCCUCAGGCACGGCCUCGUCAGGCUGGCUCACGAGGAGGUGGAGAGAUCAAGGCAGGGUACCUCGCGAGGUGCCCGUGACGCAAGCCAUGACGACUCAGGGCGCCAGGCGGGUGCCAGCCCGCGCAGCGUCCUCCUUUCCUCUUUGGUGCAAAGGGGGCAAGCGCAACCACGGAGUAUCGAGGCAUCAGGCAAAGGUUGCCAUUUCGGUGCAACGAGACCAAGACCAGGAGGACUACGAGAUGGAGGUCACCGUGGAGCCCAAGACGGCGUCAUCGCCAGAGCUUUGCGCAGACGAAGACCACUUUUGUCAGGAUAGCUGAUACUUGUUGUCCCCCUUCAAAUUAGCCCGCCAUUGUUGGCUCCCUUCCCGCUCGAUAUUUGAGAAGAGGACCAGGGCCUCUAUAAAUAGGACCAGCCACCCACGGAGCAAGGUCUCAGGUCUCAGGGGGGUCGGUCGGUUGGUUGAGAGAGAGAGAGGGAGAAAGGUGACUGAACUCCUCCCAGCAGUUCAUCGCCCCAGCCAAGAGCAGACCCUCGCGAGGCUGUUCUUCCUUGUAUUGUUCAUCAUCAUCAGCCCAAGAGGCAAUCCACCACACCACACACCGGAGUAGGGUAUUACACCACAACGGUGGCCCGAACCAGUAUAAACCUUGUGUCUCUUGCGUUGUUCUUUCCGUAGUUUAGAUCCUAGCAUGGCAGGGGGUGCAGGUAGGUAGGACGCGAAAUCUCCACGCGCACCCCAGUGUUCGAACCUCAAGGGUCUGCCGGAACCCGAAAUCUGACACGAGGAAGCUUCUUAUACCUUUAAUGUCCUUGGGGCAUGGCAUCUUUUCAAUACCAUCAACUUUAGCUUUAUCAACUUUGCCUCUUUUAGAAAUUUUAUGCCCCAAGACAAUACCUUCAUUAACCAUAAAGUGGCAUUUCUCCCAAUUCAGAACAAGAUUAGUUUUUCACAUCUCUGCAAAACUCGAUCAAGGUUGAUUAAGCAAUCAUCAAAAGAGGAUCCAUAAACGGAGAAAUCAUCCAUGAAUACCUCACAAAUCUUUUCGCAAAAGUUAGAGAAUAUAGCCAUCAUGCAUCUUUGAAAGGUAGAAGGUGCAUUACAUAAACCAAAAGGCAUACGUCUAUAAGCAAAGGUACCGAAAGGGAAAGUAAAAGUGGUCUUAGCUUGAUCAUCAGCUGACACAGGUAUUUGAGAGAAACCAGAGUAACCGUCUAGAAAGCAAAAAAUGUGUAUGUUUGGAUAAUUUUUCUAGCAUUUGAUUGAUAAAAGGCAAAGGGUAAUGAUCUUUUUAGUAGCUUUAUUUAAUUUGCGGAAAUCAAUUACCAUCCUAUAACCUGUAAUAAUUCUUUGUGGGAUCAAUUCAUCUUUAUCAUUAGGAACAACGGUAAUACCUCCCUUCUUAGCUAGGGACACAAUGGACAGGACUUACCCACUGACUAUCAGCAACGGGAUAAAUUAUACCUGCCACAAGGAGCUUUAAUAUUUCCUUUCUUACCACUUCCUUCAUCUUAGUAUUUAGCCGUCGUUGGUGAUCAAUAACUGGUUUGGCAUCCUUCUCCAAAUUUAUUUUGUGUUGACAUAGAGUGGGACUAAUGCCCUUAAGAUCAUCAAGAGUAUAUCCAAUAGCAGCACGGUGCUUCUUCAGAGUUUUCAAUAAUUUAUUUUCUUCCUGCUCUAAAAGAUUAGCACUAAUAAUAACAUGAUAUAUCCUCUUUUCAUCAAGAUAAGCAUAUUUAAGAGUAUCAGGUAACGGUUUAAGCUCAAACACGGGAUCACCCAUGGGUGGAGGAGGAUCCCCUAGGAUUUCAACAGGCAAAUUGUGUUUCAGAAUAGGUCCUUGUUUAAAGAAUACUUCAUCUAUUUCCCUUCUUUCAUUCAUGAACAUAUCGUUUUCAUGGUCGAGCAAAUAUUGCUCUAAAGGAUCAUUAGGAGGCACAGCAAUAGAAGCAAGACCAAUAAUUUCAUCCUUACUAGGUAAUUCCUCAUCACGGGGUUGUCUAUGAAAUUUAGAGAAGUUAAACUCAUGAGACAUAUCACCCAAACCAAUAGUAAUAACUUCCUUUUCGCAGUCUAUCCUAGCAUUAAUAGUAUUUAAGAAGGGUUUAGCAAAUAUAAUGGGGCAAAAGCUAUAUUGUGGGGAACCAAGAACAAGAAAAUCAGCAUGAUAUUUAACCUUCCCACAGAAGACUUCAACAUCUCUAACAAUCCCAAUCGGUGAAAUAGUAUCUCUAUUGGCAAGCUUAAUUGUAACAUCGAUAUCUUCUAUCUCAGCAGGUGCAAAAUCGUGCAUAAUUUCUUUGUAUAAGGUAUGAGGUAUUUCACUAGCACUAGCACCCAUAUCACAUAAGCCAUGAUAACAAUGAUCUCCUAUUUUAAUAGAAAUAACAGGCAUGCCUAUAACAGGUCUAUGUUUAUCCUUAGCACCAGGCUUAGCAAUUCUAGCAGUUUCUUCACAGAAAUAAAUAACAUGCCCAUCUAUAUUAUCGGCCAAGAUAUCUUUAACCAUAGCAAUAUUAGGUUCAACUUUAAUUUGCUCAGGGGGUUUGUGUGUCCUAAUAUUACUUUUACGAACCACAGUUCAAGCUUUAGCAUGAUCCUUUAUUCUAACAGGGAAAGGUGGUUUCUCAACAUAAGCAGUAGGAACAAUAGGAUCAUUAUAAGUGAUAGUCUUUUCUUCAACUUUAAUAGGUUCAACUACUUUUACUUCUAUGGAAGGAUGAUAUUUAAACCACUUCUUCUUAGGGAGAUCAACAUGAGUAGUAAAGGAUUCACAGAAAGAAGCUAUUAUCUCAGAGUCAAGUCCAUAUUUAGUGCUAAAUUUAUGGAAAACAUCGGUAUCCAUAAAAGAUUUAACACAAUCAAACUUAGGUGUUAUACCUGACUCCUUACCUUCGUCGAGAUUCCAAUCUUCAUAGUUGCAUUUAAUUCUCUCCAAUAAAUUCCAUUUGAAUUCAAUAGUCUUCAUCAUAAAGGAACCGGUACAAGAAGUAUCGAGCACAGAGCGAUUGUUGUCAGAAAGUCGAACAUAAAAAUUUUGAAUAAUCAUUUAUCUUGAGAGAUCAUGCUUGGGGCAUGAAUAUAACAUUGACUUAAGCCUCCCCCAAGCUUGAGCGAUGCUUUCUCCUUCGCGAGGCCAAAAAUUAUAUAUAUAAUUACGAUCACGAUGAACAAGAUGCAUAGGAUAAAACUUCUGAUGGAAUUCCAAUUUCAACCGUUUGUAGUCCCAUGAUCCCAUAUCAUCACAUAGCCUAUACCAUGUCAAUGCAUCUCCCUUCAAAGAUAAAGGGAAGACCUUCUUCUUGAUAACAUCAUCAGGCAUACCUGCAAGCUUAAAUAAUGUCACACCCUAGCUGGUUCAUGCAUUAGAGUGUUGCAACAUGUCUACUUUUACAGAAACUUGAAAUGGCGAUGACAGAACCCCCAGCACCCCCUGGAAACAACUAGGGUUUACUAAAAUUAUUUUCAACGAACCCAAAAUGCCCUUCACAAAAUGUUCAUCAUUUCUGGAUUGGGUUAAAACCCCUGGCAAAAAUGGUGCACUCUUUUCUAGGACAUUCUGGAUUCUUUGAAUUAAAUCAUAAGUAUUUGAAUUUGGGCAUUUAAAUGCUAUAAAAUAUUUUAAAUGCCCAAAUAAUCCUGCAUUUAAGUGAGGGUUGUUAGGAAUAAUCCCAACAGAGCCCAUAAUUAUUUUCAGGAUUUUAGUAAGUGCCUAAGUAUUUUUAAUAAAGCCCUAAAGUUACAGAAAAAUAGAAAAAGAAAACAAAACAGGAAAAAAGAGAAAGAGAAAGGCUUACCUGGAGCCCACCCAGCAGGCCCACCUGCCGGCCCAGCCCAGCCACCGCUCCAGCGAGCUGCUUGGCUUGGCCAGGCAGGCAAGUAGCUACUCGACGGCGAGCACAGCAUGCAUGCCACACAGCUGCCCGCCGCCUCACCGCUCCCCUCGUCGAGCUGUCGACGUGGGACGAACCCCCUCUCUCUCCCCGACCUCGCAGACACUCGCUCUCCCCUCUGGCUCCUCUCUCUCGCCCUCCCCGAUGAUGCCCGAGCCGUCAUCGUCGCCGCCGCUCGUUGCAGCCGCGUCCAACACCGUCGCCGAGCCGCGCCACCGUGUCUAGCAGCGUCGCCGUCGUCGACUAGCCAAGCCGCACGACGCCGGAGCCCCUGCAACGUCGUCGUCGCCGUUGUCUUCAACCUCGGGCCGCCCGAGAUCGCCGUCACCGUUCCGACCGCACCGAGCCUUCCCCGAGCACACUGACCCUCCCUGCGGCUUCCCUGUGAGUUGCUGAACCUCCCUGUGCUUUCUGUUUCGCCCCUAAAAUACCGUAGACGCCGCGCCUCUUGUGCCCGAAUGUGCUGCCGCCUGACCACGUCGUCAGCGAUGCUCCGGUGACCAUUUGGUCACGGGCUUGUGCCUGUCACACUCCCCGCGCGGCGUAGAUGAUGUAGGUGCUUUCGCCACGCCGCCUAGGCCACUGCAGCCACGUGCACGAGCUGACCCGAGCUUCGGCCUCCGCCAAGCUCGUCGCCGGCGAUGCUCCGGCCACUCCCCGGCCAAGCCAUCACCACGGCUGGAUGUGGGCGAGCACCAGCUGCCCGUAGCUGCUCUCCGUGCAUCAAAUGGUGCCCUAUGGGCGAUUCCCGCAGCGCGCCCCCGUGUCUGGCCUCACCCGCGGCUAAACGCCGGCAGGCUUUGACCCGCUGACCGGCGAGGUUGACUCUGCUGACACGGGUUGACCUCCCCCUCUAUCUCACUGACAUGCGGGCCCAGCUCGACUAAUUACUCUGUUAGUGCUAACUAACUAGGUUAGUUUAAUUAGUAUAGUCACUAACUAGUGGGCCCUGCCUAAUUAAUUAGGCUAACUAAACGUAGUUAGUGCACAGAGUCACUGACCAGUGGGCCCCACCAGUCAGGUUUGACUGGCCCUGGCGCCUUUGACUCGCUGGUGUCAUAGUGACGCAGUGCUGACGCAAUUAUUCAUUUUCUGGAUUUAUUUUUAUAUAGGAAAUUCCAGAAAAUAGCCAAAACUUCUAAAAAUCAUAGAAAAUCAACCAUAGCUCCAAAUCAAACAAAUUAUAUAUGAAAAAUGAUCAGAAAAAUUCAAUCUAUCCAUCUUUAGUGGUUUCAUGCAUGACAAAACACUUUAACCUUGUUGUUUAGGUGAAACAAGCUAAUACACUUAUUAUGCAUAAGAACUUUAACCUUCAUUUGAAUCUUUGAAUCAAAUGGACCCAUUCAACUUGUUUCACAUUGCAUUAGGCAGGACACAUCAUUUUGCCAUGUCAUAGCAUGCAUCAUAUUGUUGCAUAUUGUCAUGUGUCGAUUAUGUUCUGUGUGUCCUUCGUGGUAGGUUCUGCCUCCGAGGAUAUCUCCGAGUAUCCAACUGAAGGGCAGUACCCUACUACCACUCCAUCAGGCAAGCAGCCCCAUUGAUCAUAUCGAUACAAUCCCAUGUUCUCGCCUCUGCUCUCAUUUACUGCAUUAAGACAACAACAUUUCAAUCUACUGUGUGCUGCGGUAGUUGAACCCUUAUCCUCUGCAUGACCUGUCAUUGCCACAGUAACUAGAUGAAACCCACUAGCAUGUGUAGGAGUUGAUUGAGCCAUGUUUGUGUUUCCUACCUUGCUAUGCCUGCUAUGCUUAGAGUUGUGUCAGGUCUGGUUCAUCUGGGUGAUGGGCUAGAGUGAAAUUAUUAUGACGGUAAUGUGAGUGGUGUGUUGAACAUGAUUUGGUAAAGGUAUCGAUGAGAGGCCAUGUAGGAGUACAUGGUGGGUUGUUUCAUUGAGGCCGUCCCUAAGAACUGAGAUCUGUAUGUGUGAUUUUAAGAAUCAGCUACUACCAUGCAUUGGGAUCCUUACUUGACCCUCUCGGCUUCUUAAUCACCCUAGUACUCUGUCCAGUAGUUGCAAAUAGUUUCUGGUGUUUGUAGGUUAUGUGUUGGCGGCCGUGCGUAGCACUGACCCUAGGGGUGGGCUAUGAUGCGAUAGAUACACCGUGGCACGGUGUACCGAGUCACCCAUUUGGUGUCUCGGGAACCCUGUUCACAUCGUUCGGGGCCGUAUGUGGAAACCUCGGCCGGACUCCCUGCGGAUGGAACCUGGAUAGGCGAUAAACCUGGACUAGAGACUUGAGUGUUUAGGUAGGCCGUGGCCGACACCCUCGUUGGGCUUUCGCUUGAAGGUUGCCGAGUACAUGUCGUCUAAACGAGGUAAGUGGUGAGAGCGUGUAUGAAGAAGUACACCCCUACAGGGUUAACAUCAUCUAUUCGAAUAGCCGUGUCCGCGGUAAAGGACUACUUGGUUGCCUAUACAGUUCAUAAACAAGUUAAUGGUUACUACUAAAAGACUCAAGAUAAGUGUGAGUACCGAGGAUGGCCCUCUCGUAGGAUGACGAGGGAGGAUCCCUGGUAGAGUAUUGUGUUGGUGAUUAGUGGACUCGUGUGCGAAAACUAUUUUACUAGUGGUGUCUCGUAGGAUAGCUUAGCCAAGAGUCAAAGCUGGCUUGUUGCAAUAACUCCACCACCUUCUUGAGAAUGAGCAUGUAUAGUAGGUUCUGAUGUAAGACUUGCUGAGUACCUUUGUACUCAUGUUUGCUUAAUUACUAUUUUCAGACGAAAACACCGCCCCCUCCGAUGAGUUUUAUGUAGACCUCGACGUCGAUGAGUGACUUGCCACCCAGGUGGUGAUCCUGGCCAUGGAGGGCCCUAUGUAGAUAGACAGGCUUCGGGAAGCCUUCGUUCUUUCUAGUGUCUGUACUCAGACUAUUUGCUUCCGCAUGUGCUUGUAUGCUUGUAUGACUUGAGUGUCGGGUCAUGUGACCCCUACCUAUAUGAACAUGUUAUGUAUGGCUCUCUGGAGCCUUUAAAUAAAGUACUUGAGUUGUAGAGUUUUGUUGUGAUGCCAUGUUGUAUUUGCACAUAUCGAGCAUAUUGUGUGUAUGAUUGAAAUGCUUGGUAUGUGUGGGAUCCGACAAUCUAGUUGUUUAUCCUUGGCAGCCUUUCUUAUGGGGAAAUGUAGUCUAGUGCUCCUCGAGCCAUAGUAGUCCGCUACAGCCCGGUUCACCGGAGUCCUGCUAGCCCAGCACUACUGCUCAGGACACUUGACUGGUCGGCAUGUGUUUCACUUCGUUCCUAUGUCUGUCCCUUCGGGGAAAUGUCACGCGGUGACUUCCGGAGUCCUGCCUAGCCUGCUACAGCCCGGGUUCCCCGGAGUCCUAUUAGCCCAGUGCUACAGCCCGGAUUCACACGCUGAUGACCGACAUGCUCGAUGUGAUUCAUGUAUGCCUGUCUCCAUAGGUCUGUGCCGCUUUGGGUUCACGACUAGACAUGUCAGCCCGGGUUCUCUGUCAUAUGGAUGCUAGCGACACUAUCAUAUACGUGAGCCAAAAGGCGCAAACGGUCCCGGGCCAUGGUAAGGCGACACCCGUGGGGAUACCGUGUGUGAGGCCGCAAUGUGAUAUGAGGUGUUACCGGCUAGAUCGAUGUGACUUGGAAUCGGGGUCCUGACAAAUAAUCCACAAACUUCAUCCACAUAGAUUAAGUGUAAGUCGGGAUGUAAUGUUCCAUCUCCUGCAAAAGGAUUAGCUAGCAGUUUCUCUAUCAUACCCGAAGGAAUUUCGAAGUAAACAUUUUCAUUUUCAGUAGGUCCAGUAGGUUGAGGAGCAAUUAUUUGCUCUACCGGUCGGGGUGAACUUACCCCGAACAAGCCCCUCAAAGGAUUACUUUCCAUAGUAACAAGUGACAGUAAAUUUCAGCACACUAUAUAAAAUUUUCCUUACCAAAUUCCACCUACCAAAGGCGCUUCACUCCCCGGCAACGAUGCCAGAAAAGAGUCUUGAUGACCCACAAGUGUAGGGGAUCUAUCGUAGCCUUUUCGAUAAGUAAGAGUAUUGAACCCAACAAGGAGCAGAAGGAAAUGAUAAGCGGUUUUCAGCAAGGUAUUCUCUACAAGCACUGAAAUUAUCGGUAACAGAUAAUUUUGUGAUAAGGUAAUUUGUAACGAGUAGCAAGUAAUAAAAGUAAAUAAGGUGCAGCAAGAUGGCCCAAUCCUUUUUGUAGCAAAGACAAGCCUGGACAAACUCUUAUAUAAAGUAAAGCGCUCCCGAGGACACAUGGGAAUUAUCGUCAAGCUAGUUUUCAUCAUGAUCAUAUGAUUCGUGUUCGGUACUUUGAUAAUUUGAUAUGUGGGUGGACCGGUGCUUGGGUGUUGUCCUUACUUGGACAAGCAUCCCACUUAUGAUUAACCCCCAUUUCAAGCAUCCGCAACUACAACAGAAGUAUUAAGGUAAACCUAACCAUAGCAUGAAACAUAUGGAUCCAAAUGAGCCCCUUACGAAGCAACACAUAAACUAGGGUUUAAGCUUCUGUCAGUCUAGCAACCCAUCAUCUACUUAUUACUUCCCAAUGCCUCCCUCUAGGCCCAAACAAUGGUGAAGUGUCAUGUAGUCGACAUUCACAUGACACCACUAGAGGGAUGACAACACACAUCUCAUCAAAAUAUCGAACGAAUACCAAAUUCACAUGACUACUAAUAGCAAGACUUCUCCCAUGUCCUCAGGAACAAACGUAACUACUCACAAAGCAUAUUCAUGUUCAUAAUCAGAGGAGUAUUAAUAUGCAUAAUGGAUCUGAACAUAUGAUCUUCCACCAAGUAAACCAACUAGCAUCCACUACAAGGAGUAAUCAACACUACUAGCAACCCACAGGUACCAAUCUAAGGUUUGGAUACAAGAGAUGAACUAGGGUUUGCGAUGAGAUGGUGCUGGUGAAUAUGUUGAUGGAGAUUGACCCCCUCCCAAUGAGAGGAUUUUUGGUGAUCAUGAUGGUGAUGAUUUCCCCCUCUUGGAGGGAAGUUUCCCCGACAGAACAGCUCCGCCGGAGCCCUAGAUUGGUUCCGCCAAGGUUCCGCCUCAUGGCGGCGGAGUCUCGUCCCGAAAGCUUGCUUAUGAUUUUUUCUCGGACAAAAGACCUCAUAUAGCAGAAGAUGGGCAUCGGAGGGCUACCAGGGAGCCCACGAGGUAGGGGCGUGCCCCCAUCGUCGUGGCCAGGGUGUGGCCCUCUCUGGUACUCCUUGCGCCCAAUUUUUUUAUAUAUUAUGAAAAGUGCUCCCGUGGAGUUUCAGAACUUUUGGAGAUGUGCAGAAUAGGCCUCUAAUAUUUGCUCCUUUUCCAGCCCAGAAUUCCAGCUGCCGGCAUUCCCCCUCUUCAUGUAAACCUUGUAAAAUAAGAGAGAAUAGGCAUAAGUAUUAUAACAUAAUGUGUAAUAACAGCCCAUAAUGCAAUAAAUAUCGAUAUAAAAGCAUGAUGCAAAAUGGACGUAUCAGCAUUCCAUCAACAACAAGCUCGAAGAUACCAAAGCAAGAAGUGCGGGCUAAGACGUAUAAUGUAGGUGAACUCAUUUUACGCCUCCCAGAGAAGAAGAAGGACAAGCUCAAACCAAAAUGGGAGGGGCCCUUCAUUAUAGAUGAAGUUCUCACAGGAGGAGCCUAUUACCUUCGUAAUGUAUCAGAUAAUCGCCUAGAGCCGAACCCAUGGAAUGCUGCUCGGCUCCGAAGAGUCUAUGCAUAAGUUUGGCCAUACUUCUUUUUCGUUCCUUGUUUUCUCCUCUCCAUAUUGUUUUUUUAUACGAUUCCCAAAAAUAUGUUCGGAUAGACCGAACACUUGAGGGGUACACAUCCUAAUAUGUACACACCCCACCAUGACUGGGGGCUUCUUUAACGGAAGCUUAUUAUUAUUCCGAGCCUGGAGCUCACAAUAUAUGUGUCGUUUGCUCUUAUAUAACCUUUUUGCCAUUAUAUGCACCUCUAUGACUUCAGUUUUUGCCAAGAUGGGUUGCCUUGCUCCUGUGUUUAUGCCCUACAUUCCCGAUUGUUCGGCUAGGGCAUAAAGGGAGCACCUCUGCGAUUGUUACAGCCGGGUCAUCCGGACAUGUACCUCAGACGGGUGAAGCCGAAAGCUAGCGUUCUUAAGAGAAUAUAAUUGGUUGGCAAUCAAACUACAGAUUGUUACAUUCUGGUAACUCUUCAAACACGCAAACGGUUUUUCCAUAUUGCGGACCAAAGCUAUGGCGCGCAUAAUUUCAGCACGCUGACCCAAGGAAAGGAACCCUUAACAGAACUAUUCUCCUUCGAAGAUGUUUCUUACAUAUGUAAUAUAACAUACAUCCCGAACUAAACAUUUUUGUCUGUUAGAGCACAAUGACUGGGUUACCUGGUUUCCGGACGGAGUGAAUGCUUCUUUUCAUUCCAAACAGUAUCCGGAAACACUCCAACAUUUUGGUUCAGAGGUUAUAGCCGAAAGCUUGCAAAGACAAUUUUUUUACAUGUUCGGAUAAAGGUACAGGUCAAUCAUAAUGUACAUUAAUAGAUCAAAUCAAAUACCUAUUCCUUAUAUAUUCCAUCUAUAAGACUGUCUAACCUACAGUCUUCCUGCGAAUACUUCGCGGCUAUCAUUACUUGGUUAUAUACCAAAUUUACUGGAAUUUAUUUCCUGUCUGGUCCCUAUGGUCCUACUCGGGCCAUAUGAUUUGGAUCCAGCUUGGUGAAAUGCGUUUUCACCAUGGCCCAAGCUUCUCGUGCACCUUCACGGCAGGCGGAUGUCUUCCAUAGCUCAAACCGGCAUCGAACACCUUUGAACAAGUUUGCUAGGCCCUCCAUACUUUCUGGAGGGGUAUCAGAUGGCCAUAACGCCUUCACCAUACUCCUCAUGGCUUUCCAGACCCGAGCAUGUACGACGAACAGUUCCUUUAGCACAUCGCCUUGAAAUCCGGAUACUUCUUCCUCCAGUCGACCAGUUAAUAAGCCUGCAGCAACAGAGUCAUGACGUUCCGAAUUAUGAACUAAAGACAAAACCCCUAGGGUGGUUUUCAAUAAGAAAGGAAAACAUACCGAACAUGCCGCCCUUUAGCCUCUCAUUUUCUUUCCGUGCGGCUGAUAACUGAGCCCUUAAGCCCUCUAUCUCUUUGGAUUGUUUGUCUUCUCCCUCCUAGUAUUUGUUCUCCUUGGAGGUGUUCAUUGCGGCCUUUUUCAUUUCCGCUAGUUUGGUAGUAACAAUAUUCAGCUGCGUUUGGUUUGUUUUCAGCUCCUGGGCUAGCGCAAUGUUCUUCUCUUUAAGAACCUAGAGGUAGUAUCGAUCCUUAAAUCGGUUUGCCUCACCGCUUCAAGUCUCGGGGGAUAAUGGAAUAUGCCUAUCAAAAUUGCAUAAACUCUUACCUGUAUAUCCUUUGAGAAUAACAAAGUGACUCCGGCAAGUCUGUCCUAGGCAGCUCAGAUGUAUGCAUCCACUGAGCUCAGUGCAGUGAACUCUUGCUCAGAAAAGGCCGGAGUGCACAUGGCCUCCUUCAAUAGACGGUGAUUCAUCACGCUCUCCACUUCGAAAUUCGUGACUGACAUGUCGUCUGAGUCCUCAUGAGGAUCCAGACCUGGCAUUGCAUUGGUUCUCGUCCUAGUUGACGAGUCUGGCACCGGAUUGGCGGACAUUCGACUAACAGGGCGUUUUCCCACAGUCUACCGCGUGUUUCUCCUGACAUAAAGGAUAAAAGGAGACUUUAAAACAAUUCGGGCUCAUGCCCAGGCAUGUAUUGAACAACCAUACCUCUUGGAAGACUUUGAGGUUUUUGCAGCGCUCCUGGUCCCUUUUCGUUUUGAACAAUGACCUUGUGUAGGGGCCGCCCUUGAGGAGGCAUGGUCCGCCGAGCGCUGAUCCUAGUAAAAUCCGGAUAAGUAUAAUUGAUAAAGGUGCAAGUAGGGAUUUCCUUUUAAAGAUCCCUCCGAAUAUUUACGAUGAAGAAGGGAUAGGGACGAGGUAGUUAGCUAUAAUAGCUACUUCUGAGUCGUCAAGGCUCGCUUGGUAAAACACCCCAUCCUCGAAUUCUAUGUAUAUAUCCGGAUCUUCACAAAAACCAGGGUCUUGGUCGCGAUCGUGAUCCUCUGGCUGUGGGAUGGGCAGUGAAUGUCAUCGAUCAUCUUCCUCCAUGACUGUUGCAUAAAUACCAAUGGACAAAACUUGGUCAGCAUCCUGUGACAGCAAUAAAGUGACACGGGUAGUCGAAAUCUUACCCAUUCGAUCGGGUUUUACAUGGAGUAACCUUCCCUGCAGUUUAGAUGGAGGAAGUGUUCCUUUUCUCCCUUGUACAAAUCUACCAAGAUCAUGGCCAGCUCGGCUAGGGUGUCCGGACCCUUGCGUCUAUAGCGGGACACAUUGUCUUCUCCAUUGUAGCACCAUAAGGGAGUUACUCUAGAUUGGAGAGGCUGGACGCAUCUUUUUACGAUGAUAGCCAUAACCUCGAUUAUCGUGAGCUCGGCAUGGGCAAUUAAUCUGACCUUGCUGACCAACCUUUUAACUUCUGCACUGUCCUCCUCCUUGGGACUUCGGGGACACCAGUUGAAGUGUUUCUUUAAAGGGGCGCUGGAAAACUCAGGAAGGCCGCGCCGAACUGGAUCCGGCAGUGGGACGUCAUCCAUGUAGAACCACUUCGAAGACAACUGUGGGUAUACUUCUUUCGGAGUUCCUAUGGGGUAUCUGGAUCCGGCUAUACACCACACUUCGACACCGCCCACUUCAAAAAUAGAGCCUCCUCGAUGGCGGGGAACAAGGCAAAAGAACUUCCUCCAUAGUUCAAAAUGGGGCUCGAUGCCUAAGAACAGUUCACAGAGGGCAAUGAAACCUGACAUGUGCAGAAUCGAACCUGGGGUGAGGUUGUGCCGUUGGAUGCCAUAAAAUUCCAAUAGGCCCCUGAGAAAGGGAUGGAUUGGAAAUCCUAGUCCCCGCAACAGGAAUGGGACAAAGCACACCCUCUCCUCCUUAUUUGGGUUGGGGAAGCUCUCAGCCAUCACAUCGUUACUGAUUGAGGCCAAUCCCAUUCUAAUGGGGAAUAUAUUCGCGAGGGGAAGAUAGCCCUGCGUCUGGAGUCGGCUCAGCUGAAGAUGAGGCACAGAGAAACUCUGCCGAUCACCCUCUCGAGGGCCAUGGGGGCGCGAAGAGGAGCCUGAGGCACAGGCCAUGUUGGAAGGCUUUUUUCAUGGCUAUUCUUGACGGUUUUCCUUUUGUGCGAUGUGAGAUGGCAUUGGGGGAUCUAAAUCUCCUUAUAUAGAUGAUGUCCGAGCGCGAUGAGGGGCCUAUUUACAAAAAAUCAUGGAACGUUCGUAUUCAUCUAGCGUGUGGAAAUCGAAGCGGCAACAAGAAGAGGCCAUAAAGACGAAACAUAGAGGUCCGAACCGGACUGUCGUUGGUCUAAAGUAUAAUGAAGAACCCGCCUUGCAAAGCCGAAGACAUAAGCCAGAUACUAUGUCAUCAUUGAAGGCAAGUCCGGGGGCUACUGAGGGAGACCUGGAUUUGGGGGUCCUCAGGUGUCCGGCCUAUCCAAGCAUGGGUCGGGCUGAUGGGUCAUGAAGAUAGACCGGUAGAUUGUUCCCCGUGUUCGGAUAGGACUCCUGGAUGCGUGGAGGUCAAGAUUGGAGACCGGAUGUAUUGUUUCCUUCCCUUGUAAACCGCCUUUGUACCCCUCUGGUGUAUAUAUAAACUAGAGGGUUUAGUCCAUAGGGGAGAUCAGAAUUUAUAUAAGCUAGACAUCUAGGGUUCUAGCCAUUACGAUCUCGAGGUAGAUCGACUCUUGUAACCCCUACUCAUCAAAUACAAUCAAGCAGGACAUAGGGUUUUACCUCCACUAAGAGGGCUUGAACCAGGGUAAACAUCGUGUUCCCUGUGUCCCUUGUUACCUUCGAUCCUCAGAUGCACAGUUCGGGACCCCCUACCCGAGAUCGGCCGGUUUUGACACCACAUCAGGUCCCGCCAGCCCUACAACAACUCGGAGCGCGUCCCUGUUCAGCCUGGUCAGCUUGGCAAUGGUGUUGAUGUCGUUGUCAGUGAGGGGCUCGUCGAACCUGCGGAUGAGGGCCUUAGCUACCCUAACCAUCAUCUUUUCCUUAGGCCCUAGCCCCUUCACCAUACGGAGCAUGGCGCACUAGGCCACAAGGGUUGCAUUGUUCUGCGCGGCCUGGCACGCACUCUGGCAUGGCGGCGGCACCGAUGUCGCAUGGGACUUGGGAGGGGCAGAACAGCGCUUAGACGGCGGUGGGGGCAGCAGUGCCGAUGGGGGGGUUGGUGAAGAGGCGGCGAGGCGCAGCACCAGAGUCUUUGAUCUCCAGCUGAUAGACUUGUUCGGUCACUUCUCCAAGCUGCACCACCACAAUGGAUGCAGCAGUGGGCGUGCGGCAACUGAAGCUCGUCGGGUUUGGCCCGGAGAGGGUGGGGCCAAAGAUGUCCGGGAUCGCCACAGCAGCGUCAUCCUCUAUUGCUUUGGCCUUAUCGGAGAAGUCGAGCGGGGCUGCCAGUGUAGCCUCUAAGGAGCAUGUCAUCGGCGCGCGCCUGCCCCUUGGCAUUGAUUGGCCUCUUGGCGUUGGAGAAGAACUGCUCGAUGUUGUCACCAUGUGCAUCGGGGGCGAGUUGGGCAGGUGGUGAACGGGUCACCGUGUUGCGUUCGUUGGCGCCGCCCUUCUUUCGUCCAUGGCGCGCACCCUAACGCCUAUACCCCUUGGAGCUGCUGGAGCGGUGUCGCGUCGGAGGGGAGCGACUUCGAUUGGGGCUCUCCAUGGAGGUUGCCUCGCCCUGCUCGUGGUGAGCACAGCCACGGCCCAAGAGCAUAUCCUUCUAGGAUCUCCUUUCGGCGCCAUCAUUGUCGUGGUCAUGCAUGGGGCCGUCGAGGGGCAUUUCCCGGCAGCCUGUGACCGCCACCAGGGUGCGGGACUGCCGCCUAUGCCGCUCUUCGCGCUGGCCAUCUUCGACGUGCAAGGUCCAGGUCCCCGGAUGGAUGCGCGGCAGCGCGUCGUCGCCGAAGCCAAAGGAUAGCAGGUCGCUCUGUGCCAAGUGGGAGGAGUGUAGUGAUCUUUGUAAGUGCAUCUAGUGCCCCUUAGUGAUUUUGGUGUAUUGAAGACUUAUCAGUUAAGGGUCUAAUGAGUUUGUGAGUGUACACAGGUCUAUAAGUCUAUGAGGAGUUUGAUAUUUACAAUGAAAGUCGCCCCCUAAAAAUGAAUGUCUUCAGUUGAAGACUUUGGUUUUCUUGAAGACUUUGAAAGUGAGGAAAUUGGUGUGACCAUGUGAUGUCCCUUGAAGCUACAUCGGUAUUUCCCCAAAGAGAAAGGGAUGAUGCAGCAUAGCGGCGGUAGGUAUUUCCCUCAGGUAUGAAACCAAGGCUAUCAAACCAGUAGGAGAACGAAGCAACACAACGUAAGCAGCCCCUGCACACAGAUAACAAAUCCUUGCAAACCGACGUGUUAAAGGGGUUGUCAAUCCCUUUCGGGUAAUGGUGCCAGAAAUUGGUGCGUUGACGGGAGAAAGUUGUAAAAGAUUGGAUAAAUAGAUCGCAAAUAAAAUAAAUUGCAGCAAGGUAUUUUUGGGUUUUUGGUUUAGUAGAUCUGAAAAUAAAAGCAAAUAAAAAUAGAUUGCAAAGGCAAAUAUAUGAGAAAGAAGACCCGGGGCCCGUAGAUUUCACUAGUGGCUUCUCUUGAGAAAAAUAGCAAACGGUGGGUAAACAAAUUACUGUUGGACAAUUGAUAGAACUUCAAAUAAUUAUGACGAUAUCCAGGCAAUGAUCAUUAUAUAGGCAUCACGUCCAAGAUUAGUAGACUGACUCCUGCGUGCAUCUACUACUAUUACUCCACACAUCGACCACUAUCUAGCAUGCAUCUAGUGUAUUAAGUUCGUGGAGAAACGGAGUAAUGCAAUAAGAAUGAUGACAUGAUGUAAACAAGAUCUAUCUAUGUAGAGAUAGACCCCAUCAUUUUAUCCUUGUAGCAACAAUACAUACGUGUCGUUUCCCUUUCUAUCACUGGGAUCAAGCACCGUAAGAUCGAACCCACUACAAAGCACCUCUUCCCAUUGCAAGAUAAAUAGAUCAAGUUAGCCAAACAAAACCCAAAUAUCGGAGAAGAAAUAUGAGGCUAUAAGCAAUCAUGCAUAUAAGAGAUCAAAGAAACUCAAAUAACUUUCAUGGAUAUAAAAACAUAGAUCUGAUCAUGAACUCAAAGUUCAUCGAUCCCAACAAACACACCGCAAAAGAGUUACAUCAUAUAGAUCUCCAAGAGACCAUUGUAUUGAGAAUCAAGAGAGAGAGAGAGAGAUGAAGCCAUCUAGCUACUAACUACGGACCCGAAGGUCUACAAAGAACUACUCACGCAUCAUCGAAGAGGCACCAAUGGAGGUGGUGAACCUCAUCCGAGAUGGUGUCUAGAUUGGAUCUGGUGGUUCUGGACUCCGCGGUGGCUGGAUGAAUAUUUUGUCGACUCCCCUAUGGUUCUGGGAUUUUUGGGGUAUUUAUAGAGCAAAGAGGCGGUCUGGGGGGCACCUGAGGUGGGCACAACCCACCAGGGCGCGCCUCGGCCUCCUGGCGCACCCUGGUGGGUUGUGCCCCCCUCGGGGCACCCCCCGGGUGCAGCUAGUGCCUGGUGUGUUCCUUUUGGGCCAUAAAAAAUCAUCAUAAAGUUUCGUGGCAUUUGGACUCCGUCUGAUAUUGAUUUUCUGCGAUGUAAAAAACAUGGAAAAAACAGGAACUGACACUUGGCACUAUGUCAAUAGGUUAGUACCAAAAAAUGAUUAUAAAACAUCCAAGAUUGAUAAUAUAACAGCAUGGAACAAAAAAAUUAUAGAUACAUUCGAGACGUAUCAGCAUCCCCAAGCUUAACUCCUGCUCGUCCUCGAGUAGGUAAGUGAUAAAAAGAGAAUUUUUGAUGUGGAAUGCUGCCUACCAUGUCAUAUCAUAUUCUUUUCUUUAUAGCAUGGACAGUUGGACUUUUAGUUCUUCAAAGCAAUAGUCUAGUUUUGACAUGAUAAUUUAGAUACUCAAGCAUAUCAACAAGCAACCAUGUCUUUCAAAAUAUCAACGCUAAAAUAAGUUAUCCCUAGCCCAUCAUGCUCAAACAUUGAUCCAUUCAUGAAACACACUCGAAUAUUAGCUACACUCAAUACUUAAGUAUGAUCAUAUUGCCUCCUAGUUGGUGCGUUUACAAGAGAAGAUUGAAAGCACAAGUCCUCCCUGGGUAGUUUUGGUAAUUAAUGUCAACAUAUCUCUUGUUGGACUAAUACUUUUAUCUAGUAUAUUUCAGAUGAGUUCAAAAAUGGAGUGGCUUGGACAAGAGGAUGUGGAACCCCCUUCUAGAUGCUAAGGAGAGAAGAUUGGAUAAAUUUCAAAAGCUCAAGACUCUACAUUUUCAUUUUAGUGAUCCAAGAUCACAUUGAGUCCAUAGGAAAGCCAAUACUAUUAAAAGGGGAUGAGGUGUUGCUUAAUGGCUUGCUUGCUCAAAGUGCUUAGUGAUAUGCUCCAAAUCCCUCAACCACUUUCUCAUAUCCACAUAUGUCACAAACCAAAAGACAAACUCGGCCCCACCAAAAUGUUCUAUCCAACACCAUUGAGUUCACUUGACAUAGCCACUGCAAGUAACCCUAGUAAAUUCGGUCGCACCGAUGGGAUUCCGGUCUCAUUGAGAUGGGCUUGCAAACUCUCUGUUACCUGUUGCAAUUAUUUCGGUCCCACCGAGAUAAGCAAUCGAUACCACCGAGUCUGUCUGGCAAACUCUCUGUUUUGCUCAUUACCAAAAUCGGUCCCACCGAGUUUGUGUAAUCGGUCAAACCCAGAUGAGGUUUUACCCUAACCCUAGCACAUCGGUCCCACCGAGUUGAUCAUAUCGGUCCCACUGAAAUGCCUAACGUUCACAUUUUGAACUGAAUCGGUCUGAUCGAGUUUUCUGAUUCGGUCCCACCGAGUUUGGUGAAUUGUGUGUAACGGUUAGAUUUUGUGUGGAGGCUAUAUAUACCCCUCUACCCUUCCUUCAUUAGUAAGGAGAGCCAUUAGAACGUGCCUACACUUCCAGCAUUCAUUUCCUGAGAGAGAACCACCUACUCAUGUGUUGAGACCAAGAUAUUCCAUUCCAACCAUAUGAAUCUUGAUCUCUAGCCUUACCCAAGUUGCUUUCCACUCAAAUCAUCUUCCCACCAAAUCCAAAUCUGUGAGAGAGAGUAGAGUGUUGGGGAGACUGUCAUUUGAAGCACAAGAGCAAGGAGUUCAUCAUCAACACACCAUCUAUUACCUUUUGGAGAGUGGUGUCUCCUAGAUUAGUUAGGUGUCACUUGGAAUCCUCCGACAAGACUGUGGACUUGAGCCAAGGAGUUUGUACGGGCAAAGAGAUCACCUACUUCAUGAAGAUCUACCCUAGUGAGGCAAGUCCUUCGUUGUCGUGGAAUUGUCACGAUAGAUGUCCUAAUGUGAGGACUUAGUUGUGGAGCCAUCGCGACGAGGUUAGCUUAAAGGGGUUAAUCAGGACAAAGGACACGAGGAGUUUAUACUGGUUCGACCCCUUGCGGUGAAGGUAAAAGCCUAAUCCAGUUGAGGUGGUAUUGCUAGGGUUUCGAUGAAUGGGGAGCGAAUAUGCUUAACCUGGCUCUCGAUCUGUUGUUUCUUGUCCUAAGCUGCUGCUGGGUCAUCCCCUUAUAUACACGGGUUGACGCCCUGCGGCCUACAGAGUCCCGGCCGGCUCAUACAACGUAUCCGGCUUGGUGACCUUUCUUACAUACCUUACAAUACAAGUUUACAUACAUGGCGGUUUAUAUCUGUGGGCCUUAAGCUGCCUUCGGGUUUGGGCCCUCUACUAAGCAUAUCUAUGAACCGCCAUUGUUAAUACGCUCUUGGGCUUCAUAGAGAUGAAUCGCCAUAGGGAUGACCCGGCCCCUCCUGGGCGGGUCAUACCUAAUAGUCAUAUCCCCAACAUUAGGCCCCGGGUUGAUUUGAACUUGUUCGUGUCAAUCUUCAACACUUAGAAAAAUCCUUCCUCCUCUUACUAUGAAAUAUUGUAACCCGCCAUGACGUCGUGUCCAAAAGUCGCGAUAACCCACCAUGACGUCAUCUAUGAUUAAUGCCACAUAGAAUCCAAAUCUUAAUAAAUCUCUUUCUUUACUGACCCUUCGAAAAUCGAGGCGCCCGUGUCGUCACAUAUCCAUUUUACCGUUCCUUGAUUCUCGUGCCUGUCGUUCGUGCUUCCAAGCCUAUAAAUAGGACCACAGAGUCUCCUUUCAUUCUUCUCCUUUUCCUUCUCGCUUUCUUCCUCCUCGCGACGCACCAACCUGUAUGAACCCUGCUGCCGUCGACCUUCGUCUCCGACCUCAACUCCGGUCGCCGCAUCACCCUGAACGGACCAGAAACCCGCGGCGCCACUCUGCUGUCCUAUCAGCAUCAGUAAGCCCUCUUUCUUUUAUCAUAGAUCUAUCAUUAGGUUUCAUCGGUGUUCGUCGCCGCCCUUCUUUCUCCUUGUUUAGAUCCAUGGAUUAGAUCCGAAAACCACAUAAAUCUUGUGUGGUAGUAGUUUUAGCACCUGUUUCUGGUACUAGAAUAUAUCCUCAUCGCGACAGAUCUUCCUCUAAGGCACCUCUGCUUUUCCACUGUCGCCUCUGUAGGCUUCAAAUUUAUUCCCUUUUCUGAACAGCAGUAGAUCCAAAUUUAUAGCCCCAAUCUGUGGAACCUGUUUGUUCUAAUACUUAGCAAAUUUUACUCUUGGUAGAUCUUGAAUGUCUUCAAUUAUGGCGGCUUAUUCUACCGGCUUGUCGUUACUUCAUAUAUCAUUAGCCCUUGCUUAAGCCGCCAUUCUGAACAUGCACUGCAAUUGUCAACUUGUAAUCCCAUCAACUAACUUGAGCCGGCAAAUUAUUUCCUGUCUUUAGGUUAUCCUUUCACCAUGCCGCCAAAGACAAUUACGACCUGUAACUGGGUUCCUUCCACCGUCACCGAGAGCACGUUGAAGGAUUUUGUCACCGUUGGAUUUUUGCCAGAGAAAAGUGUCAUGCAUUACCGUGCUCCUGACCCGGGCGAAGAGAGACCUCAGCCAAAGGACGGUGAAGUUAUUGUCUUUACUGAUCAUAUGAACCGGGGCUUCUCGCCGCCCGACUCUAAGUUCUUUGGGGAUGUCUUGCGCUUCUUCAAGCUCCAUCCGCAAGACAUUGGACCCAAUUCCAUAUCAAACAUCUGUAACUUUCAAGUUUUCUGUGAGGUAUACCUUCAAGAAGAGCCUAGCGUUGAGCUUUUCAGGGAGUACUUCUACCUGAACCGACAAAAUGAGUUCACAAACGGUCCCAGCUUGGAACUUGGUGGAAUUUCAAUUCAACGCAGAAGAGAUGCCAUUUUCCCUCAAGCAGCUCUACUGAGUCACCCCAAGGACUGGAACCAAGCAUGGUUCUACUGUAAAGAUAUCUCGUCGUCUGAUGAGAAUCCAUUGCCGGGUUAUCGUGCUGAACGUCUCGACUCAAGUUGUCAACUUCAUGAUAAACUUACCACCGCCGAAUGCAAGAAACUUGUCCCUACAAUCAUAAGAGUCCAAGCCUUGCUAGGAAACGGUUUAACCAGAGUCGAUUUAAUCCGUUGUUGGGUCGCAUGGCGGAUCAUACCCUUAAGCCGCCGAUCCGGCUUAGUGUGUACUUAUACCGGAGGAACAGACGAUCCCUUACGCCACAACUCUAUGCGUCUGACUAAAGAGGGCAUCAUUAAAAUGGCAACAACGCUUGUAAAUAGCAAAUUUGAAGACUGCAUCAAAGUGGGCUUGAAUCCUUUCUACAAGCUUAACCCGCCACCAGAUGUAAGUCUCUUGAUUUCUUUUACCUUACUUCAUCACCCAAACAUUGCGUGAACUCAACUGUGUUAUUCUUCCGCAAGCUAAAUCUGACUUCUGGAAGGCCAAAUAUGACCAUGAGGGUGCCAAAAAGGCUAGGGCUGCCGCGAAAGCCGCCCAAAAGACCAUCAGGAGGUCUAGGAAGAAACCAAGCGCCUCUGAUCUGCUUAAGCUGGACGAAACCUCUGAGUCGGAGGUAGCCCUUGACUCUCUUGGCUUGUUUUUUAACCACCUUAUUGACACUGACUAUUGCCAGGAUGACACGGGAGCCAGCCAAGCAGUCGAAGAAGAGGUAACUAUUAUUUCCUCCGACUCACAACCUUUACCAAGGCAGAAACUUCGGCGGGUAAUCAGGAAAGUAAGGUUUUCACACCCCUUUGCUUAUUUAGAUCCUCAUUUCCUCUUAAAGCGACAACAACAUGAGAGCCGCCGCCAGACUCGGACUAGUGGAGGUGAAGAUUUAUCCUCCGGUUUACCAAACACCCCUCGGAAACGCCAAAAUGAGGUUCUUUUUAACCUUAACUCUUUUAUUUACCGACGGGUUUUCUUUUGUUAACCACUCAAUUCUUUUGAUUCCAUUUUUGCAGGAGAUUUCCAGUUCUUCCUCUGGCGAUUCAUCGCAGACUCAACUGCCGGCUUUCAAGACUGCCCCUGGGUAAGAACAAUUAUCUCUCUUCUGUACCUUUGUAUUUUCAUCAUUAUGCCAACUUGUCCAAAUUCCUUUUUAGCGGUCAAGCAAAGCCCAACAAGAAAGCGAAGGUGACCAAACCGGCCGAGGAUCUGAAAGCCGCUGAACCAGACCAGCCAACCUUUGUACCAGAACACCCUGGACAACCAGAAGAUCCUGCUCCCAAUGCUCAACCUGAGAUACCUGAGUCAUAUGUUGAUGGAACCACUAUUGAUCCGUCAACUACUGAACCGUCAAGCUCAGUUAACCCCCCAGAAACCAUGAUGACGUUUUAAUCACUAGCACCGGAUUUACUGAAUCGGGGAAUCCAACUGUACUAGCGAGACAUUCUGCCAAACAAGAAGUCAUGGAAAGACGGAAAGUGAGGUUCGAUGUCUCCCACUAUGCUCAAUUGAGUAAUAGUGAAGUACUAUCUGGUUAUCUCAGUCAAGUACACUCCAGCCGUGACUUAGAAAUUAAGAUGGUCAAACAGAUGCACCAGAAGUACGAGGUAUGUUCUCCAGCUUAUAUAAGUUAUAUAUCCUGCCAGCCCCCGAGUCUUCUGAUUAUGAUAAGAUUGAAUAAUCUGUAGACUUAAAAAAUUUACAAGCCUCUAUCCUAGACUCCCUCCAAGUCUGGUUUACAACUAAACCGGAUGUUGAUAGUAUCACAAUUUUGCAUGUAUAGUCCCCAAGGGCCGGUUUAAUCAGUAUGAAUGAGCCGGUCCUAUUGUUCACUGUAAAAGAAUAGAACUGAACUGUAUAGCCCCCAUGAGUCGGUUGAGACUAUUGAUAGCUCACCCGGCUCAUCUUUAGGAAGAGACAAGCAAUAUGCAUUAGCCCCCAAGUGCCAAGUGUUGUUGCUUGCAAAGCACUUGGGACUUUAGAAAAGCCAUUUCCGUUGAAAAAUUAUGUUGACAGACAUUAGCCCACAAGUAACAAGUGUUGUUGCUUGCAAAGCACUUGGGACUUAUAUUGUUGUGAUCCACCAUGAAACUUUACAAACUUGUGUUGUAUGCAGGCUGCUACCACUGAAUUGGAAACUCAACUGAAUGAGGCCAAGACCCCGCUGGCGGCUCAGGAAACUGAGACCAAAAAGGCUGAAUCAAAAUUCCAGUUUAGUGUGUCUGAAGCAGAAAAACUGAAGACCAGCUUUACUGCGGAUAAAUAGGCUUGGGCUAAGGAAAAGAUUGCCCUGAUACAGCAUGCUGAGAAGGCAGAGGCGGCUCUUGAGGAAGCUACCACUGAACUCACCGGUUUAAAACACCGUGUGUCUCAGAUGGUUUCUUCUAUCUUCGGUAAGUGCCCUUGUUAUUUAUCCAGAGUAAGUAUUUGUCGUCAUAAUGUAAGCCGCCACUUAACCAAUCUUUGAACUUUUUUAGGUCCCAGGAGCAGCAACCUUAGCCAAGACACACUGGUGAAGCUCAAGGUGGUUUAUACUCUCGUUGAGCAAUUAUACACUAGAGCUCAGCGGACUCUCGCUACUAUCUCCCCAACGAAUCAAGGACCAAAUCUGUUAAGUGAUGUUUUGAAAAAACUAUCCAUCUUACCCACCAGGUUUCAAGAAAUCAAAUGGUCUUGUGCUAGAACCAGAGCUGUAACAGCCUUGAGCCGUGCCAAAGCAUGGGUACCCAAACUAGACCUGGCAGAUGUAGCUAGUGGGUAUCCUAGUCUGAAGGAAGAUGGAACCUCUUUUGACCAGCAAGACUUUGCUGCCUGUGUCAAAGAGAUUCGUCCGCGUGCAACAAUCAUCGCUGAAGAGACCAAUCUCACCAAGUACCAGCUAGCUUACAAUGCAGAUAAUCAGAAGAUGCAGACUCCUUCUAUAAAGUGAUGGAUUUAAUUCCGCCGAUUCGUAAGCACACUUUCGCCCCUGAUAUUGACCCGUUUGAUCUGAUUGACAAUGAAGCUGAAUUCGUUGCCUUGCUGGCUUUGGCCGGUCCAAACCCAACUUCCAGACGGUGGAGGAGGAAGAUGAACCGGCAAGGGAUGAAUUGCAACCUUCAAACCAGCCAGGCCAAGAUUCAUGAACCGAGGCCGGUUUAUCAUCUGCUUUCUACAAGACUUAAAAAACAAUUAUCCUUUUGGGCACCAAACGCCUUGUAAUAGGCUAGCUUUAAACUCUUAUUCUGCUAUGCCAUCAUGCAUAUUUUGCUGUGCAUGCCAUUGUUCAUCCGCCAUGUUAAGAUAUGCCAUGUAUGCUUUAUGAUAUUAGCAAUUUUGAAUCUGUUCCUACAUACAACAGGUGAAAAGUGUCCUGGCGGUUUACCGCCGGACGGGUUAUAAUGCCCGAUAUAAACCAUAGGAAACUAUCACAGUUUAUAACCAAGGCUGAACUAAAUGAUAACCAUAUAUGAUUGAAAGUAUGUCAUACCUAUGAUAUUUGAUCACGUUGUUGGUUUACCAAGCCAGUGCGGUAAGGGUGAUAACCCAAAUUUCGAGCACUGGUAAUUAUCAGAGAUUGCCGGUUUAUAAACAAAGUCGGACCGGGUUAAUAAGCACCAGAUAUUAUCUUAUCUCAAACUGGCGACUUAUAGUCAAAAGCCAUGUCGGGUUAAUAAACACCGGAUAGUAUCUCAUCUCAUACUGGCGACUUAUAGUCAAAACCAGGCCGGGUUAAUAAACACCAGUGAAUUAUAAUCACAAAGCUUUAUAAGCCUCAUCAAAUAAACCUCGAAAAGAAAGAAUCUAUCGAAUAAAAAACAAACGAAAAAUGAGGCUUUUCAUGGGCUGCCAGGCUGGAAAUCAAGUGCUUUCACGGGCCGCACAACCACUGAGUUAAUCCUAUAUACAAACCUUAUAAGAUGGACCUCACAUAACCAAUCAUCGUUUUAACUUUGACAAGUUCAGUGUCUGCAUAAGAUUGAUUUGUCAAACAUUCGGCGGGUCAUUCCAGGAUUACCUGGGCGGAGUGGCUUACUUAAAAAGGCAGGAUAACCCAGGGUUUUAGGUGAAUACACCUGGCUUCCAAGCCUGGCUUUUAAGCCUAUUACAAGGGUUAUACAAACUCUUUGUUCUUUAGAACAAAAGAGCCCCCAAGCAAUAUUUUGAGCUGUGCUCAAGGGGCACCUUGUUUGAGUUGUGCUUUUGCAGCAGACUCUCUUUGGUCCCUUUAACUUGGAUAAAAGCCCCCAAGCUUUUUUUGUGGCUAAUAAGCCGGAUCAAAGGGUAAUCAUAACUUCGCUCUAUAAAGCAAAAUCCCCCAAGUGACCAAAAACUCAGUAUUUAAAAGAAAAGGCGACAAAGGCCCUGCUUUAGCAGGGAUGCCGGUUUAUUAUGUUGAUCAUAAUAUAUACAUUGUCAAAAAUAUGUACAUUAGAAGAGCCAGUGGCUCAAGUGUAGUAAGGCCGAAGAUGAGCAAUAUUCCACGGCCGGCGGGUCUCUUCCUCCGAUGUCCGUGAGUCCUUGUGGUCUCGAACAUCGAUAAGGCAAUAUGACAUGUUGUUCAGAUUCUUGCUGGCCACAAAGGGUCCUUCCCAAGGUGGGGAUAACUUGUGCAUAUCAGUCUGAUCCUGGAUAAGCCGGAGCACCAGAUCGCCUUAUUGGAAAGUUAUGGUUUUAACCCAACGACUGUGAUAACGGCACAGAUCUUGCUGGUAAAUCGCCGAACGAGCCAACGCAAUGUCACGCUCCUCAUCCAAUAGGUCAAGUGCUUCAUGACGUGCUUUUUCAUUGUCAUCUUCAACAUAAGCCGCCACACGAGGUGAGUCAUGACGGAUGUCACUAGGGAGAACCGCCUCUGCUCCGUAAACCAUGAAGAAAGGUGUGUAUCCCGUAGAUCUGUUAGGGGUGGUAUUAAUGCUCCAUAACACGGAAGGUAACUCCUCCACCCAACAACUCGGCAUCCUCGGCAGGGGAACCAUAAGUCGAGGCUUGAUGCCUUUCAAGAUCUCUUGAUUGGCUCUCUCAGCUUGACCAUUAGAUUGGGGGUGAGCCACUGACGAUACAUCAAGUCGGAUAUGCUCACAUUGACAAAAUUCUUCCAUAGCACCCUUAGAGAGAUUAGUGCCAUUGCCUGUUAUGAUGUUGUGUGGAAAGCCAAAACGGAAGAUUACCUUCUUCAUGAAUUGAACCAUCGUUGCUGCAUCACACUUACUGACUGGCUCUGCCACUACCCACUGAGUGAACUUAUCAACCGCCACCAAAAGGUGGGUCUUCUUAUCCUUGGAUCUUUUGAAAAGUCCAACCAUAUCAAGCCCCCAAACUACAAACGGCCAAGUAAUUGGAAUUAUCCUCAAUUAUUGAGCCGGCACAUUAAGUUUUGUCAUCUUUGGUUCGAGAUCCAUAAGAUGCCCUCAUGAUUUAUUCAUAAGGUGGCUUAAUUCUAGUUCUAGGAAAGUGUUCCAUACCCUUCCUCAAAGGAAAUUAGAACUUAAUGUUGCCUUCUUUCAUAUCAAUCACGGCACCGAUAGUGCGUAAAAACGAUCUACCAAGAAUAAUUGGACAAGACGGAUUGCAGUCAAUAUCAAGAACGAUAAAAUCUAUGGGCACAUAAUUCCUAUUUGCAAGAAUAAUAACAUCAUUAAUUCUUCCCAUAGGAUUUUUAAUAGUACAAUCCGCCCAGUGCAAAUUCAGAGAACACGAUUCAAUAUCGGUAAGACCAAGCACAUCACAUAAAGAUUUUAAAAUUGUAGAAACACUAGAACCCAAGUCACACAAAGCAAAACACUCAUGAUUUUUAAUCUUGACUUUGAUGGUAGGUUCCCAUUCAUCAUGCAAUUUUCUAGGAAUUGAAACUUCUAAUUUCAAUUUUUCUUCAAAGGCUUUCAUCAUAGCAUCAACAAUAUGUUUAGUAAAAGCUUUAUUUUGUUCAUAAGCAUGGGGUGAAUUUAUCAUGGAUUGCAACAAAGAAAUACAAUCAAUCAAAAAGCAACUAUCAUAAUUAAAGUCUUUGUAAUCCAAAAGAGUGGGUACAUCACUAGCUAAAGUUUUGACCUCUCCAAACCCACUUUCAUCAAUUUUAUCAACAAGAUUUUCACCCUCCAAAAUAUUGGACGCCUUCUACCUAAAUUUGACUCUUCUCCAGUCCCUUUUUCAUCAAUCUUAACUUUAUUAAACAAAGUAUCAAUAGAAGAACCACCAAUCGUUUUAAGUUUUUCAUCACUUUUGCGAAAGAAAUCACUAGAAAACGCUUUUUCUAAAAAUUCUCUUUUAGCUUGAAGCAUAGCGGUUCUUUUCUUACUUUCAUCCAUAGAAACAUAAAGAGCUUUAAUAAAUUCAUCUAAUUUAGGCACAAAAAUUUUCAUCUUGAGAUUUUCCACAUCAUGAGCAAUUCUAUAAAAACUUCUAGACAAAUCAUCAAUCUUACUCAACUUUUCUUCUAUGGAAGUGUUGAAAACUUUUUGAGUGUUGAUAAAUUCUUCAAUAUUAUUCUCAAGAUCAGAGGUGUUCCUAUUAUUAUUAUAAGAUUGAUUUCCAUAGAAUUACCAUAAUUAUUAUAGGAAUUACUAGGAAAAGGCCUAGGAUUAAAAUUACCUCUAUAAGCAUUGUUGUUGAAAUUAUUUUGAGAGAUAAAAUUCACAUCUAUGCCAUCACUAUUUUGCUCAAUCAAAGUAGACAAAGGCAUAUUAUUAAGAUCAAUAGGAGCACUUCUACUAGCAACCAAUUGCACAAGAGCAUCAAUUUUUUCCCUCAAAGAAGAAAAUUCUUCAACCGAAUUAACUUUUUUACUAGUAGGAGCCCUUUCGGUAUGCCAUUGCGAAUAAUUUGCCAUAAUAUUAUCAAGAAAUUUGGUGGCUUCAUCCAAAGUAAUUUCCAUAAAAGUACCACCCGCGGCGGAAUCUAAAAGAUUACGAGAAACAAAAUUCAAACCCGCAUAAAAAAAUUGUAUGAUCAUCCAAAGAUUUAACCCAUGAGUUGGGCAAUUCCUUAGCAUCAUUUUCAUCCUUUCCCAAGAUUGUGCAACAUGCUCAUGUUCAAGUUGUAUGAAAUUCAUGAUCUGGGUUCUAAGGGAAAUAUUUUUUGCUGGAGGAAAAUACUUAGUGAUAAAAGCAUCUUUGGACUUAUUCCAAGAAUCAAUACUAUUGCGAGGCAAAGAAGAGAACCAAUUUUUUGCAGAAUUGCGCAAAGAAAACGGAAAUAAUUUCAUCUUGACCACAUCAUUGUCCACAUCUUUUUUCUUUUGCAUAUCGCAUAAUUCCACGAAGGUAUUAAGAUGGGACGCGGCAUCCUCAUUCGGAGUACUGGGAAAUUGGUCUUUCAUAAUAAGAUUUAGCAAAGCAGUAUUAAUAUCAUAAGUCUCCGCACUAGUGGCGGGAGGAGCAAGCGGAGUGCCAAUAAAAUCAUUGUUGUUGGUAUUUGAGAAAUCACAUAACUUGGUGUUCUCUUGAGUCAUGAUGACUACACAACAAGAUUGCACUCAAAAACAGAUCCGGCAAGAAAAAGGCGAUCAGAAAAGAGAGGUGAAUAAAACGGCAAAUUUUUGUGAAGUGGGGGAGAGAAAACGAGAGGAAAAUGGCAAAUGAUGUAAAUUGCGAGGAGAUCAGAUUUUUGAUUAGGAACCUGGUAUAUGUUGAAGAUCCUCCCCGGCAACGACGCCAGAAAUGGCAAGCGGCCGGGAGACUAUCUUGACUUGAUCUUCGCUGGCAACGGCGCUAGAAAUUCCUUUUGAUGUCGCUUGAAGCUACGUUGGUAUUUUCCUAAAGAGGAAGGGAUGAUGCAGCAUAGCGGCGGUAGGUAUUUUCCUCGGAUAUGAAACCAAGGUUAUCGAACCAGUAGGAGAACCAAGCAACACAAUGUAAACAGCCCCUGCACACAAAUAACAAAUCCUCGCGACCCGACAUGUUAAAGGGGUUGUCAAUCUCUUUCGGGUAAUGGUGCCACAAAUUGGUGUGUUAAUGGAAGAAAGUUGUAAAAGAUUGGAUAAAUAGAUCGCAAAUAAAAUAAAUUGCAGCAAGUUUUUUUGGGGGUUUUGGUUUAGUAGAUCUGAAAAUAAAAGCAAAUAAAAAUAGAUUGCAAAGGCAAAUAUAUGAGAAAGAAGACCCGGGGGCCGUAGGUUUCACUAGUGGCUUCUCUCGAGAAAAAUAGCAAACGGUGGGUGCACAAAUUACUGUUGGGCAAUUGAUAGAACUUCAAAUAAUUAUGACGAUAACCAGGCAAUGAUCAUUAUAUAGGCAUCACGUCCAAGAUUAGUAGACCGACUCCUGCGUGCAUCUACUACUAUUACUCCACACAUUGACCACUAUCCAGCAUGCAUCUAGUGCAUUAAGUUCAUGGAGAAACGGAGUAAUGCAAUAAGAAUGAUGACAUGAUGUACACAAGAUCUAUCUAUGUAGAGAUAGACCCCAUCGUUUUAUCCUUAGUAGCAAUGAUACAUACGUGUCGUUUCCCUUUCUGUCACUGGGAUCAAGCACCGUAAGAUCGAACCCACUACAAAGCACCUCUUCCCAUUGCAAGAUAGAUAGAUCAAGUUGGCCAAACAAAACCCAAAUAUCAGAGAAGAAAUAUGAGGCUAUAAUCAAUCAUGCAUAUAAGAGAUCAAAGAAACUCAAAUAACUUUCAUGGAUAUAAAAACAUAGAUCUGAUCAUAAACUCAAAGUUCAUCGAUCCCAACAAACACACCGCAAAAGAGUUACAUCAUAUGGAUCUCCAAGAGACUAUUGUAUUGAGAAUCAAGAGAGAGAGAGAUGAAGCCAUCUAGCUACUAACUACGGACCCGAAGGUCUACAAAGAACUACUCACGCAUCAUCGGAGAGGCACAAAUGGAGGUGGUGAACCCCAUCCAAGAUGGUGUCUAGAUUGGAUCUGGUAGUUCUGGACUCUGCGGCGACUGGAUGAAUAUUUCGUCGACUCCCCUAGGGUUCUGGGAUUUUGGGGGUAUUUAUAGAGCAAAUAGGCGGUCCAAGGGGCACCUGAGGUGGGCGCAACCCACCAUAGCGCGCUUGGGCCUCCUGGUGCCCUGAUGGGUUGUGCCCCCCUCGGGGCACCCCCAGGCACGACCAGGGCCCGUUGUGUUCCUUUUGGCUCAUAAAAAUUCUCCGUAAAGUUUCAUGGCAUUUGGACUCUGUCUGAUAUUGAUUUUCUGCGGUGUAAAAAACACGGAAAAAACAGGAACUGGCACUUGGCACUAUGUCAAUAGGUUAGUACCAAAAAAGAUAUAAAAUGAUUAUAAAACAUCCAAGAUUGAUAAUAUAACAACAUGGAACAAUAAAAAAUUAUAGAUACGUUGGAGACGUAUCACCAUGAAGACUUGAUAUUCAUGCGAGGAUUAUGAAGCGUGAAGACUUCUGUUUUCGUGGUUUCGUUUUCUCUUUCUUGAGCCAUAGGAAACACCGUACGGUUAAAGGGGUCGAGGUAAAACUAAGGAAAAGUUUCCAAGUGAUGCUCAUCUCAAAAUCCUACACCUACCCUAUCCUUUUGAGUGAAGACAUUGGAAAUAUCAUACAGUUCAGUCAAUUUCUUCAGUGACAGAGACGAAGUUCUUCUGUUUUGACUGAGGAGUUAGGAAUUUUCCAGUGCAGAUUGCCUACAAGUGAGGAACAUGAUAGCCCUGAGGAAUUUGAUACUCAAAUUUCUGACCGUUGUUGUGCUACGCGCUGGCUGUCCCAAAAUAUCUACCCACCUAACGGUCAUAUCAUUGAAGGGCAUUUAUGUCUUAUCAUGUCGGGCUGCUCCCUAGGCUAUAAAUAGCCGUCCCCUACAACCACUAGUUGGUUGGCUGCUCCGAGAGAAACUGACACUUUUCAUUGAGAGCAUCCCAUCCUCCGAGGACUUUGAGUGAAAAUCAUCAAGUGAGGAAAAACCCAAACCCAAACACCUACAAACCCAAAGUGAUUGAGCAUCACUGAAGAGAUUGUUCCUAUGUGGAACCGACACUUGUUACCUUUGAGGACUGUGCAUCCUCCAGAUGAUUAGGCGUCAUGGUCUAGAGCAUCCAAGAGGAAAUUGUGGAUCGUCGAGUGACCGAGUUUGUGAAGGUUUGGAAGUCACCUGAAGACUUACCACGAGUGAUUGGGCGAGGUCUGUGUAACCUUAGCUCAAGGAGAAUACGGUGAGGACUGUGUGUCCUUAGGUUUAAUUACCUAGCCACUCCAACUAGAUGUACGAUUUCCACAUCAGUUGGAACUGGUCUACCAAAUCAUUGUCUUCACCAAGCUACCGGUUUUAUUUCCUCAACCCUUUCAUUUCCUCAUUCAUGUGUUGACGAACUUGAUCGCUACUGUUUGAAGACUUUGACUGAAGACUUUCUCAAUUUCCUCAGUCAUAAUUCUUCGGUCACUUUGUCUUCAGCCUGCUUAUCCUAUUUAUAUGCUUCUUGUACUCAGUGCUUGUUUUCAUUUCAUCAUGAUGACUAUGCUACUGCUCUGUUACGCUUGCACCUGAGUACUUAUUCCGCUGCUAAGUAGUUCAUUGCUUAGGAAUUUCCUCACCAAGAAAAAUUCCUCAGUGUCGAAUUUGUAAAAAAAACGCCUAUUCACCCUCCUCUAGUCGAUAUAACACACUUUCAAUCUUGGUGUCCAGUUUUCAAUGCGGUCGACGUGGAUGAGGCGGUCGUACCGCGCCGCGCUCGGAGGUGGAGCAUCCCUGUGGCGAAAAGCCGUGCAUCUCUUCAAUGCGCUCAACGCCGCGGGGAGAUUCCAAUAGGUGUGUCUGGUGGGGAUGAACGCCAUGUCCCACACCCAGACCCAGCACACAAAGGUCUUGGUGUGGCUGCGCUCCAGCGUGCGGCUGUUGAGGCGAUCGGCACCCACCUUGUCGCCGAACACCUCAUGCGCCCCUCGAUGGACGAGUACUGCAUCGACAUGUGCUUGAUGACGCAGCAGACGUGUAGGUUGAAGGUGGCGAAGCCGGUGUGGUCGUCCUCGCGCCACGGCAGGAUGGUGAAGUUGGCGUUGUCAACGCGCGGAGUGCCGCGAUGCACGGCAUUGGCGUGGUGAGCCGGCUGGGUGAAGAUGACUAGGAAGUCCUCGGGGUAGUGCGCCAUCACCCGCAUCUGGUGGGGCGGGACGCAGAGCUGGGCCUCGAGAGCACGCCCAAAAGCCAUGGGCGACGUGGCCGCCACUCCCUCGAAUGCGCAUAGCAUGACCGCGUGCUGCAUGAGGAAGAAGACGGCCCGUUCCACCUCUAGCGUGGAGACACCCACCUUGUGGCUAGUGCAUGGGCGGUGUGCAGGGUCGGCCAGGCUAAGUUCUUCCAUCGGAGGAGCGGGUGAAGCUGGGGGCAGAGGCGGUGGCGGCGGCAGGGGCGGGAAGUGCAGACGGGAGGCACUCGGAGGGCAUGAUGCAAGCGGUCCUAAUCUAGCUGUAGCAGGGCCGCCCGGGCCAUUGGAUGGAUUUUGAGGACACUCACGGGCGAAAUGCCCAGGAUGCUCGCAAAUGAUGCAGUGGAGCGGGUCACGACAAUCUUUCCGGUGGUGGCGUUUGCUGAGGCAUCGAAAUCAGUGGCCUUGGAACCGGCUUAAGAAGGCUUCACAGCCAUCAACCGCAUUGAACGCCAGCCGACGGUCCGAGCAAGGAGGCGGAGGGAGCUAUGGACCGGUAGAUCAGAAAUGCGCCCGUGGUUCUUCUUGGAGGAGACCUCCGUCCACCCAUCAUCCAUCCCCGAAGAGGAAAGGUUGACUGGGAGGGACGAGGCAACGAUGAUGGACUAGAGGCGACGUGGGGAGGCUCUGGAGUAUCCACCGUACCAGCUACUGGAUCUACGAUGAUGGAUUGAAGGUGAAGAGACAUCUGCACCACCGGAUCGACCACACUAGCUGACGCCCCAUCCGCUGAGCAUUCACCCCGAAGCAGCAGCCGCGACGGGAAAAGCGGAUCUAGGGAGGCUGGAGAGCAACAUCCGAGGUGGGCGGUGAGGCCCCGUACGCACCAGGGGGAGAAGCCCGUCCCCCCAUCCCGUUCGCCGAUCCACAGCAGGAUCCGAAGCGCAGGGAGCGCGGCGCGCCCAUGCCGCUAGGAGCUAAGGGGCAGAGAGGUGGCUGCCGCGGCUGCAGCGGCCUAUGACACAGAGCGGGAGGUGUAAGUGCAUCUAGUGCCACCCCUAGUUGGUUUUGGAGUAUUGACGACAAACCUAGUUGAGGGACUAAUGUGUUUGUGAGAAUUGCAGGAUAACACAGGUAGAAGUCCCUCAUUGAUUCGGUUUUACUACCAGAGAUGACCCCUAAAAAUGUAUGAAGACAUUGAAGCCAAAGGUGGUAUAUGAAGAUAUUCACAUUGAAGACUAUGACAAAAGAAGACCUGUUAUGAAGCCUAUGGGGCUCGAAGACUUAGAUCUUUCGUAGUUCUUUUUCUUUUGUGUUGAGUCAUAGGAACCACAGCACUGUUAAGUGGGGUCCAGGAGAACCAGUCAGAAUGACUGAAGUGAUGCCUAAACCAAAAACCUAUGUCUUCGAGUGAAGACAAUGAGAGCGAAUCUUGUCCAGAGCUGGACAAGUCAGCUUUGCUUGUAGCCCAAGUAAAGUUGCCAUGAGAGUUUGAAAUCUGACCAUUGAGACACGUGUCAGUUCCUUAGUGACCCAGGGUCAUUUCGGACAAAUCAGGUCGGGUUGCCAAGUGGCUAUAAAUAGCCCACCCCCUACAACCAUAAAUGGUUGGAUGCUCAGAUUUCAGUGCACGGCUUUUGUCGUUUGAGAGCAACCCACCUCGAAGCCUUUGAGAGAAAAUUCCUAGCGAGGAGAAAAGCCCUAACCACCCAGAGCCAGAGAACAUUGGGCAUCACUUAAGUCUUCUUGUCUGUGUGAUCUGAAGACUUAUUACACUUGAGGACUGUGAAUCCUCCAGACGGUUAGGCGUCGCGUUCAGAGCAUCCAAGAGACAUUGUGGAUUGCCAGUGAACGAAGUCUGUGAAGGUUUGGAAGUCUACCUUGAAGACUUACCAGAGUGAUUGGGCGAGGACUAAGUGACCUUAGCUCAAGGAGAAUACGGUGAGGACUUGGUGUCCUGAGCUGCAUGUUCAGGACUGGGUGUCCGGGACUGUGUGUCCUAAGGUUUAAAUACCUAGCCGCUCCAACCAGACGUACAGUUGUCACAGCAACUGGAACUAGUCCAACAUAUCAUUGUCUUCAACGAGUCACUGGUUUCAUCUUCACUUCCUUUUACUUACUGUUACUCAUUGUGAAGCCAUUGCAUGCUUGCUCUAUCUUUUGUCUUCACAAUGUAACUGUAUAAUUUGUUUGGCUUCAUAACUUCUUCCUACUUGAUCCUAAUUACACUACAGCUAUUUGUCACUAUGCUUUCACUCUGUUGAUACUUGACCAUGGCUUGCCUAGUGUAAUCUAACUUCCGCUGCAUAGUAAUAGGUAUAUCUUUACUGUUUGUCUUCAUAACUUCCACAUUUUGAAGACUUUCAUAAAACUUGCCUAUUCACCCCCCCCUCUAGUCGAUAUAACGCAUUUUCAAUUGGUAUCAGAGCAAGGUGCUCCCUUGUUCUGUGUGAUUUUGUUUAACCACCUGGAGUUUUAGCUAUGUCGACUGCAGGGAUAAUCAAAGUCUCCGUUGCGUGCCCCGUCUUCGAUGGAACUGAAUAUCCCUACUGGAAGAAUAAGAUGCGCAUGCAUCUUGAAGCUAUUGACGUCGACCUAUGGUAUGUCGUCGAGAAUGGCGUUCCCAAGGCUGGAGAAGGUGUCACUGCUGCUGAUGUCAAGAAGUUCACUCAAUUGGACUCUACUGCCAAAAAUAUCAUCUGUGGUCAUCUGACAAAAGGACAAUAUGGCCGUGUGAGUGCCUUGAAGACAUCCAAGCUGGUCUGGGACUGGCUCUCCAAGGUCAAUGAAGGCAUCUUAACCCAGAGAGAUCAAAGAAUCAGUGUUCUCCGCAACCUCUUCAACCACUUCAAGCGAAAUGACAAUGAGAAUGUCCAGCACACAUUUGACCGGCUCACUGACAUCACAAAUGAGCUUCAAGCCCUCGGUGCCACUGAGAUCACCAAACAUGAAAUCGUCAAGACGCUGCUGAGAUCACUUGAUAGUUCGUUUGACAUCCUAGCCCUGAUGAUUCAAGAACGUCCUGAUUUCAAGACACUCGAUCCGUCUGACAUACUUGAGAGGCUCAACACACAUGAGUUUCAGCUUUCUGAGAAAAGAGAUAUCUAUGGUCCAAACUAUGGGUGAACUCGUGCCUUGAAGGCAAAAGCUGUUUCCUCAUCUGAAGAAGAAUCUGACAGCAGUUCUGAUGAUCCUGAAGACAUUGGAAGGGAACUUGCAAUGCUAGUGAAGAAGUUCCAAAAAUUCACCAAGAAGAAAGGCUUCAGAAAAUCUUCACGAUCAAGCUCAAGGAAUGAUGAAGCUUCUGCUCAUGACUACAAGAAGAAAACAUGUCACAAGUGCAAGAAAAUUGGACACUUCAUCUCUGAGUGUCCACAGUGGGACAAUGAGAACAGAAGGAAGAAGAAGAGCAAGGAAUAUGAUUCUGACGACAAGAAGAAAAAGAAAUACUCAAAGUCUUCUUCCAAGUCUUCCUCAAAGUCUUCAUCACACAAGAAGAGCUCAUCUGGCAAGGCACGUGCGUUUGUUGGCAAGGAAAUGGAUUCAGAGGAGGAGUCCGCUUCUGAGGAGGCAGAGGUGGAAUCUGAGGAGGAGUCUGAUUCUAGCAUUGCGAGUCUGGCUACAGCAUACGUCGCCAAGUCCAUCUUCAACACUGAAGACAAUGACUUCAUCACCGACACUGAUGCAAAUGACAAGAACGACUCCACUCCUACCUACUUCUUCAUGGCACGCGGUGCCAAGGUAAACACACGCACUACUCGCUAUCAAACAUCUAGUGACGAUGACUCUGACUGUGAUUCAAAACCCAGCUACAAAACACUUGCUAAAAUUGCAACUGAACAACAGAAAGCUAUGGAACAUAUUCAAAAACUGUUAGACAGAAGCGAUGAUCUGUUGGGUGCUGAAAUGACUCGAUCUGAAUCCUUAAUUGAAGACAUAAAAAAUCUUCACGUUAAGUAUCAGGAACUUGAAGAUCGCCUUGAUACUCUCUCAACAACUCAUGAAAAGCUUUCCUAUGAUUAUCUUCAAAGGAAGUAAGAACUUGAGAAAUUGAGAGCGGCUCAUGAAGAUCUUCAAAAGGAAAACGAAUCACUUCACGCCGAACAGAUCAGUUCCGCUCAGGAAGGAUUUGAACCACCAUGUCUUAAAUGCAUUGAGCAUGAUAAUGCUACUUCUGUUGCUGAAUGUUCCACUGCUACUGCUAUUGCAAUAUCUUCAACUGUUGAUGUGGUAACUAACCCCUCUACUGAGGAUACCACUGCUAUUGCUGAUGAGAAUGCUAGGUUGAAGACAUUGCUUGAAACAGGGAUGUACAAAAGUCUUAAAGGACAUCAGACAUUAUGUGAUGUCCUCAAGAAGCAGAUUCUGAACCGAAACCCUAGGAAAGAGGGUGUUGGGUUCGUAAGGAAAAUAAAUGCAGAUGGCUCUUACUGGAAACCUGAGCAGUACCCCAAAACCACAUGGGUUGCUGCAAAGGAACCUUCAGCAGAUCCAUCCAAUUUAUCUUGCUUCACAUGUGCUAACCCCAUUAGUAUUGAUGAAUCCUUUGAUGCAAACUAUAAACUGUUUAAGAAUCAGAAUGGUGAAGUGUUUGCCAGGUACAUUGGUACUAACUGCAGGAAUGGACCGCCUAUGAAGAAGAUCUGGGUUCCGAAAAAGUGUCUGGAAAAUCUUCCUAUGAAUGUCUUCAUGACACCUCACUUGAAGAAGACAAACCUCAGACCAAAGGCUUCAUAAGGUCCAAAGGCUUCAUACAAACAAAGGACUCACCUGAGUCACACUAACGCAAAUGUUUUGCAGGGAAACCAUACUCAGGCAUAUGAAUAUGAGAGCGGUUCAUCGAACCAUCAUGUUCAUAUGACCAAAAAUUAUUCUGCUUAUUCCUAUGAGUAUUAUUGUCCACCUGCAAGACUGUUUGCUAAGGCUUAAAAGCCAAAAUUCUCAGAUGCUGCACUUAGACUUAUUGCUUCUAAGCCACCCUUGAAGAUGUGGGUGGUUAAGAAAGCUUAACUCUCUUUUGCAGGGAAAGGUCUCCAGCAGAAAAACAAAAUCUUCUGACGCUAUUGCUGGGGACCUUAAAAAUCUUGUAGGGCGCAAGAUAAAAUGCCCAAAUGGCAUCAUUAUGUACUUCGUUCCUGAAUCGCAUGCUACUCUCCCUAUUAGUCCUAAUCUAGAUCUAAGUUUUCAUAACCCACUGGUUCGUCAAAUGUUUUUGCUUCACAAUUCUCUUCAUGAAGCCUAUCCCCCUAACUGCACAGUAGGGUACGACACCAGCGUCUUCAAAGUCUUCAGAAUGGAUUAUUGACAGUGGGUGUACAAAUCACAUGACUGGCAAAAGAAGCCUUCUUAUGGACUCAACCUUACGUCCAUCCGACAAGAGCCACAUCACAUUUGCUGACACUGGUAAAAGUAAGGUAUUGGGUCUAGGUAGAGUUGCAAUCUCAAAGGAUCAACACAUGGAUAAAGUCAUGCUUGUUGAAUCCCUUGGCUUCAACUUAAUGUUUGUCUCAAUGCUUUGCGAUUUAAAUAUGAUCGUAAUGUUUGGAAAAUAUCGUUGCCUAGUACUAAUGGAAUCUGACAAGUCUCUAGUGUUUGAAGGGUAUCGAAAAGAUGAUCUGUACGUGGUAGAUUUCUCAGCAGGGCCACAACUUGCAGUAUGUCUUCUUGCAAAAGCUUCAGAAUGCUGGCUUUGGCAUCGGAGGCUUGGGCAUGCUGGCAUGAGGAACCUCCACACCCUUGCAAAGAAGAAGCAUGUCAUAGGCAUCGAGGGCGUCAAGUUCAAGAAAGAUCACUUAUGCGGUGCCUGUGAAGCAGGGAAGAUGACAAGGGCAAAACAUCCUUCGAAGACAAUCAUGACUACUACUCAACCCUUCGAACUGCUCCACAUGGAUCUUUUCGGCCCCACUCACUACUCAACUUUUACUACUACUGCCUGCCUCUAUGGCUUCGUCAUUGUUGAUGAUUACUCUAGAUAUACUUGGGUGCACAUAAUCCUUUACAAGACUGAAGUGCAGGAUGUCUUCAGACGCUUCUCCAAUCAUGCUAUGAACAAUUUUGGCACCAAGAUAAAACACAUCAGAAGUGGCAAUGGCUCUGAAUUCAAGAACACUGGCCUUGAUACAUAUCUUGAUACCUUGGGCAUCACACAUGAAUUCUCAGCUCCGUACACGCCACAGCAGAAUGGCGUCGUCGAACGCAAGAACAGAACACUCAUUGAGAUGGCCAGAACAAUGCUAGAUGAAUACAAGACUCCAAGAAAAUUCUGGACUGAAGCCAUUGACACUGCAUGCCAUACAAUCAAUCGUGUUUAUCUUCACAAGCUUCUGAACAAGACAUCUUAUGAACUCCUAACUGGCAAGAAGCCAAAUGUCAGUUACUUCAGAGUAUUUGGCGCAAGGUGCUGGAUCAAGGACCCACACCACACCUCAAAGUUUGCACCAAAAGCACAUGAGGGCUUUAUGCUUGGAUAUGGAAAGGAUUCACACUCCUACAGAGUCUUCAAUCUCUUUCAUUACAAAGUGGUUGAAACAGUGGAUGUGCGGUUCGAUGAGACAAAUGGUUCACAAAGAGAGCAACUGCCAAAUGUGCUAGAUGAGAUUCCAGCUAGUGAAUCAAUCAAGCUAAUGGGAACUAGAGAGAUUAUACCUUCUGAAGCUCAUCCUGAAGAAGAACUUAUCAUCUCAGCACCUGAUCAACAUGAAGACAAUGCUCAGCCUGAAGACAUUCCUCCCAACAACAACACAGAUCAGCAAGAGCAAAGUCUUCGCCCUGUACAUCCUCGUGUUGCCAAUGAAGUGCAGAUUGACAGAAUAAUUGACAGCAUCAAUGCACCUGGUCCACUCACUCGUUCAAGGGCAACUCAGCUAGCAAAUUUUUGUGGGCACUUCGCAUUCGUCUCAAUAUCAGAACCCAAGAAAGUUGAAGAAGCCUUCAUGGAAUCUGAAUGGAUUCAAGAUGUGCAAGAAGAGCUUCAACAGUUUGAGCUGAAUAAUGUAUGGGAACUGGUUAAGCGCCUUGAUCCACGGAAGCACAACAUAAUAGGCACCAAAUGGAUAUACCGCAACAAACAAGAUGAGCAUGGUCAAGUUGUCAGAAACAAAGCUCGUCUCGUUGCUUAAGGAUAUACUCAAGUGGAAGGCAUUGACUUCGAUGAAACAUUUGCUCCCGUGGCUAGGCUUGAAGCCAUACGCAUUCUGCUGGCCUAUGCAAAUCAUCAUAACAUACUUCUAUAUCAAAUGGAUGUGAAAAGUGCCUUUCUCAAUGGCAAGAUUGAAAAAGAAGUGUAUGUUGCACAACCGCCUGGCUUUGAAAAUCCAAAACAUCCUGACAUGGUAUACAAGCUCAACAAAGCAUUGUAUGGCCUCAAACAAGCCCCUAGGGCCUGGUAUGACACACUCAAAUACUUCCUGAAGAGCAAAGGCUUCAUACCUGGUUUCCUGGAUCCCACUCUUUUCAUGAAGACAUAUGAUGGUGAACUGUUUGUGUGCCAAAUAUAUGUGGAUGACAUUAUCUUCGGCUGCACCAAUCAGAAGUACAGUGAAGAGUUUGGAUAUAUGAUGCAAGAGCAAUAUCAGAUGUCCAUGAUGGGGGAGCUGAAGUUCUUCCUUGGUCUUCAAAUACGACAACAACGCAAUGGCAUCUUCAUAUCUCAAGAGAAGUAUCUCAAAGAUUGCCUGAAGAAGUUCGGUAUGCAAGACUGCAAAGGCUUCACAACACCAAUGCCAGCCAAACAUCAUCUAGGUCCUGACGACAAUGGUAAAGAGUUCGAUCAAAAGGUAUACCGCUCCAUGAUUGGUUCUUUGCUUUAUUUAUGUGCAUCUAGGCCAUAUAUUAUGCUUAGUGUUUGCAUGUGUGCUCGAUUUCAAGCGGCACCAAAGGAGUCGCAUCACUUAGCUGUGAAGCGAAUUCUUCGAUAUUUGGCUCACACCCCAACUCUAGGAUUAUGGUAUCCAAAGGGCUCAGAGUUUGAUUUGGUUGGAUUUUCGGAUGCUAAUUAUGCUGGUGACAAAGUUGAUCGCAAGUCUACAUCAGGCACAUGUCACUUUCUGGGACGAUCACUUGUAUGCUGGUCUUCAAAGAAGCAGAACUAUGUAUCUCUCUCCACUGCUGAAUCUGAAUACAUUGCUGCUGGAUCCUGCUGCGCUCAGCUUCUGUGGAUGAAGCAAACACUCAAAGACUAUGGUAUUCAUCUGAAGCAAGUCCCACUUUACUGCGACAACGAAAGCGCCAUCAAGAUUGCCAACAACCCAGUUCAGCACUCGAAGACAAAGCACAUUGAAAUUCGUCAUCACUUUCUCAGAGAUCAUGUUGUGAAGGAAGACAUUGAUAUCAUACACGUCAACACUGAAGAGCAAUUGGCAGAUAUCUUCACCAAGCCCUUGGAUGAGAAGAGGUUUUGCAAGUUACAGUGUGAGCUAAAUAUCCUGGAAUCCUCAAAUGUCCUGUGAUCAGGCACACAUCCUAACCCUUAUGCAUAUUGAUGACUUAGAUGUGCAACGCACAAAGUAAAGUAUAUCUUCAAUCAAUGAAGACAUACAUUCUAAGUGUGAAUAUAAUGUGGAAUUUGACUUCGGAGCGCCACGAUAAUUGUGCGCCGUGUCUGGGUCUAAUACUUCCUGUACGGUGGGUAACGCCACCACCAAACGUUCUAUUUUGAAGUGUUUCACUCAUGGCGUUACCUUGCAAUAUCUUCACAUUUGGUUUGGCUUCGAACUCAACAUGUCUUCAUGAUUAUCUUCACUACAUUGAUUAUAUAGAUGUAUACAUACUAGUGUUCUGUCCUCUACAGCAUUCACUUAUAGCUAUGUCUUCUUGGUUGAAUCUUUUGAACUAAGUGAAUGUGAUCGGACCCUAAUCUCUCUAUGCUUUCUAUCUCAAAUUCUAUCUCUCCAAGUCAUAUGCAUUCUAUUGAAACUGUCGAAUGUCUUCACUGCGUCCUUGUCAGCUGAAGAUAUAGAGACAACCAUAAAGUCCAUUUUCAAUGCCCAUUCCUCCACAUAAAAUCCGGAGAAGCAGGAACGACCGCCCGACAAUCCAGGCGUGCGUGGGACGUGGACCAGACCCAAAACUUCCGCAAACUGGCCACGCGUUCCUCAGAUGCGAAUCGCCAGGGGGACCUGUGUAAUAGCACAGUGCCGCCCCUGAGCCUAUAAAUUCACACUUACCGCGGUCAUUAUCUCCUUCUUCCACCCUCGCACGAACCCUAGCGCCACCGCUAGCACUCGACGACGCCGGCGACGAAGCGCUUCGCUGCCGCAACCUCUCCGACGCCGUCCUCGCGCCGACCGCGGACAUCGUUCUCUCCGCCGUCGCCGUAGGUGUCUUCUGUCGCCAAGUUAGGGCACGGAGGACUGAACUGCUCGGCAUCAUCUCCCACUUCCGUCUAGCAGUUCCAAGUGUGGUAAAUAAAACUUCUUUUUACAGCCCCUUUUGAUCUCAUGGUUCUGUCACUUUCUACCAUAAGAAGUUUAUCUUCACACAAGAUAUAUCUCUCAAUCUGCAUCUCAUAACAUGCCUAGUAUAUUCACUUGUGCUUCAUGAAGUAGUUAGAUUCCUCACUUGUACUGAUCUGUGGGUUCGUACAAAUCUGGAACCAACUUCUUAUCUAUGAGUGAAUGUCUUCGCACGAUGAGGUCAAUGCCUUCUAAACUGAUUAAUCUUCAAAACCUUCUGAGAAUGCAUAUGACCUCUUCCCCUUCCCUCGCACCUUAAUGUUGUCACAGGUACAUGUCCGUGGGAGAAUCCUUCGGUUCUCAUAGUCUGCAUUCAUUUGCAGAAUUCCUACAGCAACACAUAAAUUCUCCUGAAGCCAGUUCCCGUUGGUCCAGCAAAAGAAAGCCUUUGAAGCCUUUGAGAGUUUUGAAGCCUUUCAAGUUAAAGUCUAUGGCUUCAGAAGCAGCAGCAAGGAAAGGGGGCAGACAGCGACGCGAAGGAACUUCCAAAGAUCUGCCUGAAGACCUGGCAGAAAUGUAUAAAACAGAUCCAGAAGAGAAUUAUGGGCAGCGCAAGACCCAAAUCCAAUGGAUUCGACGCUAUUAGGCAGAACAAUGGUUCAAAUACCGCUUCGUCACCCAGGAGUAUGCUGAGAAAUGUGCCAUCAAGAGACCAUGGGGGGACAUCCUUUACAAGAAUCUCAUACGCAGGACCAGAGAUGAAGCCACUGCUCAAGGCUUCUACCCAUGCAUGGUCCGAGGACCACAGCCUGAUGAUGCGCAUCCGUCGUAACUCCUCUGGUGUCGUGACGACAAUCUGUUCAAGCGCAACUUCCAGUUUUCCCAACAAUCAGCGAAGCAGAACAAGAAGAAAUUUGGGUUAGACUUCAACCCUGGUCCCUUAGCUCCAAGGGCAGAUGACACACGCUACGCAGAACCCAAUAUCAUUGGUCUGUUUGCCAACCUUGAGGGCCUCAUCACCCACAUCUUAGUCCAAGGGACUGGCAUGAAUGACCCUCCAGCUGACUCUGAGUCUGAUGAAGCUCCUGCUGUACCGAAGCCACAGCAGUCAAAGAAGCCAAAAGCUUCAAAGUCGGCCCCUUCAUCAAAAAUCUCAAGGGCGAAGCCAUUGGCAACUGCACCUCCUGAAGACAGUGUGCAGUCUGAAGACGUAUCCCGCGUCUCCAAGACCCAGAAGGCCAAGGUGCCUCAGCCACACACCGGCAAAGAGCUCACAACUGCUGCCAUUUUGCGCAGCGAAGCCAUUGAUCUGUCAAGUGAUGAAGAUCUUGGAGAUGACGCUCUAGAGCAGCUCAUCAAGAGCAAAGAAGAAGCUGAGAUCUUCAACAAUUUUCCUCUCUUUGAUGUCGCCAUCAUCCACAACUUCAUCGACGAAUGGUUUGCCACACCGAACAUAAGCUUCGAAGAUCUGCAGCUGCCUGUUGGCCUCAGCGUCGCCUUCCAAGGCGCAAUUGCUUCAGAACUUGCCAUUGCCCAGCGCAUUGUUGAACUGAAGCAGAAAAUUGAUCAUGAAAAGGCUCAGUUCAAGAAGAAUAUGGCCAAGCUCAGCAUGCAAGAAGUGAAGAUCUUCAAGACCAUGUUGCAUGAGCUCAAGGAAAAUUUUCUGAAAAAGCGUGCAGAAGCUCAGGGCUCACGUGAGCGGAUGAAGUCUCUGGCAGAACGAUGUGUGCAAGCCUACAAUGAGGCCGAGAAGCGCAAGGCACUUGGGCGUCCUGGCAUCGACCCCAAGAUGGCCGCGAAGAAGAAGAAGAAACCUGCUAUGGCUGAACCAGAGGCAUCAAGGCAAGAAGCAGUUCCAAUUGUCUUCCCAACUGCAACGACUGGCUCGAAGCCAAAGAGCCGAUCAACAGCUUCAGAGCUCAAGAAGACAAGAACUGCUGAGGCUGAAGCCAGGAAGAGGAAAAGAUCUGAAGCCUCUCCUACUGCCCCCAGCAAGAAGAAGCGAAAAAUCAAGAAAUCUCGGGCUGCUCCCACAGAGCCCUUGAUAGUUGAACCUAUCUCUAUGGUUCACCCCAACGCAGAACGACAACUGACAGUUCAUGAGCCUGCUUCCACAGAGGCUCUUGAAGCUGAAGACAUACCAGCAGCCGACCCCAUUGCUGCUGAAGACAUUGGUCAUCAGGACAAUGUACAAGAUGAUGCAGCCCUUCCUCAGUAUGAACAAAGCGAACUCAUCAGCAUUGGUCGUCCUUUGACGCCAAUUGCACAAGAUGCGUCAUGGGCAGAUCGCCCUCAAGAGGAAGAAGACAAUGAGGCCCAGCCCACUCCAACACCACAGGCAUCGUCUGCAUUCCGCAGGCUUCGCAAAGGUCCAAGGCCUCAAGUCUAUGCUGAAGACAUUCCGGCUGCAUCAGCCGAAGAAGAAGCACCACAAGAGCCCACUCCAAUGCUCCACCAAGAAGCAGCUCUCCAGGAGAACGUGCUUGUGACUGACCCUACAGCUAGUCAAGCGGAGGCUGAAAAUGUUGAGGCUGCCACAACCAACACUGAAGCCAAUGUGGAGCCCUCCCCACCAAAAGCUUCAGCAGACAGCGAAGCUACUGAUCCAGACACUUCUGUUCCUGAGUCUGCUGCAGGUCCUCAAUUUGAUUACCAUGUUGAGCACAGGCCUCACGUCCAGAAGCCAGUCCCAAGGCUGCCAAGGUUCCCAGGUCCUGCAUCAGCACCUGGCUCCUUUGACAUCAAUAGCUUCAAGGCAGACAAUACGUUCUUCAACAGCUCCAAGAACCCCUAUUCAAGGGAAAGGAUUUCAUCAAAUAGGUUCUGGAGCUAUCCUCAGUGCAGCUACUAUUCAUGCAUCCUAUACAACCAAGGUCGCAUCUUCCCGCACAAGCGCCUUAAUGUUGAAGCCAUUGCUGGUCUGCCCUGCUUAGAGGAAGCGCUGGAUUGCUUCAAGCAAGUGGGUCUGCUGCAGUUUAUAACUGAUGAAGAGCACUGGAAUGAAGAGCUUCUGUUGCAAUUCUAUGCCACCCUACAAAUCAAGGGAUACAACAGAGAUCCGAAGACUUGGGCCCUGGAGUGGAUGACCGGCAAUGUCCAUCACGAAGCCAAUGCAUUCGAUGUCAUUGAGCUCACCGGCCUGCCCACUCCUGGCGAACUCUUCGAGGAAGGUUGUCCACUACACACUGAAGCUCUUGAGAGCAUAUUCCAGAGACCUGAACCAAAUAUGAGUCAGAUGCUCUCCAUGAUGAAGCCACUGCCUCUCGAUGCUCCUUAUCCAACAGAGUUAUUCAUUGAAGACUUUGAGUACCUGCCCAGAACAAUCUAUCACAUUAUCCGGCGGACUCUCUGGCCUAUUAAAGGGCACUCUCCAAAUGCCAAGAUUGAGGGUGCAAUGAAGACUCUGAUAUUCUGUAUCCUUCAUGGCAAAUGCUUCAACGCACAGGAUUUCUUCAUACGCCAACUCGCUGCAUUAGGCUCAGAUCUGUUUGGUUUAAAGUUCUAUGCUCCUUGGGUAAUGAGACUGAUCAAGCUUCACUCUGCGAUCUCAUAUCAGCCCUCAGCCCGCAACCAUCGGAUCUUCUUGCCAGAUGUGGAUACCUCUGUUGAAGCUAUAUAUCCUGAGCCUGCCAAGCAACCUUUGAGUCUUCAGAAUGCAGACCACCAGAGCUUCACUCAAAAUGAUGAAGGUGUUGAAGCCAUCUCCAAGGUGUAUCCUUUGGCUGGCACUACACGUGCGCCACACCCUGCUUCAACUGAAGCCACUGAUAGUGUAACUGCUUCAAGACCCAAGAAGCGCGCUCGUGUUCUCAAUGACCGAGAGCUUCUUGUGGCCCUUCAUCAAAAACAAGAUAGGCAUCACGACUGGCUAAAGCGUCAGAUGAAAAGCCUCUUGGUGGAUGUUAAUCGUCUUCGAAAUCUUGCCACCAAGAAUGCUUUCGUCACUCAUGAAACCUGUCGUCGUACAUGGAAAGGGCUAUCAAUGAUGUGUACUGAUACUGAACUUGAAGAGGAUGGCUUCACUGAGCGAUUCAAGUUUGACACCACACCUCCUAGAAGGGCUGUGAUGCGCAACACACCAUCACUUGAAGAUUCUGAGUUUUCUUCAUCUGCUGCCACAGUCACUGCCAGAAUCAUUGAUGAAGAAGACGAUGCUACAUCACCGCCACCUGCUUCAGCACCUCCAAGCUCCUCUGCACCGCCAAACACCUCCAACGACCCUGCUGCUCCUGGAAACGAGUAGACACUCUAUGUCUUCAAACCUUUUUGGUCCUUGCUGACAAAAGGGGGAGAAGCAUAUGUGUUGAUAGUCUUCAAACGGGUCCAUAUGGGCGGGUGCUUUAUGUUUUGCUAUAUUUUGCUUCGUGCUUACAACUCUCGUUUUUGCUUCAUUUGGUUCUUUGAGUUUCUUUGAGUUGUAACACUAAAACUCGAUGGUCGUCUGCUACUUGUUUGCCACCCUGUUUGCGAAGAUAAAUUCCACAUGUGCGACGAUAAAUUCCGCACUUAUCUCAUUCUGCAGACGUCCAUUUUCCAUUAUGCAUGUCAUUAUCUUCAUAUACUUUCACAUGCAUAGUGGAUUGUCAUCAUAAGCUGAAGUGGAUCUCCUCAAGUACAACCUGCCAUGUGCAUUUGCAUGCCAAAAGCAAAUUAACUUAUAUGCACAUCUUCAGGGGGAGCCCUUGCAACUUAUGAAUACAAUUCCUUAUCCUUUACAAUUUCACAGACUAUAUUCCUCGUUGAAAACUUCAACUAGUUUGUCAUCAAUCACCAAAAAGGGGGAGAUUGUAAGUGCAUCUAGUGCCACCCCUAGUUGGUUUUGGAGUAUUGACGACAAACCUAGUUGAGGGACUAAUGUGUUUAUGAGAAUUGCAGGAUAACACAGGUAGAAGUCCCUCAUUGAUUCGGUUUUACUACCAGAGAUGACCCCUAAAAAUGUAUGAAGACAUUGAAGCCAAAGGUGGUAUAUGAAGAUAUUCACAUUGAAGACUAUGACAAAAGAAGACACGUUAUGAAGUCUAUGGAGCUCGAAGACUUAGAUCUUUCGUAGUUCUUUUUCUUUUGUGUUGAGUCAUAGGAACCACCGCACUGUUAAGUGGGGUCCAGGAGAACCAGUCAGAAUGACUGAAGUGAUGCCUAAACCAAAAACCUAUGUCUUCGAGUGAAGACAAUGAGAGCGAAUCUUGUCCAGAGCCGGACAAGUCAGCUUUGCUUGUAGCCCAAGUAAAGUUGCCAUGAGAGUUUGAAAUCUGACCGUUGAGACACAUGUCAGUUCCUUAGUGACCCAGGGUCAUUUCGGACAAAUCAGGUCGGGUUGCCAAGUGGCUAUAAAUAGCCCACUCCCUACAACCAUAAACGGUUGGAUGCUCAGAUUUCAGUGCACGGCUUUUGUCGUUUGAGAGCAACCCACCUCGAAGCCUUUGAGAGAAAAUUCCUAGCGAGGAGAAAAUCCCUAACCACCCAGAGCCAGAGAACAUUAGGCAUCACUUAAGUCUUCUUGUCUGUGUGAUCUGAAGACUUAUUACACUUGAGGACUGUGAAUCCUCCAGACGAUUAGGCGUCGCGUUCAGAGCAUCUAAGAGACAUUGUGGAUUGCCAGUGAACGAAGUCUGUGAAGGUUUGGGAGUCUACCUUGAAGACUUACCAGAGUGAUUGGGCGAGGACUAAGUGACCUUAGCUCAAGGAGAAUACGGUGAGGACUUGGUGUCCUGAGCUGCGUGUUCAGGACUGGGUGUCCAGGACUGUGUGUCCUAAGGUUUAAAUACCUAGCCGCUCCAACCAGACGUACAGUUGUCACAGCAACUGGAACUGGUCCAACAUAUCAUUGUCUUCAACGAGUCACUGGUUUCAUCUUCACUUCCUUUUACUUACUGUUACUCAUUGUGAAGCCAUUGCAUGCUUGCUCUAUCUUUUGUCUUCACAACGUAACUGUAUAAUUUGUUUGGCUUCAUAACUUCUUCCUACUUGAUCCUAAUUACACUACAGCUAUUUGUCACUAUGCUUUCACUCUGUUGAUACUUGACCAUGGCUUGCCUAGUGUAAUCUAACUUCCGCUGCAUAGUAAUAGGUAUAUCUUUACUAUUUGUCUUCAUAACUUCCACGUUUUGAAGACUUUCAUAAAAAUCGCCUAUUCACCCCCCUCUAGUCGAUAUAACGCACUUUCAGGAGGGGGGGCUCAGGCCCGAGUUUUCGCGCCCAUGACUAAUGAGAAGAUGAUGGCGAGGUUCGCGCGGGAGCACCUGAAGUACAUCCAAUACGAGCAGGAGUGGUAUUGGGAGAGGGUCAUAGAGAAGAAGAAGAUGAAGAACGACGACGAGGCAUGACCUUCCUCUUCAAAGGUGGUGGUCAACGUCGAGUUAUCCGAAGACAACAUUGAUUGGAGCGACCUUGAGAGUGAGUGAUGGUGAGGGUUCUGACAUCCGAGUGGGACAACGGGGACAACAGAUAAUGUGUAGUAUUUGAUAAUUUAAUUAGUGUGCGCAAGCUCUAGUAAUUAGUUUAGUAUGUGUAGUAGCAGGUGCUAUGGAUGUAACCGUGAUAGAGAUUUCCUUAGCAGGAAGCCUACAUCGUAGCAAACAGGGGUUAUCCCGACACCCCAGCUCACCAAAGCCGCCUGGCGGGUCCUCCUAUGACUGGUUGCGAGGCCACUUUCAGUCGUCGGGGCAAUGCUUAACCAAGCCACAUCCUAUGCACACCGUCUCGUUGGUGCAAUCAUUCUUGUGGUGGCCUUCCUUCAUGCAACUGAAGAAUCAUCCAUACACCAUGGAGGGCAUGGGCGGUGACGGCGGUUGUUGGGCAAGUCUCUGUUGCUUCAAGCAUAGCCGCCGGCGGCGACACCAGUUGGCCUUCCAAGAGAGUUGGGGUUGCACCCAAGGCACCUCGCCCUCAUCCACCUUCGGAUCCGACAAGGGAGUUGAGGUCGCUUUGGCGUUAACCGCGACGGUGGCCGAAGAGCCCGAUUGGUUGGAGGACCAGGAUAGGCCAUGGUCCUCGCGGGGCUCUGUUGGCGUGAGGAAAACUGACUCUGUGCUAGGAGGAGUGAUGGUGCGGACAGGAAGGACCAACCAUGGCCAAGGCGAAGUGGCGCCGGUUCCAAAGAGGCAGCCGGCGAGGGAGGCUGUGGACACGAGGAUUGGAGUAGGUGAAAGCGUUGGGGCUCAAAAGUGAGGAGUAGUCCUAGAAGCCCGAAACAAUGGUAUGCAACCUAAGGACCCUUUAGGGCUCUCACCAAACCUGUAUAAAUGACAACUCUUGGGAGUGGUCAUAGAACCCGUACACUUUGGUAACUCUUGAGGCGAUCGCCAAAACCCGUACAAAUUGCUUGGGCGAUCUCCAUAACCUAAUUGGAGACCCCGACGCUUGCUUGGAGCUUUACACUACAACGAUUGAGCUCCGAACACACCAAUCGUCUAGGGCACCAAAGCACCCAAGAAGAACAAGCUUUAGGGUGCCCAAACACCCAAGAGUAAUAAGCUUCUCACCUUUUCACUUUCACAAAUCACCGUGGAGAACUCAAACCAAUGCAACUAAUGCAAUGGCAAGGGCACACAGAGUGCCCAAGUUCCUCACUCUCAAAUCCCACCAAAGCAACGAAAGCUAUGGAAGAAAAUGAGAGGAAGAAUAAGAAGAAGAACACCAAGAACUCCAAGAUCUAGAUCCAAGGGGUUCCCCUCACAUAGAGGAGAAAGUGAUUGGUGGAAAUAUCGAUCUAGAUCUCCUCUCUCUUUUCCCUCAAGAACUAGUAAGAAUCAUUGGAGGGAUUGAUAGAUAGCAAGCUCGAAGAAGGUUAACAAUGGGGAAGAACACGAGCUCAAAAGAUAAAAUGCAAUGGGGAGAAAGACCUCCUUUUUAGGCCUCUCCAAAUCCAACCGUUACGCACUCAGUCUGCGCACAAGUGGUAGUACCGCUCCGCUCGGGCGAGCGGUACUUCCGCUGACAAGGUAGUUUUAGCCAUAACGUGCAACUGAGAAACUCAAGAAGGCGUAGUGUCACCGGAGCGGUGCUAUCGCUCCCACCAGCGGUACUACCGCUAGGUGUUGCAUGUAUAGUGAAAUCACGGUAGUAGAGUAGGCAGCAUGGUACUACCGCCCACUACUGCCACUCUACUUCCGCGCAUAGAUAAAACGUAUCCAGAGGCUAAAAUAUAAGCAAAGGUUUCUGCAGUAGUAGAAGGCCGGAAGUACCGCGCUCUACUACCGCUGACUACCGCUGAGGUGACAAAGUAUCCAGAACCCAAGAAUAAGCGGAAGUGCCCGUGACGCUGGAACCGGAGAAGUAUACCGCGCAAGCGAUACUACUGUAGACCAGAGCGGUACUACCUCUAGGGAGGAACAAAAAGGCCAAGUAAACAAGAUGGAUGCAUGAAAGCCUGAACUGCCAUAACUUCUACAAAUGAGCUCCGAUUUGAGCAAACUCAAACUUGUUGGAUAGUAAGAAGUGGCAGGUGAGUAUGCCUAAGAUAGAGAGAUAUGAAACCUCUAUGAAAGAAGAACAGAUAAAAACUCCAACAUCAAAAACAUCAUAGAAGAUGCAUAUAUGAACUCUGUUUUCAAUGAACUCGAGCUUAACAUGAAGAUGACAAUAAGCUCCAAAACUCACAACGAGAGACGCCAAACAAGAACCAGAAAAGGCGAUGCAAGGAUGCAAUGGUUUGAUCUCUCUACGAACGAUACGAUCAAGCUACUCACUUGAGAGCCCCCCUUGAUAGUACGAUAAUCGAUCUUAUAACCCGGUCUCCCAACUACCACCAUGAGAUCGGUAAAAUAGAAAACCUAUCAAGGGCAAACCUUUGCCUUGCACAUAGUCCACUUGAGCUAGAUGACAACGAUCUUGACUUCCUCAAGUUGGACCACCUUUCUUUAUUGCAUUGGCUCGGUGAAGAUUAGUUGAUUGCUCCCUCAUACUCCGCUAUGGGUGAGCCACUCUUCGGCACAUCUUCACAAUUCCAUUGUCACCACAAUGGAUGGCAAGCUCCAAGCAUGAUCUCUUCGUGAUGCUCCACUUGAACUUGCACACCGCAAUCUUGAUGGCGAUCACCACUUGAUGUCAUCCUCCAUGGGUUGUAUGAGAUCUUCCUCUUGACGCAAGCCCAUGGAAACAUACCUAACCCCACAUAGAACUCUCACGUAGAUCAUGGGUUAGUACACAAAGCAUAAUGGAUAAUGCUUACCAUACCAUGGGAUCACUCGAUCCAUCUCGGUACAUCUUGUGCGCUUUGUGUGUUGGUCAACUUGAUUCACUCAUUGACUUAGUCUGAAUCAACCUUGUAUCAUGUCUUCUACAUGACCAAUCUUUGGAUAGUUCUUUGAAUAGCACUUUGGUCAUCACAUAAACUCCUUGAAACCAACACAUGGACUUCAAGAAAAGCCCAUGGACAAAUCCUUCAAAUAUAACUCAAGGCAACCAUUAGUCCAUAGAGACUGUCAUCAAUUACCAAAACCAAACAUGUGGGCACCGCAUGUUCUUUCAACGGUCUCGCCCACGGCAGCCACGAUACCCGUGCCCCCUUCCUCCCUUGCGUGCUGGCCUGGAGCAACUCGCCACUCCUCGGUGAGCUGGCUUGGAGCGGCGAGUUGCUGAACCAUGCGCCGGCUUGGAGCUUCCGCCUCCACGAGCUGGCUUGCUAUGGCCUGAAGUGUCAAGGAGGUGGGGUAGAUAGUUGCCUGGCUUGUAUCCAGCGGGCACGACGGGUCACCCACCUGGCUUUUAUGCCAGAGAACUCAUCUUUGUGCUCGCCGGAUGCCAUGGAGAGUGGAGAAUCUGGUGCAAGGAGGAGAUGGGAGCGGAGGUGUGGUUCGAUUUUUGCCCAACACCUGGCAUCGUUUAUACAGCUGGUGGACACCCGAAGCCAACCGAUGUUGUGUUUAAUGACGUGCGGCUCGCGAACGAACGUGUGGCCGGAGUAGGUUUCUCGGCGCAUGCACAAGUUUAAUGGAGAAAGGCGGGCAUACUGUAGCCGUUUAAAUGCGGUGAUGAGGCAUGUCAGCCGGGCCUGCAGUGGGCGGCGCUCUCUCGGCCGGCGCACCGCUUCAAUGCUGGUAGUGAGAAGUUGUGUCCGCUCUAGGCCGGCGCCAUGCGGAGCGACCGCUCUACAACGACAUGAAUGUGGACAGCUGGCGCCGGGCAGAAAGCACGUGGGCGUGGAUAGAAGGUUUAUGGUAGGCCAGGGUAGUCAGUAGCGGGUGUGACAUCGAUCUGAACGCCCGCAAAACCCCCCACCAUGUCUCCAUUCUGUGGGAAAAAAACACGUCCGGACCGGUCUGCUGACUGGUGCAGGAUCGUUAAAUGGCAAAAGGCGUCCGGACCGCGCGGUCCGAACGGUUACUCGUGGUUUGAAUGUCAACGUUGGAGAUGCCCUAAUAUCAUAAGUUCUUUUUUUUGACAUCACCUUUUUUUUGACAUCACCUAAUAUCACAAGGUUCAUUGCACACGCAUGUUUCUUGUAGUUCUUUUUUUAGAAUCCUUUUUACUACUACUAGUAGGAGUAGUUUUUAAAAGGUAUACUCAUAGGAAAGAAAAUCCCGGAAAGGUUGGAUCAGAAAUGGUUAUCUCGAAACCCCCAAACCCUUUUUGCUAACGACUUUAUUGUUUAGAUCGUCCCAUCCAUCCACCACUUUGCUGGCUCCGUCUAUACAAUAGCAACACAUCAGCACCCGCCCCGCGUCCACAUCUCCCCCUUCACAUCCAUCGACCCAGAUCUCACGCGCCGCCCAAGCCAGCGACGAUGAGGCCCUCGGUGAUGAGAUCCGCCGCCCAGCUCCUCCGCCGCCGCAACUACUCCUCCGCGUCCGGGCAGCAGGCGCGGAAGGUGGCCAUCCUCGGCGCGGCCGGCGGCAUCGGGCAGCCGCUGUCUCUCCUCAUGAAGCUGAACCCCCUCGUCUCCUCCCUCUCCCUCUACGAUAUCGCGGCCACCCCGGGCGUCGCUGCCGACGUUUCCCACAUCAACUCCCCUGCCCUGGUACCCCACGCCCGACAUCGCCCUCCUCGCGCUGCUCAGUUCGGUCGGAUCUAACACAUGGUUCGGGCUUUCGCAGGUGAAGGGUUUCAUGGCGGAUGAUCAGCUCGCGGAGGCGUUGGAUGGGGCCGACCUGGUGAUCAUCCCGGCCGGCGUCCCGAGGAAGCCCGGCAUGACCAGGGACGACCUCUUCAACAUUAACGCCGGCAUCGUUAAGAACCUCUGCACCGCCAUCGCCAAGUACUGCCCGAAUGUAAGAUUCUCAACUCUCUUCAAUUUUAGAUCUGUUGCUCGCGUGGUUGAUUGUUCUGGCUACUCUGGGUGCGUGGUCUCGUUACAGAUCUAUCUAGUUCCUAUUCAAGACCUGGACAUUGCGUAAUUCUGAUUCGAUGUUUGGAAAUUGUAAACGGGUGUGGUUUGAUUAUCACCACUAUGACCAAUACUUAUCUGCUGAAUAGGCACGAACAUUUUGCUCUAUCACGUGUGUCUUGUUUAGGCGCUUGCAGUUUUGUAUCUCCUGUUCGAUGGUGUGGUUCCUUGGUCUAUUCAUUUUGUUUGUUGCAAUGUUACUUGCAUUCGAAUGUUUGUGUAUUAGCCUGGACAAAUGAAAACUAAGUCAUUGUUACUCUGGAUUGCCUCGCUGUUUUCUCUUGAAAGUUACAUUUUCUUAUGUUUAUAACUCUUCAGUGGAAUAUAUAUAUAUCAUCUGUCCUACAUGCUUGUCAGUUAUUAUCAUAUCUUCUAUAUUUUUAUGCCCAUUCCUCAACCUGUUGACUGAGGAGCCAUAUGGCCCAUUCCUUCAAAUUUUCUAACCUGUCUGUUAGCUCCAACCUCCAAUACAUAAUGUAUCCAUUUUCAGUGUAUGUUGUGUUAGGAAAUCGUUAUAUGAUACAUUUAAAAACUGAUGUUCCUCCUUUGUUACUUCAUUUUGUUUGUAUGCAUCUUUCUAUGAAUUUGAUGUGUUUCUGUAUUGCAGGCUCUUGUCAACAUGAUCAGCAACCCUGUGAAUUCAACCGUUCCGAUUGCUGCUGAAGUUUUCAAGAAGGCUGGAACCUAUGAUGAGAAGAGAUUGUUUGGUGUGACCACUCUUGAUGUUGUUCGUGCCAGGACUUUCUAUGCUGGGAAGGCUAAUGUAGAUGUUAAUAGUAAGUGGUGACAGUAUAUGAUCUAGCUGACUGGUAGCAAAUGAAAGAAGAGUAUGGUUGCUGUAUUUUUGUCCUUAACUGGAGUGUUCUUUGGCAGCUGUGGACGUUCCUGUUGUUGGUGGUCAUGCUGGUAUUACCAUCUUGCCACUUCUCACAGGUAUUGACUUCUGUCACGUAAUAAAUGAUACAGCACUAUCGGAAAAACUAUUCCACACUAUAGCGCAUAAAACCAGAAAUGGGGACAGAACUGGUAUGUUUGUUAGAUUCUUAUUCACUGUAUUAUGCUAGGACUUCCAUGGUGAAAUCACGCUGAGUAAAGAAAUUAAGUUUUUCUUGACAGAUAAUGUUCAUCUACUUGAAAUGGGAAGUGAUCAUGUCUAUAACAAAAGAUCAAUCAUAUUCUAGUAUUCUUGCUCAUUAGUGAAUUCAUUUGUGUGGACAACUGGACAUAUGAGUGUGUAGCUAGUUUAGUGUAAUGUAAACACCAUAUUUACCAAAAUUAUGGAAGUGAAUAUGGUCUAUCUAGGUUUAUCUUUCUGGUUACUGUAAUUGUGAAGUAGUUGAAUAGUGUACAUUUGUGCUAUCACCCUAACCCUAAUAACUCAACGGAAGGAAACUCUUUUUUAACAGGCAACUCCUUCAACUAAUGCAUUGUCUGCUGAAGAAAUCAAGGCUCUCACCAAGAGGACACAGGAGGGUGGCACAGAAGUCGUUGAGGCAAAGGCUGGAAAGGGAUCUGCAACCUUGUCCAUGGCGUAAGUAAAAAGAAGAUGAAAAAACCAUGCUAACUGAGGAUUGUGUGCCACUUCUCUAGCAAUUUAGUGCCAUGUUUUUACUUGUUUUGCUAAUAAAUUUGCUCCACCUUUGUAGGUAUGCUGGUGCAGUUUUUGGAGAUGCAUGCUUGAAGGGUCUGAACGGAGUUCCUGACAUUGUUGAAUGCUCCUACGUGCAAUCAACUGUGACCGAGCUGCCAUUCUUUGCUUCCAAGGUACAUGCUUAUUUUGCUAUGUGUGUUGUUUACUGCAGUUGUUUAUAUGGUUUCAUUAUGUAAAUCUAGAUGGUUCCAAAUUUCAUGUAGUAUCAAAGCCAUUUUUCUCUAGAUUUAUGCAGUGGUUGCUUGUCAUGCAUAUGACAUUAUAUUGCAAUUUCUUUUAUGAUGUUAUGCCUGUUGAAAAUAGGGUGGCUAAGCUUUGUUUCCUGACUGGCUGGGUUAUUAAAUCCAUUUUGAUCAUUUGGGUUUUUGUGGUGUAUUUAAUAGUAAUUGCUGUUGGACUUUUAUGGCACUGUUAUCUUUGACAUUUUUAAUCUGCCUAGUUUGGAUAUGACCUUAGAAUUGAUUGCAAGUACUGCUGCAAAAAACUAGUCUUUGACACGCUUUUUGUAUAUUAGGCAAUACUCCAUUAGGCCAUUUCCCCCUUUGCACACUGAUCAACUUGCUAUUUUUGCCAUGUUAUAUUUUGAUUGAGACAAAAACUCUUUGAAACGAGGCUCAGCAUAUGCUCAAGUAUUCUUACUGUGCAUUGAAUCUUCUAGAGUAUUCUCCACGCUGAAUUAUGUUCAAGUGAACCUAUCUCUCCUUUGUGUGAUGCUUAUUGCCUAAGGCAAUGUGAUGGACUUGUUCGCCGUGUGGUCUUGCUGUUGUUUGUUCACUUUACAAACUGUUGACGCUGGUCAUAGAAUGGAAUUUCAUGAUCCACUGAUGUAACACAGGUGAGGCUUGGAAAGAAUGGAGUCGAGGAAGUGCUCGGGUUGGGUCAGCUGACGCAGUUUGAGAAGGAUGGGUUGGAAGCUCUCAAGGGCGAGCUCAAAUCUUCAAUUGAGAAGGGUGUCGCGUUCACAAAUGCAAGUUAGUUAGGCCAUUUUGCAGAUUAUAGCAAACCCAGGUCUUGUUGAGGGGUCUGUUGGUUUGGUCCAGUGCUUUUUCUGCCCAUCAUGUGGGCAUUGAAGAUUUGAGCUUUGCAAUAAAAUUUCCGGCGGCGUAAUGCCACACAUAACAUAACUUGUACGAGAGGAAGCUAGUUUUGUGUCGAGCUUUGAACUGAUAAUGAACAAUUGCUGAUGCGUGGAAAGUCACUUGUUGUUCAACCGGUCUGCUUGCAAGUCUGUUGAAUAUUGAUGAUUUUUGUUGUGCUUUCAGUUAGUUCCAGGAUUUUUUACUUGCCAAGAUAAUCUCUUGUCAGUCAUUUGAUGCUGCAUCGUUCUGUAAGUGGUCAUGAUACCUUUAUGCUCUAGUACUGUUAAUCAAUUGUGGGUAUUUGAUUCGCCACUCAAUGGAAGCAAAGUAUUUCUGUUUCAAUCG